rnacentral:lncRNA from 1 species
AUACGGCGGUGCUGAAAGAGCAUAACCCGUGGGCGUUCAGAAAAGCUCUUGAAGAUAUCAACAGAUGUGAAACCACACUGAGAGCCAUAAACCCCGGCAACCACAGCGAUAACGUGAUGACGUUCCCCGCUGUUCCUGAGCAAUAUGCGGAAGAUGAUAAAAAGAGAAUGGCGGAAAGCAUCAAAGGCUUACUCGAUGCAUCGGACGGGGUGACGGUUAAGUUUGCAGAAUAUUUGGUUCAAAAAGCAGCUUUUGAUUCAGUGUUACCAUGCAUCGAUCCACAGGAAAUCGUACUGCUCAAUUUCAUAGGAAUGUCAAACCAUGGGACGAUAUUUGAAGCAAGAUGGCUAGACGUACCUGUGAUGGUAAAAGCCCUUGGAACAGGAAAUGAAGCUGAAAAGCUCCUGAAGGAGCUUGACAAGCGGCACGCAGAACUUAUAAACAGGCCCCAUCCAAAUGUAGUGCAAGUUAUCGGCUACACAAGGCACGGGGAAAACCUGUUCGUGGUGUCCGAGCGGGUCUCUGGAGGCCACUUCCGAGUGACAAAGUUCCCUCUUGUAUUGACCAUCGAGAUCCUGCUUCAAGUUGCUCAAGGCGUGGCCUACUUGCAUGAACAUAACUGCGAGCUCUCGGACUUGAAUACGCUGCUGGUGGACUUUGAAAAAGGCCACUUCGACGAAUUCACCGGUGGCAUCACUGUCAAAGUUCACGCACAGUCCAACCUCAGAAAACGAGAUGGACCAAAUAGCUUGAGUACCUUGGCUGGAAGGUUGAAGCAUCCGUUCCACUUCCCUCACGUGCCAGACGCGGACUGCGGGAAGAUCGACGCGUACAAGUUUGGUAUAGCCUGCGUAGAAAUGAUCACCGGACAAACCAUCGGGGAAGAAAUACUGCUCUCUGGAAAACUACCGCAACUGCCUCACGAUUGCACGGGAAUCAAGGCUGUGAUAGAGAAAUGCCUGAGCUCGCAGCCUCCGGGCUUCCAUCAAAUCGUGGAACUCCUGCAAUCAGCUCAACUUAGACUGGAGAUUCCGCCUACAAGCGACAUAGACUACCGACGGAUGCUUCUGGACUCCAGCGCUCAAACUGGACUCAAGCUCGACAUAACGGGAGACGCAGUAAUUGGUGGCAAGCUCAUUGCUGUUGGAAACGUAGAAAAUGUGGGUAACAGGCUCUACCAGUGGAUCCGUCAGCACAAAGAUGGAACUAUAGAGCGGUUGCGGCCAUUUCUCGUGACGGAGUUGGACUCUGGGACACUGGAGUAUGAUCUAACAGCCGACGACUUCAACAAGGCGAUCUCACUAACUUACGUGGAUAUGAACGAAAAGAUCGAAGUUUCCGGCAGAGAAACCACGAACAGUCGAUGGGUUUCCUAUAGUGACACUAUGAAGCGGGCGCUCAAGAUGAUAUGGGGAGCUGGCGAGGCCAAGUUCAAGGUUUUGCAGCUAAGGGAAGAAGAAGGGAGCAAGCAGAGCUACCUGGUGAUUAGACGGCCGCAUUGCAUGCUGGAGUGGAAGCGCUACUACUUGAAAAGGAUGGAGAUCAAGAUCGCGUUCACCUCCCCGGCGGCCGGCAUCAAAAUAUCCGAGGAGAAUCCGCAAAUUUGCCAGCUGAUCGAUAACGGCGGCGCGGAGGCCUGCAAGAUCCGAUUCAAGAACGCGUUCGAGAGAGACCUGGCGGUGCUUACCUUCCGGCAUUUCUUGCGCGCCUGUGAGAAGGGGAAGCGCUCGCGACGACGAUGACAUCCAAAAUGCUGUGAGUCAACGGCGCGCGCCGGUGAUUUCUUGCUGGAAAUCGAAGUAGAAAUGAAGAACCCUAUAUGUACAAAAGAGAAAGGUGCAAGUUUCGAACCGGCGACUUUUGCUAAAGUGGCAGGUUUUUCAUAUUUCCCGCCCUUGGGAAGCUAGUAUUUCGUGAGCGAGUUUGUUGGUCUCGGGAUCGGGUAGUUUUAGAAUUUUUUCUUCGUUGUGGGCAGCAGAAGACUUAAACGAUGGAUGCAUCCAUUAAAAACCAUGAUGAGAAGCUGACGGCAAAUUCCGAUAUUUUUCUACCUGUAGGUUCAUGGCCUCCAGUCGAAACCACCAAGCUCCAGCUUUACCAUGGCACAUGAAAACGCACCUGGAUAAAAAAAAGGAAAACACUCGUUAGGAGAGAAAUACCUAGAAUAAAAGAGAUAGUACCCUCAGGAGCAGGGAAUAAAUUUCAGGAAAAUAGGGAUUUUUUUCUGACAUUUAUCACUUGAACUAUAAGUGUCAAAUGACAUUAUCAUAGAAACUUCAUAUAAUGUUUGCUUAAUGCCUUGUUCUUGAAGCCACACCCAAAAAAGAUUGUGACCAUUAAAUUGUUAAUCCUCCCAUAUGUGCAUCCAAUGUCUUCAAUCAAAAAUGGGUCAACCUAGAGAGUCUAGGUUUUCUGGCACAUAUUUUUACAUGGUAUAUAGAUUAUCUUGUGUAAGGAAAACCUCUUCAUAUCCAACCAUUCUAGGUCACAGCUUAUCUUGAAAAUCCUGCUAACAUGGGGGAGCAAGGAGUGGGAGAAAUUGGGAUUGAGCAAGAGUAUGGAAGAAAUCAAGUGGAGUGUAGAGGAAGGAGUGGAACACCAAAGUGCAUAGUUUUAUACUUCUCAAUUUGCAUUUGCACUAGAAGACUAUACUCCCUUAACUAAACUUUCUAUUGGCAUCUGGCAUACAUAUUCCUUUUUUAGAAUAUUAUUUAUGAACAUACUUGUGAUCUAACAGUUAAAAUUUUAGAACUUCAACUUUAUAAUGACACUCCAAUCCAAAAUGAAUUUUCUUCAGAUCUCUCUCUCUCUCUCUCUCUCUCUCUCGUGUGUGUGGAGCGAGUUCCAUGCCCCUGUAUGUGUCGAGAAAUCUGUCCCUGCUCAACUGGGCACUGAUCCCCUGUGUCUCUGUUUUACAGCAGAAAGCGGGAGGUAGCCGGCACAAAGGUGACGCCGUCGGGGGCAUUUGGCAAGAAGAUGACCAUGGACGACCUGGAUCAUAAAUACGAGGAUGAUUGUGUCUUUUAGGGCAGGAGAGAGCAACAGUCGACGACAACAGCAGGAAGACAAAAUCUUUAUCUCUGGAUCUCGCACUGGUGUAAUGAACGCAAGGUGACGGGCAUUAGCAAACGGCUACUUUCAAAUUGCAUAUGCAAGUGAACAGGAAUUGAACAAGUGAACAAUUUUCUGCUUUGUCUAAUCACACUGAAGCAUCGGUUGCUGAUAUUAAUGGAAUACUUGCAUGCUCUGAAAACUCCAAGCUUUAAUUGGCCGCACUGCUUUAAUCUGUAUCUGCACCAUUAGCGUGGUGAUGGAAUAUUCCAGCCGAAAUAUUUUCUAGGUAUUUCUAGAAUUGUUCCAGAGCGUGAGACACGUCAGCGACUCGAUACUAUAAAAUUUAGUUUGUUUGCAGUUAUCAUCUCUUGAAGGAAAUGCUCGCGAUAACAGCUUUUGCAUGGACUCCACAAAGAUCACCAAGACUGGAAUAGUGUCCUCCGUUCAAAGCCACACAUGAAAACCUCACACUGACCUUUUGAGAAAGGAGCACCUAACAUACCACCACCACCUCUUCAAUCUUUAGACUUGGCCUGUUGGUUAUGAGCAUCUCACCUUACAAAGCAGUGUUUUUUACUUGUAAGAAUUAGAUAUUUGUUUUGUUUUUUAAGUUGUACAACCUUUUUUUUUGGAAAUGCUGCCAGACAUUCUUUGUCUUCCUUAGUAACUAUGUUAGCAAAUGUUGUGACUUAGUUACGAGGCAAUGCAGAUAAGGAAAGUCAUUUGACAGUGUUUGAAAGCCAUUGAAACCAUUUCAGCUGAAUUCACUUUCAUCUCUUUUUUUCAAGAAGAGUUCUAUCUUGUUUGCUUUUCGAGUGCUUGGACCAUAUCACUGCCUUGCACAAUACAAAUUUAUUUCACUGCUGAUCAUAUGUUUAGAAGCUGCAGAUUUCAUUUUUCUUAUACUCAAAACGUAUGUGUCCAUCUUUGCUGCUUAUUUCUCCGAUUGCAUCGUUCUUCACUUGACCUAAAAAGGCCAAGUUGAAAUGUUUAUAUCUACAAUGUGAUAUUACUAGGGACAAGCAAAACUACAAACACCAACGUCUGAGUUCUUGGGACAAGCACAGUCUCGACUUGAGAAUUUCCCAGCCACUAGAGCUGUUUGACUUUCUCGGUUUGAUCCUGUAAGAAGAUCCGAUUUUGAGUUUAAUUAUGUGAUAGAUCUUUUGGGUAUGAGGUCUCUUGCAAAUUGGAUUUUGUAUUGUGGGGUUUUAGAGACUGCCACGUCCAUAGUGCGCACACAAUGGCAACUUUGAAUUGGGAGGAAAGUUCGGGAUUGUAUUUUUGAACUUGGGGUUAGAGCAGAGAAGGAGUUUAUUGAAGUGGAGGCUAGAAACAGUUGGUGAGUAUGUUAUUGCUAUUUCUGUGCCACAAGAUUGCUGCUGUUGCCAUAGAUUUCUUGAAGGCAAUGACAUAGAAGCAAUGUAAGUCAUUUGAUCUUGGUUGUUUGUAUCUUUUGUUAGAUCUUUCACUUUCAGAGGACCGCCUCCAUCUCCUGGUGCCGACCACGCUGCAGCGGUCUAUGCUGGUCAUUACCUGUGCAUAUUCGGGGAUGGCUCACAUUCCAGUUGCUUCAGUGACUCGCAUUUUGAACUUGAAAACGGUAUGCUUGAUGCAUUUCUCCUUUGAACUUAUGGAUUGAAAACUCCAGACCAAUUUGAUCAUGCAAACAGACUUCUUGUGCAGGCCAUGCUAGCACAGCAAUUGGUGAUUUGUGCAACAAUUUUGGUGGAUGGCAUUUAUGUAUGUUCCAACUUUUCAUGUAUCAUGAUCAGUACCAUGGAUUUCGGAAAUGAUUGUGAAAACGCACUUGUAACCUCUGUGCUAGCAUGGACGUCUAUCACGAUAUCUUCAUCUUCUAUUUCACAACACAUUAUAUACAUCAUUUGUUUUCUCGGGAUUGAGACAUGUCUCCAUGAACUCCAAAAAAAUAAUAAACAACUGAUGGCACUCACGUCAGUGAGCCGUAUCCCACACUGACACAUAAAUCUCCGUCACUUCUAUUGUCUUGACAAGGUUAAUUGACUUGGUGAAGAUGGAAAUGGUGCAAGAACUGUUGGACGGACCGCUGCAUGAGAUCAAAGAAACCAGUAAGUAGGAUUUCCACUUCAACACCCAUCAGUGCCAGUACCUGCAAAGCCGAUGCUCCAUGGUUGAAGAAUAUGUGCGGCUUUGGCAGAGCUGCUCUGAGCUUGACCCACUUCCCCUGGCCAUGGAGGAGCUCCAUUGUAUGCUGAACAGAGCCUUGCAGCUUCUCAAGCAGUGCCAGCAUGAGAAAUGGCUGUACCAUGCUGCAGUCCGGCUCACUGAUUCCAGAGCCUUUGUGGAGAUUUGCUUGUGUCUGAGUAGAUUAAUGGCCUUGGUCAAUGCUCACAUGAUUCAUUGUGCCACAGAUAUUAGGAGUAGUAUUAGAGCCAGUUUAGCCAGGAAUGCCAGUGUGACCAAGGAAUGUUAUACCCACGUGUUAGGUGAUGAUAUAACCACUAAAGAGUCCAAAGCUAAAGUGAAUACAGAUAGACAAAUAAGGUAGUUUGGUGAAAUGUUUAAAAAUCAACUUUAGCUCCCUCGGUAGAUUGAAGAGUUGAUGCUCUCAAUCUAAAUGUGGGUGGCACUACUUACUUGGAUAUCUAGCGUGCCUCAUUAGAAUCUUGCUCUAGCCACAUAGCUAGGGCAUUUAAAUGUGAAAAGUGGGGAGAGUACCUAUGAAAUUUGUGUAAGGCCAUAGUGUUUCGAAAUGUUAUCCCAAAGUCCCAAAUUAUGGAAAGGAAAAGGAACAAUCCUCUAAUGUAACGACAAAGGAUAUGGUCACAUGGUGUGGAAGUCAUAAAGGACAGUGGGACUUAAUGGUCGGGCCUUUGAACCUUGAUUUAGUGGCGGUGUUAGUAAGCAUGGCCAUGGAUGAAGAAGGACUUAAUGGCAACAAAAGAAGGGACAUUAGGGAAGGGUGUUCUCUAUAUUUCUAAGCAUUUUAAAGGUGCUAAGGUGUGGUUAAGGGAUUGUCAAGACUCGUAACAAGAUCAAGAAAGCUCUAUUUCGUUAAAGUGGGAUUUAUUCAGUAAAAUGGGACUAGGUACAAAUUUUCAAGUAUUUGAAAAUGACGUGAAAUUAUAUGUUUUUUGUCCAGGGGCUAGACAUAUCUGGGGCAUGGUGACUAGCGCGGUGACUUUGUGUCCAGAAUGAGUCCAUCUGGUUGUAUAAUAAAUCUCAUUGUCAAGGUGAACAAGCCGAAUCUGAAGCUAAAGAAGAGCGAUGGCAUGCGCGCACACACUAUUUGUUUGUUCAUUGAGCGUGUGGUGAGCUUUCCAAGAUGAACGUCAUUCCUAUUAGCCAGACAUAUAACUUAAUGGUGAGAACAUUUAGAUAUUAUUCAAUGUUAUCUUUUUCUAAUGAAUCUAAUUGUGAAGGUGUAGCAAGAGGCAUUGCUAGUCUGGAGAAGUCAUUUAACUCAUUUGACCCUUAGUGUAUUUUCAUGAAACUAAAUAACAUUCAUAUUAUUAAGGAAUUUCUCUAGUACCUUUUUUUUACGACAUAGAGGCUUGCAUUUCUUUCAAAGGUGAUAUAGUAAAAGGCCUGAGGGCACAUGCCAUUCUAUUUCUCAGACCGGUAUUAAGAUAUACUAGUGCAAAGGGCCACAUGCCAUCACGCCUCCUCUGAUUCAGAUUCGGAUUGUUCACCUUGAAAUAAAAUACAUUAGAAACUUAGUAAAGGAAUAUUAAUGAAUCUCACCUUGAACCCGGGUUAUGAAUGCUCUUGCUGCAUCUCUUGCAUGGUCUGGCAAGGUGAUGGUGGCACUUUGCUUCCGCAUCCAACCAUGCACAACAUUAUCCACCGAUAUGCUCAUGCUGGGAUCCCUUGGAUUCAGCACCCAUCUCUUUUCUAGGCAAUCCUUCGUAUAUCCGGAACUUGGCUUGAACCACUCCACAGUUACAUUGAAGGAGUUAGUUUCCGCGUCCUCCUCUGCAUCAGUGAUGCAGCGCCCCACCCAUAUCAUUUGUUUUUUAUUACUGGGUCUGACAAGCACGACCAUUCCUUUGCAGACCUGUACUGGAUUGAAUGCUGAAUCCGGCUUCUUGUUCCUCGGCCCACAAUAGUGAUUCUCAACAUCGUUAUCUGUCACUGCAUUUCUAGAGGACAUUGUUCUGCUACUAUCUGGUGCUCUGGGUUUUGGCCAAAAGGACUCUUCCAAUUCUUCAUAUACAACCGGCCCAUUUUGGAUAGUAGAUAUAAUCUUCUCCCAGUAUUCGAGCAAAGGCUUGCACCUCUUAAAAUAGGAUUCUCCACCAAACACCAACCCCCUCUUCUAGAAGGCAAUAUGCUGUCUAAUCCCGGCCACUAUACUUUCCUGGUCUUUGAGUCCAUCCGGGUGCAUCAGCCGUGGGGAACCCUGAGGAAUCAUAGGUUCCCCAGUUAUGGGAUGUCUCUUGAAGAGUUCAAUGCCAUCCACUGGCAGCCACACUGUGUCCCAUUCUCUCAUCUUGUACCUCAUCACUGGAGCACCGUCACGCAUGCUGAAAUGAAACUGAAGAGGCUUGGAGUGGCCAAUCAGCGUUUCGGAUCCGUCCCUGAUGUAGCCUCUUACAAACCCCUUAAAGUCUGGAACCUCUGUCACAAGUGCAGCUUCAACAGUGCCUUUGAUGCAAUUUUGGAAUUCAUUGUAGAGUUGUGGGAGGGUGAGGACAUUGGAUCGCCGGAGGGACUCUGCCAGGUGACUGAACAUGGCAUCGACGUCUUCAUGAGUGUGCCCAACCAUGAGAAAGCCAAGUGUAACCGUUUCAAAUAUGCCUUUGGCAACAAGCAUCGCCAAGUACGCAAAGACGUACAUGUUUUUGUUCUCACUGCCAGCAUUGUCUGUUUGGAGCAGAAGAUGGGGUGGAAGGCCACAUCGGCCGCAAGAACUUCCUUGAGAUUCUGCUUCGUUUGGAUGAGGCUGUGCAUUCACCGGGCGACCAGCCUCGUCGGAAUGGCAUGAGGCCUCACGUGAUAACCCUACAAUCUGACGGCCAACAUAUUCACUGGGAUGGCAUGGGGCCCCACGCGAUACUGCAAGCCUUUGCUCCUCCUCCAGCUGAACCCUGUAUGGGGUUCGAUCGACAAGGGCCUUAUGCAAGGGUUGGCCGUUCAGCUCAGUCUGCGCACUUUGCAGAGACCUUAAGUGUUUUGCUAGGGACGCAAUCAUCAUGUUUGCACCCCCGCCACCCCAUAGAGGUACAAAGAAGUUCCCAUAGUUCUGGGCACCAUGCCCAUGAGCGAUUAUGCCAAACAGAGACACAGGCAGCUGCAUGGAUGAAGAGAUUGCCUUGGGGGCAGGAUUGAGUCGAGGUAAGCACGUCUUUUUCUGGUCCAUUUUGUCGUGGAUGAUGCAGAGGUAAGAGUCAGGUCUCUCCAUGGAGAGAAUCCUGUUAUGAUAAUAUGCAGUCCUGCAGCUUCUCUGCUCGAUGUUGUGGUCGAGCCGCCUUCUAACCAACAUCUCUCGCUCUUGAGCGCUGCAGUCAACAACUUGGAGGUCUAGAAGACCAAGUACCUCUUGGCAACUCUGUUAAGGUGCCAAGGUGAGAUCACUAGGUGAUCUUAUGGCCAGAUAAGGACAAGGUCCUUGGUUGGCUAAGGAAUGAAGUCCCUGGUUCAAAAUGUUGAAAUUGAACUGUUUAAGAUGGUGUGGCUUGGUCGUGAUGACCAAGUGGGAAGAGCACCUAAGGGAAAUAAACUAUGUCUGUCCGAUGGCAUAGUGAGUCUGAGGAAAGUAGUCUCUAUAAAAAACCCAUGGGAGGGUCACGAAGUUGGGCCAUGGAUAGAGCCCAUAGCAGAAUAUGCUAAAGAGACAUACUAGGGGUGAACAUCCUCCGGACUUGGCAAAGAAGAGUCUUUGCUAUGGAACCAAAAGUAUACCUCAAAAAUGGAGGUAGUGAUCCGAUGUUGCUGAGUGCAACAAUCAAGGAUAGGAGCAAAGGACUAGUGGCCAAAGUUUGGGCCAUGGAAUUUUAUGGAAGGGAUCCAAAUGGCAAAGUUAGCCAAGGAACACUAAUGUGUUCGAUGCUAACAGCUUGUGGGAAAGGAAGCGGACUUUCAAGGAUGGAUUCCUAAGUGCUCCAAUUUGGCGAAGUAAAGGCUCCAAGUGAGGGAGCGGUAAGGUAGCCAAAUGAUAGGGCCAUGGACAGCCCUAGCACAAAGUAUGAUAAAUGGAACUUAGUGCCCAAGGUGGCACGAAAUAGAAGAGAGGAUGAUGGUGCCCUCAAGUAAUGAACUUCCUAGGAUAGGGAAGUGGAGUUGCACAAUCUGUGCAAUGCAAGGUGUUGGAGACACCUAGGAAAUUGACUUCCAAAAAGUCAAAAGAGUAAAAGUUCCAAGGUGCAAACAUUCAAUAGAUGGAAAUUGAGACUACUCGAGAAGGAGUAGUGGGAUUGACUUAGAGAAGGGUCUCUAAGAGGUUUAGCGAGAACUAAACCAAUAAAAGGAGAGAACCAUUACAUGUGGUCCAAUCAGUCUCUAAGUUGGAGAGACUACGCUCCUUAAAGGAUGGACAAGGCAUGGUGAGCCUUUGGUGUCAAACCAUAGACAAAGAUUGGCUAAGUGCUAAGGAUGGAAAUGGUAACACGUGUGGGUGUUACUUUAUGAAAGGGUUUACCGUUCGAUGAGGACAUCGAACUUCGUCUAUGGGUGGUGGAGUUGUGAGACACAAAAUCCCUAGGCCCCAAAGUGGAGCCGGAAAGGGUGCCACAUGGUAGUGGCUGAAGCGAGAGCCAAACGAGCGUAACACGUUUGGACCAAAAGCUCCGACUUGAAAAGUCAAGAGCGGGAGUGGAACUCCCAAAGAAGUGCUCGAGGAACGAGCACGAAGCGAGCAAAAAGCGAGGCUCCAAAAAGGGACCCAAAAGGACCAACACAUGACACGUGGGAGAGUCCGAGAUGGAGUCCGAAGUGGAGUCCGAGGUGGACCCGAGAUGGACCCGAGAUGGAGUCCGAAGCGGAGUCCGAGGUGGACCCGAGAUGGACCCGAGUUGGAGUCCGAAGUGGAGUCCGAGAUGGACUCGAGUUGGAGUCCGAAGUGGAGUCCGAGAUGGACCCGAGUUGGAGUCCGAAGUGGAGUCCGAGAUGGACCCGAGUUGAAGUCCGAAGUGGAGUCCGAGAUGGACCCGAGAUGGAGUCCGAGAUGGAGUCCGAAGUGGAGUCCGAGGUGGACCCGAGAUGGACCCGAGAUGGAGUCCGAAGUGGAGUCCGAGGUGGACCCGAGAUGGACCCGAGUUGGAGUCCGAAGUGGAGUCCGAGAUGGACCCGAGAUGGAGUCCGAGAUGGAGUCCAAGAUGGAGUCCGAGGUGGACCCGAGAUGGACCCAAAAUAGAGUCCGAGAUGGAGUCCGAGAUGGAGCCCGAGAUGGACCCGAGAUGGACCCGAGAUGGAGUCCGAGAUGGAGUCCGAGAUGGAGUCCGAGAUGGAGUCCGAAGUCGAGACCGAGACCGGGACCGAGACCGAGACCGAGACCGAGAUCGGGACCGAGACCGAGACCGAGGCCGAGGCCGUGACCGAGCCCGAGUCCGAGUCCGAAUCCGAGUCCGAGUCCGAGUCCGAGUCCGAGUCCGAGUCCGAGUUCGGAGCCUGAGAGGGUGAAAGCCCAAAGCGUUCGUCUCCCAGACCCUGGGGGGUUUGGUGAGCUCCAAAAGUAUAGUAAGGGGGAGGACUGCAGUGGAGCCAGUUUGGCCAGGAAAGGCCAGUUUGGCCCAGGAAGGCCAGACCCAGUGUUGGGUGAUGAACUGACCACUGGGAAGUCCAAGACUAGAGUGAAUACGGACCGACAAGCGGGGUAGCUUGGUGAAGUGUUCAAGAGCCGGCUCUAGUUCCCCCGGGAGAUCGACUGGCCGAUGCUCCCAAUCCAAGUGUGGGUGGCACUACCUACUUGGAUACCAGACGUGGCUCAACGGAACCUCGCUCUAAGCCCAUGGCUAGAGCACCUAAAGGCGAAAGGCGGGGAGAGUACCCAGGUGGCUCGCGUAAGGCCACGGUGUUCCGAAAUGUUGCCCCAAAGGCCUAGACUGUGGAAAGGAAGAGGAGCAGUCCUCUGGGGUAGUGACCAAGGACAUAGUCGUGUGGUGAGGAAGUCCCAGAGGACCAUGGGACUUAGUGGUCGGGCCUGUGGGCCUCGAUCCAGUGGCAGUGUUGGCAAACACGGCCAGGGGCAGAAAGGCACUUGGUAGGAACUGACAAAGGGACUUUGGGGAAGGCGAUUCCCCAGGUCUGUGGGCAUCCUAAGGAUGCUAAGGAGUGGAUCUAGGAUGACCACUCAUGGACAGAUGGCCCAGUCUUGGAGAGACGGGAUGGUGAUGCAAGUGGUAUUGGACCACUAGUGCAGCAAAGGUGAAUGGGCAUGGCCUUAGCGUAACGGGCCGAGAUGUCAAUGGUACCUUUAGGUGUCGGUCUUGGGACCGGACACGUGGAGCACUUGGACCAGGUGCAAGUGUUGAGUGGCAUCGAUGCCAUUCUUGGGGCUAGCAAGUCCCAAGUCCUGAAUUUAAUUGAUGGAGGUUGUGAAUGAGACUCCUCCAAGUGGUCAGAGGUGUGGUUAAGUGACUAAAGUAAAAUGGAAAAUUUAGUCGCUUAGAAAAUGAUCUACGUAUUUGAUCCUCCAUCCCCGAUGGCUCUCUUUUCAGUCUCAUCUUUGACCAAACCUCAAGCUUGCUUUCGCAUUGCCUUCAGUUCAAUCGAAGAAAAGUUUAUGAGAGAGCACGGCAAUGAUUACUUGAACCAAUAGACUAUUCCCUACAGUCUUGAUUGAUCCACUUAUAAUCAUGCCUAGGAAGGAUCCACUAGUGCCAUGCUAAACAGCUACGGACCAGCCUAUUUGCCACUCAUAACAAACCCAGGGAAAGUUUAUUUGCACCCAUGGUACAUGGAACAACUCAUGGAACCACCGAUAGGCUAACAUUAAUCCUGCCAACUCAAAGUGUAACCUCGAGUUGCUAAUGUGCCUCACUCACGAGCCCAAGCGCAAACUCAUGUAACGGAACAACUCAGUCCACCUUAUUGUAAGCAACCAAAGGGAACGACUCGAGAGACGAUCCGUUGGGGUUCAAAUAUAGAGGGAAAGGGCCCAUGAAUAAGAGUGCACCCCCUUUUCCAAUCGGUUAAGGGUCUUGGGAUAUUUGGAGUUAAGCGUCCUUGGGUUUGAAUAGUACUGGGCUGGGUGACCUCCCGGGAAGUCCAAACUCAGGAGUUUACACCUAUGAGCCCAAGAGCAAGCUCAUAUAAUAUAGAACAAAAAGGUAACCAAAACCUAUCCCAAAGAACCAAUGCGAAGUCUUUGCACCAAAACGUAUACCCACUCAGAUCAUCGUUUUCAUCUCUGUGUAUGCAACGAGACUAGUUUCCCAAUGAGACUAGUUGCCCAAUCUCAUUGGAUAGUUCUCGCCGAGACUCUACCUCUGAUACCAAAUGUAGCACACGUGGUUUUGACCCUUUAUCCUAUGGUGAUUUACCAUAGGAUAACACCACGAAGCGGAACCUAAACCCUCUUUGUGCCACGUGACAGAUGCCACGUGUCACAUGCCACGUGUCCAUAGGAACCCGAGGUUUAGGGCCUUGGGCCACUGAACGAAGGAACGGUGCCAAACUCCCAAGCAUGGAGCCAAGGAGUGAUGGAACCGGACCACGGAGCAACUCCCGAGCAUACAGCCCAAGGAGCGAAGGGACAGUCCUCUGGGGUAGUGACCAAGGACAUAGUCGUGUGGUGAGGAAGUCCCAGAGGACCAUGGGACUUAGUGGUCGGGCCUGUGGGCCUCGAUCCAGUGGCAGUGUUGGCAAACACGGCCAGGGGCAGAAAGGCACUUGGUAGGAACUGACAAAGGGACUUUGGGGAAGGCGAUUCCCCAGGUCUGUGGGCAUCCUAAGGAUGUGAAGGAGUGGAUCUAGGAUGACCACUCAUGGACAGAUGGCCCAGUCUUGGAGAGACGGGAUGGUGAUGCAAGUGGUAUUGGACCACUAGUGCAGCAAAGGUGAACGAGAGCCCCCCCCCCCCCCCCUUGAGGAACACACGCUUUGGGCUUAGCCUCCCUUAGUAUCAGGAGUUAGUCUCUGGGACAAGCUCGAAACUUACUAAAUAUGGAAUGUCCUUAGAAUGCGAAUUUGGACACAGGACGAACAUUAUUGUGUUCAGGCUGAUCUCUACAUUCCGUAGAUAUGCCAAAUGAGCAAAUCUAAACACUUUCCAUAAAUAGCAUUUGGGACCGAAAUGAAACUAACACAAAGGGCAUGAUAGCGAGGGUGUUUGGCAGACACGGUAAGCUGUCAUCUAGCGAUAUUGAGGGACCAAGCUCAAUAUCGCGGGGGUUCCAAACACUAGCAAGUGCAAGCCAACAUCAUGAGUUUCUCAUCACCGUGUCAAGUCUGCUUGACUAAAUGACAACUUAGGAUUUCCUUCCUUAGUGCCCUUCCGGUUUAAGUGCACAUGUGAUGACCAGUUUCUCAACUAGCUUAGGCAGAGAUUGAUAAUGAGCCCAGCAAUACCAACCUCCUGCCAUCGUGGCAGUAAGAAAGAAUAUCCGAAAGGACUAGCCGACAGGUAACUUUCGAUACUUGAAGUCACAUUCGCGACAAUGACAAAGUAGCAACCUCCUCCUUUUUUGACUUUGAAGCAAAAAUUAAUGUAGUUACUUGAUGCUAUAUGGUUGUAAUUGAGCAAUUUGUCAUAAAUGUGACUUUGAGUAUCGAAAGUUACCUGUCGACUAGUCUUUACAGACAUUCUUUCCUUACUGCCAUGAUGGCAGGAGGUUGGCAUUGUUAGAUCCUUUAUCAGUCUCCACCUAAGCUAGUUGAGAAACUGGUUAGCACAUGUGCACUUAGACCAGAAGGGCACUAAGGAAGGAAAUCCUAAAUUGUCAUUUAGUCAAGCAAACUUGAUAUAGUGAUGAGAAAACUCAUGAUAUUAACUUGCACUUGCUAGUGUUGGGAACCCCCGCGAUAUUGAGCUUGGUCCCUCAAUAUCGCUAGAUGACAGCUUACGGUGUCUGCCAAACACCCUNNNNNNNNNNNNNNNNNNNNNNNNNNNNNNNNNNNNNNNNNNNNNNNNNNNNNNNNNNNNNNNNNNNNNNNNNNNNNNNNNNNNNNNNNNNNNNNNNNNNNNNNNNNNNNNNNNNNNNNNNNNNNNNNNNNNNNNNNNNNNNNNNNNNNNNNNNNNNNNNNNNNNNNNNNNNNNNNNNNNNNNNNNNNNNNNNNNNNNNNNNNNNNNNNNNNNNNNNNNNNNNNNNNNNNNNNNNNNNNNNNNNNNNNNNNNNNNUAAAAGCCCAAAGUGUGUGUCCUCGAGGGGGGCGGGGGGGGGGGGGGUUAAGGGGGGUUUCAAAUGUAUAUGUAGGGAUAAUGGGUAGGUCAGGCAUGGCUGACCAACCUGAGGCAUAGUUUAACUCUUACUUGCAUGUCUAUCCUUGUUCUACGUCCGGCUUGGGUCUAAACCCAAGUUCCAUAUCAUACUAGUUGGUGGAGUACCCAUAUCCUUGCGUUAGGCUAUUGGUAUGCUGAAAUAGUGCUAAACUCCGUUUGGCUCCGUUUUGCGUGUUGGUUUUGGCAUUAGGAUGUUGGAUGCUCUAUGCUCUUGUCCCUUCGCUCCUCAGGCUUUAUGCUCGAGAAUUGUUCUAUGUCCCAAUGCCAUUGCUCCUUGGCUCUAUACUUAGGAGUUUGGCACUGUUCCUUCAUUUAUCGCCCCAAGCCCUGAAACUUGGGUUCCACACCAUUGUCCUUUGGACAUGUGGCAUAUGUCAUGUGGCAUAAGACACGUGGCACAUGGUGGGUUAGGUUCUGCUUCAUGGUUAUCCUAUGGUAAAUCACCAUAGGAUAAAGGGUAAAAACCACGUGCACUAUAUUUGGUAUCAAAGAGUGAGUCUUAGCAAAUACUAUCCAAUGAAAUUGGGCCACUAAUCUUGUUGCAUAUGUAGAGAUAAAAAUGAUGAUCCAAGUGGUUACAUGUUUGGGUGCAAAGGCUUUUUAUUUAUUCAUUGGGUAUGGAUUUUGGUUACUUUUUUGUACUAUAUUAUGUGAGCUUGCUCUUGGGCUCAUAAGAUGGACUGAGUGAGGCACAUUAGCACGAGUUUGCACUUGGGCUCGGGAGUGUGGCACAUUAGCAACUCAAGGUUAUGCUUUGAGUUGGCAGGAUUAAUGUUAGCCCAUUAAUGGUUCCAUGAGUUGUUUCUUGUACCCUGGGUAAAAGUAAACCUCCCUUGGGUUUGCUAUGAGUGGCAAAUAGGCUAGUGUAUAGCUGUUUAGCACGGCACUAGUGGAUCCUUCUUAGGCAUGAUUAUAAGUGAACCAAUCAAGAUUAUAGGGAUUAGUCCAUUGGUUUAAGUAAUCAUUGCCAUGCUCUCUCAUAAACUUUUCUUAGAUUAGACUGAAUGCAGUGCAAACACAAGCUUGAGGUUUAGUUAAAGAUGAGACUGAAAAGAAAGUUAUCAGGGACAAAGGAUCAAACACGUAAAUCAUUUUCUCUUCUUGGAGAGAUGAUUUGCAACGAGGUGUUAACUCAUUGCUCAUAUUCACAUCAUGCAAUCAAGAGUCCCUACCUUGAUGCAUAUUAGAAGUGAUGAUCUUACAAGUGGUGAAUCAUGGGAUGGAUAGCGAUGAAGCGCUAAACUAUUUUGUUUAGGCUUGCCAUUAAAAGACUUGGGUUACAAUGCUCAAAUCUUUUCCAAGGAACCUUGUUAUUGCUCAUUGAGUAGCUUGGUGUUGGAUUAAUUUUGAGUUUGGUCAGAAAGAGAGUGGCAUGAGCUUGUCUAUGUUAUGAACAAAAAUUAAUGGUGUUGAGUGUUGUAAAUUUCUAUUGGUGGGGUGUCACAUUUAUGUUGCAUUUUAUCAAAUCGAGUUAUGAUACUCAUAUAAACUUUAUAGUAGUGACAUAAGCAUUAUUCAUAGUGUUGCUCGAUCGAUGAUCAAGUUAUUGUGAUUUUUUUAUCAUAUUCAUGUGAUAGUGAGCAAUGUAUUUACGAAGUUGCUUAGUUAAACAAUGAUCAACCCCAAAGUGGGUGAUAGUGAAGCUAAUCUACUUUAUAUAGUAGCAUUUAAGUAGCUUUGACUAAGUUCUCAAUGGUGAUUCAUUAUGCUAAGCUUGAGUUAGUACAUUGUUUCCUUGAGUUUGCCUAUAAGGUGUUGGAAAAAGUUGUAGCAUUCAUUUAUUAUAGCUUGUCGAUUAAUCCAUUAGCAUUUAGAGUAGAUUGUUGGAUGGAGAAGAUGUGUAGUUGAGGCAUUAACAUCACUAGUACUUGUAUUAGUGGAAGUGGUAUUGUUAUUUUGAGUGAUGAGGGAUUUUCCUUAGACCUUGAUAUGUCAUUUUUCUUAUUAGUGUUUUGGCUUCACGUUGGAUCUUGAAAGUGGUUGAAGAAGAGUGUUAGUGCAAUGUGGAUAUCCGAAGAUGUGGUCUUCGUGAUCAAGCCUUAGAUGUUCAAUUUGCAUUUUGCGGAUGUCGGUGUUAGAUGUUGGAAAAUGAGCAAAGAUGUUCGAUGCUUAACAUGCUGCUGGGUCAUAAAAAUUUGUGUUGAGGUGAACCUAUGUAAAGUUGUAAGUAGGAGGAAGUUGGUUGAGUUUUGAAAGUUUGCAUUCCUAUACUGAGAGUCAUUCUUUCUUUAGGAUGGAAAAUUUCCACAAAUUUUCUCUGACUUUUCCAAUGGCUGAUUUGUUGAUUAUUUUGCUUGAAAACCUUUCAGUUUUCUUAAGCUAGUAUAAACUAGUGAAAGGGUUGGAGUUGAUUUCAGUUAGCUUAGAUCUUAGUAAAUAGUUUGUAUAAUGCAGCUCAAAAGGGAUGCUGACUUUUGAGGUUAAAAGCAAUUGAGUUGGAUAGAGUCUGGAGUUGGUGUAGAAAAGUGGCCAUUACACUUUUCUAGAAAGGUGGCCCUUAUGCCUUUCUUUAUAGUAUUUUGCUUAGUGGCAACUUGCACUUUGCAUUUCAUUAAACUCUAUAAGAGUAGUGAGCUCUCACUGAUCUUGACUUAGUCUUGGUAGUUUUGUGCCUUGGUUGAGGAUGGUGAUAUCCAACUUAGUUGUUUGAGGUUGAGAUGUUGGUGCCCAUACUAUAGCUUUGUUUAUGAGGAGGUUGUGUACCAAUAUGAGUCCAUCUCAUAGUCUUCACUUUAAUUUUGACUAAGUGUUGAUUAUGCAUAACUAGCCUCUUCAAGGCAUGUUUAGAGCUAUUGACUAAACGUGUUGGUGAGUUUAUUGUGGUAGAGUUAGAUUUGAGUGGUUAUUUAGUUUAUGCUUGUCCAUAAACCUUUAUCUUGUACCUAGUAUUACGUUUAUAUUGGACAAGUAUAUGACUUGAUGACAUAAGUUUAGUGUUUGGGUAUUAUGAAAGGCAAGUUGAAGAGUGAUUGUUGGUUGCUUUGCAACUAAUGAUUGCUUGUAGAUUUCAUUAAAGACUAUUGACAUUUACUUCGCUCGAUGAUGAUUUAGCAGUGAUAAACUUGCUUUACCAAAUGGUGUUGUGGAGGAUCGUAUCAUUAGACUUACAUGGUUUCCAUGUUAGCAAAUCGAUUCCUUUGUCAAUGUUAUUUUGGUUGUGUUUAAUCCGUAGUGUUAGAUUUCAUUGAGUCUUGGAUAUGGUGAAUCACUCCUUGAUGAUAUGUUAUCUAUAACUGAGUUUGUUAAAGGUUGGUCUCAGAUACUAACCAAGGUAUCUUUGACUUUUGUUAGCUUGGUUGCUAGAAAGGUUUUGGUGGUGAUUCACUCUUGCUUUCUUUUAGCUUUGUUUUGGUGUUGAUGGCAUUGAAGUGAUGUCUUGCCAUUGACAUUAUUAUUGUUGAGAUUCAAGUGGGAUGAAAUGCCUUUCCAUGGGAUUGAUAUUGAGUUUCAUUAAUCUCAAUGUAAAUAGUGUUGAUGCUUGGGUUGUAGCUUUAUAUUAUUGGAGAUUCAAACACUCCAAUAUUGAUCACCAACUCUUCCUCUUGUAGAGUUAGCAUUGUCCACAACUAAAUCACUUUUUAGAAAAAACUCAAAGCUCAACCUUUACUAAACAAUCUCAUCUAGAACACAAUUAACUCAACUUGCAACCCAGCUCAUUUGAAUGCCUUUCCAAAGAGGAGGAUUCAUUGUUCAUCAUAAAUGCUGAGUUAGGGAGUUUACCACCCAUGGCUCUUCCUACACAUAUUCCACAACAAGGCACUAACUUGGCAUACUUCUAUGAUAAUAGUGACAUCUCCACCAAGGUAUAUGUCACUUCAAGCAAUAUUGUGAAUUGAAUAGCAUUGUCAAGGAUAAUCACAAGUUUUGUGACUUCUUGUGAUUGCUCACUAGUCGAGGAGUAGCAUGGGUAGAGACUCUCUUGGAGGUAGACAUGUCUGACUACUCCACAUUCAAAGCAUCUUUUCAAGGUGACUUUGAUUAGUAGCAACGAAUGAAUCGCUUACUUAUGAACUUGUUCACUUUUUGGCAAGGAGCACGGGAAUUUAUGCUAGAGUAUGUGAUGUUGUUUAGGUCUUAUUGGAAAGAGUGUGUCUAGCAUAAGGUUAUCACAAAUGAACCUCAUGGCAUCAUUGCAUUCAUCUUUAGCCUCAAGGGAAAUCUCCAACCCAAGAUGUUCAAGUGAGAGUUUUAAACAUAUCAUAAGGCAUUCACUAUAGUAGAAACUUUAGAGUGGGAUCUUUCCUAAGAGCUCAAGAUUUAUAUGGUAGAGGAGGCUUUUCUCCCAUCUUUUGACAGGAGCUUAUAUGCUACUAUGGUCCAUUCUUCUUUAGCCGUAUAUAGUGAUGAUAUAAUUCCCUCAAUGAUUAAGAAGGUGUUGUUGAAGCUUGCAAGAUAUAAGGAGAUCAUUUAGCAACAACAACAAAUGCAAGAGAAGUUGCUUGAGUUCUAGCUCCUUGCCUAUAUACUUGCCCUUAUUUUAUGUCUGGCUUGGGUCUAAGCCUAAUUGUUGCAGCCAUGGGCAUCUUGAGAGAGAGAGGGAAUAUUUUGAUUCUUGAAAUAUUCCAAAUGGUUGUAUUAAAACCCCGCAAAAGCAAAAAUAUCAAGGAGUUCUACACUUUGUGUCUUAAGCUAGAGCAUGGAGAGAGAGCUUAGGACAUGAGCAAAGCCACAGAAAGGAGGAGGAUUAAAGCGCCAAACUUUAACACAAGUUUCAUACUAUGUUAGCUAGUACAUAAAAUGGAGCUAAAUAGUGUUUAACACUACUUCAGCAUACUAGGGGCCUAAUAUAAAGAUAUGGGUCUUAUGCUGGUCUUAUCAUUGGUAUAUUAAAUGUUUUAGAACUAUUCUAAUAUCACUUUAUGCUUUUGUCCCUUUGCUCUCUAGGUUGUACCUUUAUGAGUCAUUUCGUGAUCUAAUUCCUUCACUCCUUGGUUGUAUGCUUGGGAGUUUGGCUGUGUCCCUUUGUUUAGUGUCUAAAGGCCUUGACACUUGUUCCACUCCACUACCCUUGGCCACAUAUCCAAGGUGUAUGGUUCUACUCCGUGAUUAUCCUAUGGUAAAUCGUAAAUCACCAUAGGGUAGAGGGUGAAAAUUAUAUAUUCUACAUGUUUUAAUGCAAAAUUUAAACUCUGCUGACUAUAACAUAUAUGGUUUUCACUAUUUAUCCUAUAAUGAUUUACUAUAGGAUAACCACGAAAUAAAAUGUUAACCUUUGGCUACAUGCCAAGGGCAAUGGAGUAGAAUAUAAGGUUUAGGGCUUUGGGCCACUAAAUAAAGUGAUAGAGCCAAACCCCCAAGCAUGUAGCCAAGGAGCAAAGGAACUGGAAUACAAAGUGACUUCUAAGCAUUCAACCCAAAGAGCAAAAUGACAAAAGCACAGAGCAACAAAGGAAUAAUCCUAGAGCAUAUUAUAUCCAAUGCCAAGAUUAACAUGCAAAAUGAAGCCAAAUAAAGUCUGACACUAUGGAUAGAUCCAAGCUGGAUGUAAAACAUGGAUAAACAUACAAACAAAAGCUAGACUAUACCUCAGGUUAGUGGGCCAUUCCUGACAUACCCACUAUCUCUAUUAUACCCUAUAUUCCCUAAAUAACUAAUAGGACCAAAACAGGACUAACACUAUAAGUGACUAAUUUUUCCAUUUUACUUUAGUCACUUAACCACACUUUUGACCAUUUAGAGAAGUUUUAUUCACAACCUCUAUAAAUCUUCUUCAGAACUUGGGGAGAUAUUAGCCUUGUGAAUGGCAUUUAUGCCACUUAGCCUUUGCACUUGGUCCAAGUGCUCCAUGUGUUCAAUCCUAUGACCGACACCCAAAUGUACCAUUGAUAUAUCAGCCCAUUAUGUUAAUGCCAUGCUUAUUCAUCUUUGUCACAUUGAUAGUCCAAAACCACCUGCAUCACAAUCCUAUCUCUCAAAGAUUGGGCCAUCUGUCUAUAAAUGGUCAUUCUGUCAGGAAUCCCCCAAUUCUUGCCACAUUCUUGACUCUCACCGGAUUCCUCACCCACAGACCAUAUUCCGGACUCUCGAGACACUUCCCUAUUCCUGACUCUUUGAUUUCCCAUAUGAUUCCUGAUUCUUGAACCAUAUUCCUGAUAAUGAUAUGGCGGCUGCUCGACCUCAGUUAUAUUUAGGCCGUCCUCUGUAGUGCAUGUGAUCAUGGGAUGAGAUUUGGAUAUACUAUCACCAUAGAUCUUUGGAACCUUGGGGGAUAAAUGGGGAUAAAAUAACCAUUAAGAGUUCUCUUAUCAAGCAAUUGCCCCUUUUCCAGUUGGCUUAAAGGGAGAGAGAUAAGGUGCGCUACAGUUGGUAUCAGAGAAAAUGGCAUGGGUUCGAUUCCUAUUGAUUAGUGGCUAUUUAAAAAUAUAAUAUACCCUUGAGCAAGGUAUAUUCCUACCCCUAAAUUUGAAAUCGUACGUAUUGGACAUCCAUGUGUACGUCCUUCUUUUUGCGUGGAGUAUCCACGGAUGGAAAUAUCCACUGUAGGACUGUAGUACGGGUGGAUGAUUAGUUGCCUCACAUGGAAUAGUUGGUCUACAUAAUGGAAGGAUUGGUAGAUUAAGUGUGGAAAUGGAGGUGCUGGUUCCCUUAGCUCAGUAGGGGUUGUUAGUCAAUAGUCAAUGAGGACAUUGACAUCUAUGAAAGGGGGGUGAGUGUAGCGCAUGUGAUCAUGGGAUGAGAUUUGGAUAUACUGUCACCGUGGAUCCUUGGAACCUUGGGGGAUAAAUGGGGAUAAAAUAGCCACUAAGGGCUCUCUCAUCAAGCAAUUGCCCCUUUUCCAGUUGGCUUAAGGGGAAAGAGAUAAAGUGCGCUACAGUUCCUCGAUCCAAGAGUGGUAGAGCGUCAUCAACCUAUAGUAUAUAUAGGCUAGCCUUGUUCCAUUUUUCCACUAUCUGAAUCAACACCAGUCUAAGGCCUUUUCUUCGUCUUCACUAGCUUUUCUCUUUGUCUUUUGCAUUUUCCAGUUUUGAUCUUGUUAGGGAUCUUGACAGUUUGAUUCAAAUUGUGCUUUUUGCUUUUGCUUUAGCUCGUUUGAUUGUUUGAUUGCAUUUGCCUUUUUCCCCCUUUUCUUUCUUCUUUGCUGAUGGAGUCUCCAAGCCAUCCUAAUUUCUUGGCUAAAGUCCUUGCAAAAAUCCAGUAUAAGAAUACCAAGUUGAAGGUGGCCCUUCUUCACAUCCAAUAGGAGCUUGCUUCACUUUUGGCUCAAGGAUCAAGUAGAGUUCCUGAACCGAAGGUGAGUUUCUCGACGAAGUUCUUAGGCAAGUGUUUAGAGCUUCGCGGAUUCUUGAACUAGAUGGAGCUGAUCUUCGCACUUCAACAUCGGCGGUACCCCACUCCCAAGUCUCAAAUCGACGCAAUCAGGAUGUUGCUCUAAGGUGCAGCUUUGUCAUGGUUUUCUCCUCUCUUGGAGAAGAGCAUGAAAGAGGUCGUGGUUCCGAAGCUAAUGGAUCUUCAGUUGUUCAAAGAGAAGCUUGAAGCAUGUCUUGGCGAGACGGAUCAAUUUUGGGCUGCCACCACAAAGAUGAGACGUCUCUCUCAAGGGUCUUAUCCUGCCUCAAUCUAUGCUGCGGAGUUCCAACUCCUUGCCUUGGACACUCAAUGGGAUGAGCUGGCCCUGAUUGAUCAAUUUCGCUUCACCCUUAACAACGGUGUCAAGGAUUUGUUGCUAACCAUGGAGGAUCCCACGGACCUAUUGCAUGCCAUCAACAAAGCUGUUCGAUGCAACAAUUGUCUCUUUGAACAUCAUUAGGAAAGUCGCCGUGCCACUGUUUUCCGUCCUAGACUCAGAAAUCCCAGCUUGAGUCUUUGGGGCAUACUUCUGAACCUACUGCUUCAGUUCCGAUGGAUAUUUCUGGUACUCCCUGACUCAUCAGAGGGAAGUUGAGUCCUACUGAGAAGCAACGUCGAGUAUCUCAGAAUCUUUGCCUCUACUGUGCUGAUCCUAAUCAUAAAGUAGUUGUGUGUCCCAAGAAGCCUCCCCAACUGCUUGAGUUUACUCUGCCUCAAGGUCCACCUCUGUUGCAGUCGGGAAAAGACCAUGUCAAAAAAAAGUAGGACCUAUCUGUUUGGACUCCCCAAAUAAAAAUCACUUUGUUCUUUAUCAAGCUCCUCACCACCUUUCAUCAAAGCUACCACCAAUUCCCACAACUUCCGCAUCCCAUAUCUCCUUUCUUUCACCGGAUAAUUAGGACUCAAGGCUCUGGCACUACUGGACUCAGAUGCAACUUCUUGCUUCAUGGAUAUGAACUUUGCUGCUUGACAUCACGUUCCUCUUUCUCCUACCAUAUGGGAUCUAAGGGUUGAAGGCAUCGGCAGGCAUUUUGUGUCUCCAUCUUUUAGACUUAGGGAAAUGUUGCCUAUUCGAGUACACAUUAGGUCCACCGUCACUGAUAUCGCCUUCAACAUCAUCAACAGCAAGUCCUCCUUUAUGGUGUUUGGCCUUCUUUGGUUCCAACUGCACCAGCCUCAAAUCUAUUAGAAGGAAUUAUAGUUCGUCUCUCCCACAUCACCAUCUCCCACGUCUUCCCUUACUGUUCAUCGAAUCCAAAUCAGGAAAAGUUCCCUAAACUCAAAUUGGGAUUUUGUUCUUGAAUCUACGAAGUUUUCACCCUCUUUGCUCCCUAUCCCUCAAUCUUCUUUUCCCUCUCUUCCAUCUUACACUGGACAAUAUCCUCGUCCCAUCAUUCCAUUCACCUGUACUAUCUCCACAAUCACUAUGAAAGAACUCCUUUAUGAAAAACUUGUUUUCCUUUUUGCUUUGCAUGUUUCUCCUGUCAGUCAACCUGAGAAGUAUCAUGAUUUUGGCAAUGUGUUUGACAAAAAAAAAGCUAGUGUACUACCUGUUUAUCGGCCUUAUGACUGUCCCAUUGAUUUAUAGGAAGGAGUGUCACCUUUGUGGGGGUCUAUCUACGAGUUAUCCCCGUCCGAGCUUAAUGCCCUCAAAGAGUACGUGGAUGAGAACUUUGCAUGGGGGUAUAUUCAGCAUUCACAGUCCCCGGUUGGAGCACCUAUCUUCUUUUCAAGAAGAAUGAUGGGAGUUUGCAGCUAGUCAUCAACUACCGAGGUUUGAACAAGGUAACUGUUCAAAACUGUUAUCUGCUGCCCCUGAUCUCGGACCUAUUGGAACACCUCGACGGUGCCUGCUUCUUCACCAAGAUCGACCUCCAUGGAGCAUACAACCUGAUCUGGAUUUAGCUUGGCGAUGAAUGGAAGACUACAUUCCGAACCCGUUAUGGCUGCUUCAAGUACACUGUCAUGCCAUUUGGCUCGACAAAUGCUCCAACAAUUUUCCAACACAUGGCGAACAACGUCUUUCAGGAGUUUCUUGAUUAGAUGGUGAUCGUCUACCUCGACGACAUCCUCAUCUACUCAAAAACUCAAGAGGAGCACGAUGAGCAUGCGUGCAAGGUGCUGGCAAAGCUGCAAGAACACGGCCUAUACACAAAGCUUGAGAAAUGUUCCUUCAAUCAAGAGUCUGUGGAGUUCCUUGGGUAUAUUGUCAUUCUUGAGGGUAUCAUGAUGGAUCCUACCAAGGUUUUCCUUGGCUUCGCCAACUUCUACUGCAAAUUUAUUGAUCACUACUCUGACAUUGUCCUUCCUCUCACACAUCUCACUCACAAGGAUGUUCCCUUCUCUUGGUUUGCUGCUACCUAGCAGGCCUUCAACACACUCAAGGUGGCCUUCAAUUUUGCUCUUAUCUUGAUCCAUACUGAUCCCUCACAACCUUUUUUCAUCGAGGCAAACGCCUCCGACUUUGCCAUCAGUGUUGUGCUAUCUCAACUCAGAGCGGUUUAGGUUUAGGAGUACCAACGGAUCAGGAAUUUCAUCCGGUCGCUUUCCAUUCUCGGAAAUUCCAGCCUAUGGAGAUCAAGUACAAAAUCCACGACAAGGAGCUCCUUGCCAUCAUGGAUUCCUUUGGAGAGUGGCAUCGUUUCUUGGAGGGGGUGAGCCAUCAAACAACGGUUUGGACGGAUCACAAAAAUCUCAAGUACUUUGCCACUUCCCAAGUUUUGAGCCAUCGUCAGGCAAGGUGGGCACAAUUCCUGAGUCAGUUUGACAUUGUUAUCAAGUACAGACCUGGAAAGCUUUAGGGCCUUCUUGAUGCUCUUUCAAGGCGCUCCUAUCUCAGUCUCAGGCUUAGUAAUCUUGCUUUCGAUCAACAGGAUCAGGUUAUCCUCAGUCCUGAUCGGCUUCAAGUUAUGGCAAUUUCCUCAUGACUGCUCCUUGAUGGAUGCCAUCAGAAACGAUCUUCAAUCCGAUGACCUCGCCAGCAAUAUUUUCCCCCAUCUUCAGGCUGGACACCCAGUGACUCCCGACUACCGGUGAUUUGACGAGUUCGAGUUCUUAGAUGGCUUAUUGUACCGUGAGGAGCAGCUUUACGUUCCUAAAGGUGAUGCUCGAAGGUUGGUCCUGAUGGCGUGCCAUGAUAGCCCGAUUACUAGUCACUUCGGUAUUGUGAAAAUUUAUAAGCUAGUUGCACGGGACUUUUGGUGGCCUCACAUGGAUGACUACAUCAAAGCUUUUGUUACCUCCUGUGACACUUAUGCCUGGAAUAAAGUACCUCACCACCAUCCUUCAGGUUUGCUUCGUUCCCUCCCGAUCCCUUCAGGUCCUUGGGAAUCCAUCUCCAUGGAUUUCUUGAGUGAUCUUCCGAGUUCUGGAGGCUUUAACAGCAUUUUAGUUGUGGUGGAUCACUUCACAAAGAUGGCACACUUCCUGCCAUGUAUUAACGAGUUUUCAGGCAAGGACAUGGCAAAACUGGUAUUCAGGGAAAUUUUCCAACUUCAUAGGAUUCUUGCAUAUGUAGUUUUGGAUCGGGGACUUUAGUUCAUCUCUCAUUUCUAGCAAUGGUUCUUGCAGCUGCUUGAGUGAAGGCCAACCUCUCUUCGUUAUAUCAUCCUCAAAUUGAUGGACAAUCCGAGCAAACGGUUUAGACGUUGAAACAAUUCUUGAGGUGCUUCAUCAAUUAUCAUCAAGAUGACUAGUUCAAUAUCCUUCCCUUUGCUAAGUUCUCCUAUAACAACUUCGUGCACUCCUCCCUUCAAGUUUCCCCUUCUUUGCAAACUCUAGCCGAAAUCCCCGAUUCAAUCUCUCACUUCCUUCUCCAUCUGAAUCCUCUCAUUCAAAUCCCCGCUUUGAGGCAUUUUUCUCCAACCUCUAGGAUAAUCCACAACUCCAUCUCCUUCCACCUCCAUCGUGCUCAGGAAUCUCACAAAACAAUCGCCAAUGUCCAUUGUCAAGAUUGUCCCUCUUACAAUAUCGGGGAUAAAGUCUGGCUCCUCAGGCGAAAUAUCUCCACCACCAAGCCAUGUCCUAAACUCGAUUUCAAACACCUUGGUCCUUUCCCUAUCAUUGCCAUCAUUAAUCUUGUCACUUAUCGCCUUGCACUUCCCUCCUCAUAUCAAAUUCACCCUGUUUUUCACUCUUCUCUCCUUGAGUCUUAUAUUCCCAGUCCUAUUCCAAAUCGGGUAAUUCCUUUGCCUCCACCAAUGUAGCUCAAGGAUGGGUUUGAGUACAAGGUUCAGGACAUCCUUGAUUCCAAGAUCUCACGGUCUAAACUCUACUAUCUAGUAGACUAGAAGGGUUAUGGACCUAAGGAACGCACUUGGGAACCUAUGGACAACCUGAUUCAUUCUCCUGACCUUGUUCAGGACUUCCACCGCUGCUAUCUUUCUCGUCCCAGUCCUCAUUCUUUUCAUUCUCCAUCUCCCGUCCCUCGAUGCCCAUCUCAUCCUCCUCUUCGUUCUCAUUCACAUCCUUGUUCCACUCGUUCUUGAGGAGGGGGUGCUGCCAAGAAUCCCCCAAUUCUUGCCACAUUCCUAACUCUCGAGACACUUCCCCAUUCUUGACUCUUUGAUUUCCCAUACAAUUCUUGAUUCUCGAACCACAUUUCUGAUGAUGAUAUGGUGCCUCCUCGACCUCAGCUAUAUUUAGGCCGUCCUUGAUCCAAGAGUGGUGGAGCUUCAUCAACCUAUAGUAUAUAUAGGUUAGCCUUGUUCCAUUUCUUCACAAUUUGAAUCAAUACCAGUUUAAGGCUUCUUCUUUGUCUCUACUAGCUUUUCUUUUUGUCUUCUGCAUUUUCCAGUCUUAAGCUCUAUUUCGUUAAAGUGGGAAUUGUCAUUAUCCCACUUGUAAAAUAAUGUUUCCAAACCUUUAUAUAGUAUAUAAAUAUAACAAAAUUCAACUGCAUUGAGGCACAUGCCAUUUUAUUUUAAACAAGGAAAUGUCUACUCAAUCACUUCUCCUCCCCCUGCCACUGCUUCACCUCUCUCUUCUCCUUGUCAUUGUCGUCCAAUUUCUCUCCAUCCUUUUAAUAUUGGCUCAGUUGCUCCGAGUCUAGGUGGAGCCCAAGUCCCCAUUCAAUCUUUACUUUCCCAUUAUUAAUAAAACAACUUCGUAGACUUCCAAUAACAUGCUGUAACACUUCUAGUAUAAUGCAAAUCCUCUCAAAGAAUUGUCUUUUAAUAUUAAUACAAUGGCAUGGAACCCCAUGCCAUAAUAAGUUACAUUUUUAAAUAAAUACAUGCCAUCUCAGACUGUUAUUUUUUGCCUCCAACGCCUAUACAAUAAUCUUGGAAUUUCAUCACUCUCCACACUAUCAGGAUUUAAACCCAAUAGUAAUGCCAUCUCUUCUCUAAUACGUCCACGCUCAUGUUCAGUGGUCGAAGAACCCAUCCGGUUGAGCAGAUUAUGGAGAUGCGGAUAGUGCUUGGCUAGACAAUAUACAUGCCAUAAAUGAUGACUGGUGUCUGUCCGAUCAAAUGGCUUCUGAUAUACCGUUCCAUCUGCCAUUUGGUUGAUUUCUGCAGCCACCUCCUGGACUGGCUGGUUCUCUAUCACCAUCGCUCCAAGCCGUUUUGCAAGGUCCCCCAGAACAUACGGUUUCUUCUCCCUAGUUUCCAUACUGCAAGAGAUGGGGUGCACUGCAUAUGUGUGCGUGUUCGCUGCAGUUUUAAUCGGCGAGUCAUCGAUGAUGAGGAUUUCACUUGACCUAGCAGUCCGGUUCAUCACUACAGCCUCUGGCUUGACGAAGAUGGGCUUGCUACCCCUCACAUGGACCAUAGUCAAGCAAUCCUCCUGCGUUAGGAGAAAGUCAAAUGGUAAUAUUACUCGCGUCUGAUCGUGCAUCAUCUGUAGCAACGUUAAUGCAUUGUGGCGCAUCAUGGAUGUCCAAACUCCCAAUUGCAAAUUGAACCCGGCCCUCUGUUUUAAGUGUCGCAUGGUCAUUAUUAGAUCCCGCAGUUUCUCCCGUGUGAUUAAUGUGAAUCUGUCUCUUUUGACCAACUUGCGACCGCAGGCUUUGGAGGGUGCAAUGACAUUCGAGGAUGAGCCACGCUCAUGGGAGAAAAGGACACCGUUCAGAUCAAAAACGAUACAGUACCUUCGCCGUGACUCUGAAAUGAAAUGCGUCAGCAUAAAAAAUGGUACAAGUCAAUUUUACCAUCUACAAUAUUAGCGAAUGUUGCUCCCGAUGGUCGUUGAGAGGGUUUUGGUCGAGGAAACGUGAAGGGCGGAAAUACUCUCCUCUGCAAUGUGGGGUCAAUUGCAUCCGAUGGCGUGUGGGCACAUGCCAUUUCAGCUGUAGACUCUGGUACAACUGGCUCAACAGUGGCAUGGGGUGGUUCCGAUGGCCUGUGAUCACACGCCAUUUCAGCUGGUGCCUCCGUUGGCAAAGUGGACAUGACCGAACAGGCAGCAGGGGUGGUGUAGGGAGGUUCCAACGGCGCGUAGUCAGACGAUUGGGCACACGUUGAGUCCGUUGGAAAUGAGGAUACGACCGGCUCGGCGGCUGGGGCGGCCUCAUGUGAGUCCAAUGGCGCCUGGUCACCGUCAGUUGGAUACGUGGACAAGAUUGACUCAGUGGUAUGGGCAGCAUCAAGUGGAGCGUGGUCAGCUUGCUUGGCGUUGAUAUGGAUAGUAGCCUCCACCAGCUCUGAUGACUCUUGCAGCCAAGUAGAGUCCACUGGCGGAUCCAUAUGCAUGUCCAAAUAUCUCCCUUCGAUUGAGAUGGUAUCCUCCCGUGCUACUAAAAACAAACUCAUUAGCACAUUGAAUCGACUAUACUGUAUUUACCAUCAACUGCUAUUGAGGAACUAGGACUGAUAUCACUUGGGCGCACUGCUGAUUCUGAAGGAUUGGACAUACGUUUCGACCCUUGCUUGGCACUAUCCUUCCUCGACACUAAAGGCUAGAGUUUGUAAAUUCAACUGAAUAAUCUCUACUUACCAUUUGCUCUGCGACCUACAUGGACAAUGUUAGAAAUGGUAAAAGGUUAGGAAUGGAUGUACUAUUAUUUACCUGAUGGUUUGUCUUGUAUGACCUUCCUCCGCUGCUCUUUGGCCACCUCAGGCUGGCCAUCGUCGUCAUCAUCGUCGUCGUUGUUAUUCUGAUCGUCACCAUUGUGAGGACCAUCCAAGUCCUCUUCGUCCUCCUCUUCUUUGUCCUCCUCUUUGUCCUUCUGCUCUUCCUGCUCAUUAUCUUUCUCUGGCUCCUCAUCCCCCUCCUGCAUUUCUUCCAUAGGCUGCUCAGGCUGGAUGGCUUGUUCUUCCAGGACCAUCUUGGGAAAAUCAUCUGGCCGAGUCUCCAUCUCAAAAUACAAGACAUCCAUAGCCUGUUUUAGUGCGUGACCUAGGACCGUAUCCUCACCCGACUGUCUUAACAUGGUUUCUGCACGUUCUUGCACCCUUCGAAGACGACGAGAUGAGAAAAACGUGGCCCUGACUUGAAAAGCUUCCCUCAUCCAUUGUACCUCUCCAUUGAGAUUGGGGAAGGGGAGUCUGCCAUAGGAAUCUGAGUCAUGAGGUGGUGACUGCCUGCUUUCACUCAGCCCUUGAUCUGCAAUGAAUGGCAUGAGCACACACGCCAUAACCGCGAGGCAUUACCUAUCAUCUUUUCGUUGCCCUUCUUCCUUUUCGAAUCAAACGCCUCUGAUCUCGACGACUGUCCAACGUGCUUUCGCUUUUUAUGACCACUGUCAGUUUGAGCUUGGCUGGUGCUUGCCUGUUUUGCCUUUGAAGAAGUUUCUCCUGCAAGGAAUGGCAUGAGACCACACGCCAUUGCAAAUAUAAUUUGUACCUCCUUUUUUCCUAUUGCUUGUCUGUUUGUCCUUCUUCGAUGCACCACCAGCGCGCUUUUUAGUCCUCGUGUCUGAAUAUUCACAACGAUCUAUAAUCAAAAUGGCGUGAGGCCUCACGUGACCUUACCUUGUGCAGGUUGUGAGCUCGGCCCAACAUGGGUAUCUUCAACAGUAGCUGUUAACGCCGUUUCAGCAUUUGGGGGUGGCCACGCUCCUGCAUAGAGAGCUUGUGAGAUAACAUUUAAACUUAAAGUGUGUACUCACUAGGUUCGCAGAGAAGAUACUGUUUUUCUUUGGCAACUGUAAUUAUAUGCUCCAUUGAAGUCACCUCUUCAAUGGAGUUUGUCACCGCAACACACGGGACACCCUUGAGUAGUGCGGCUCGAAAGAAUAGUCCGCCGCAGUUGUACUCGACAACGCAUUUGCCCUUGGAGUCGAAAGCAGGUGACCCACCCGCUAUUGCGUUGAAGACCCAGCUGAGCAUUUCCCAUGCUGCACCUAGAGCUUUCUUUGGAUUCGAAAGCUCCAUAGCCGUCUUCAGUUCCUCAGGCACGGGUAAAUUGACCUCCCUCAGAUCAAUUCGAUUGGCCUUGUCGAACGAAGCUGGGAAGUCACUACAGUCCCACUCUGCUGCAGGACCAAUAACAAGGGCGAGUGUGAAGAUGCGGACAUUCGUCAGUAUCUUCUUCUUAGCCAUUAUCCCAUGGAUCUCCCGCAUCUCCUUGCCUUUCAACCGAGCCUUCACCUCGUUCAAGGCCUUCCAGAACUUGUGAUAGGAUUCGGAGUCGUAAAUCAUAUAGUGGACUGAAGAUUCUACCUCCGCAAGUCCCACCAUUAAGUCAAUGAUGGAGCUGACUUCGUCUGCAUGAGUGAUCUCCUCGUUUGUGAAGUCCAUCACACAAAAGAUGUUCUUGACCUGCUCAUCUCCGCGGGAAACGAUGCUCCUCCACCUUUGAUCCUCAUCCGAAUUCAAGUAUACCCGGUAAGGUUCUCGAUAGGCCUCUGCUGCGGGGUCGAGCUGUUUCUGAAGCCGGCGGUCGACAUCAAUCUUAAUGAAAUUUGGAUACUGAUCCAACUUCUCAGCUUUACUUUUCAUGGCAUCCCACAGCAGAUCGAUGAACUUGGGGGCCCCCUUCACGUACUCGUCGAUGUCUUCAUUUGACAACUCCAGCGCUUCCAUCAUCUCUUGCGUGGUGUCGAUGCUCACCCUCUCCACGGCCACUUGCUCGAAGAUCCAAUCCUUCAAUAGCGCACGAGCUCUCAGAGUCGUGCACAAGUCCUCGUAUGUCACAAUAUGGCCGGGAGUCAUUUUGGUCUUGUUGAAGACUACCUCACCACGUAGAAGAGCAUUAGCCACUGUCAAAAGGUCGUCGUCGUCUAGAGACCGCGAGAAACGCAAGGCGUUGAGCUUCAAAUCAUUGGGCUUCCGGCCGUCCUCCACACCCAUUGAGUUUGGCAACUCCCCAUCAUGGUACCUCCUCAGCACAUCUACCCAUUUGUCAAAAACAACUUUUGUCGCGAGUAGAAUGUUAUGGAUGCUGAGUGUGUCAUUGACCCCCAGUGUUUUCGAGAGAAGACUCGAGAAUUCCUGCAAUGGAAAUGGCGUGAGGCCACAUGCUAUGCCACAUGCAACGAGGCUUACCUGCCAGGCGCUAGUUGCUAGUGCACGUCCUUGUCCUGGUUUUUGUGGCUUCUUCAGUUGAACCCAGAGCUUCCGUGUUCGUGCCAAUGUCUCGUGCAGACCCGAUUUGUAGCACGUUUCUUGCUUGACAUUCUGCGCGUGGGAGAUGUAUAUGAUAGAUCGGAGGGGCGAGUUGCCUUUUAUCAGGCGGACAACUCUUGUCUUGAAGACUUUCUUCACCUCCUCGCCCACCAUAAUAUCCACAACUAUCUCUUGCAUCGCCAAGCUAGAAUGCUGCCCGGAGACGGCAUAGAACCGGAUAUUCUGAUCGUCCAACACCUUGUAUUUGCUUUGGAUGUCAAUACGGCUCACGUCGAUUGUAUAUACUUUGUUGGAAUAGUAACAAGUACUAUUAUCUGCGACGAUUUUUGCUGCCUCUUCUUGCUCUUUCUGCUCUUUGCGGCUCUUCUUUUUGGUGGGUGUAGUGUUCGAACCCGAGGCAAUGGCAUCACUGAGUAGCUUCUUUUUUGGAGCAGGAGAGUCGGACGUCGGCUUGAGCUUGACCACCCUUUUCUGCUUCGAGGUAGUUUCCAGAUCGACCCCCUUCCCCUUUGCUUCGCGAACUGGAGUCACUCUCAACGGCUCAAUGUUGGAAUAUAGUUUUUGAACAUCGCCGUAGGUGAGGUCCGUGGAUUCCAUAUGAUCUUCAUAGACCCGCAGCGUCUUUGAAAUUGUGGGCCUCCUGGACAACCUCUCCCUAGCUCCCUCUAGGAAUUCCUCAUAGCCGCUGCCCCCCUCCGGGAAGCCGCUAGGAUGUGCAAGGUGGAUCUUGAAGGCAGACGCUGUCUCUACCACAAGUGCCAGUCCAUAUUCUUGCAUGGAACUGCAUGGAGUGUCUGUCACUUGGAUGAGGAUCCCCAUGCAUUCUUUUCUCCCACCAUCUGUGUUGUACAGCCUCAGAUCCUCGCCUUCCAUCCCGAAAGUCCAACUGGUGAGCUCCUCCCCCUUCUCUGCAUCCACAUUGACAGUGGCUGGAAGAAGAACGCAAUUCCUCGCCUGUUCAGAAAUGCACAACAAUUAGAGCUGACAGAUGAAAAGCUAGUAGCUGGAAAUAACGUGAGGCCACACGCCAUUCACCACUGCAUCAAAUGUCUUGAGGCUGCAUCCUAAGAUGGCGUGAGGCUACACGCCAUCUGUAACCGGACUGCACUCGAGAGCCCAAUCGGUGCAUGCCAAUGUUGCUACUGAAUGGCAUGUGGCCUCAUGCCAUUUUCUACUUGGCCUAAAAGACUUACCAUUUGAAGCCGAAUGGAGGCGUGACAACCGGACUCGCUGGCGAAUGUGCACUGUGUGUGUAGCGGAUCAUAGCAGCAAGGCUACUCUGCCACUUACAGUUGGAGAGUGGCACUGAAAUCUCCCGGGACGCCAAGUGGGCUGCGUGUGGGUGGCGGAGUGGGCGGCGGAGUUGGCGGCGAAGUUACAAACUGGGUGUGUCUUGAAGUGGACGCCGAUGCACACGAGCGCGAUGCGAGCGCGAGUGUGAUGCAAGCGCGAGUGGAUGCCGAUGCACAUGAGAAACCUGUAGAGAAGUGGGAGCGCGAGUGGGAGCGCGAUGCGAGCGCAAGUGUGCGAGCGCGAGUACGAAGCAAAAUGCAAAACCUAACCUCACACGCGCGAAAUGUCACGACGGUUGGUAAUCCCGCCACGUCAUCAUUCCUCGGACUUGGGCGCCACCAUUAAUUUCUGGAUCGCCGCGCGCAUGCGUGAAAUCCAAGAGAAAUCCGCAACGUCAUCAUUCCUCGGACUGCAUGCACGCGAAAUCCAAAAGAAAGAUCAUGAUUGGGAUAUCAUUUAAUACCCUCGCUAUAUUUAUACCAUGCAUGAUUGGAUAUUCCAAAGCAUCUUGUAUUUCCAAAAAUGCCAGAUGUUCAGCUAAAUAAAUUGUCAGAGGAUUUGAUGUGACGUUCAAGCGUGUGGGCUCAUGCAAUUUUGAUCCCAAAAAAUGCACCAAAAAAUGCUCGGCGUCAUCUGGCGUUAUCUCUUGAAUGGCGUGGGGCCGCAUGCCAUUUUCAGGAGCACAUAGGAGUAUAUUCCUAGAAUAUUCUAACACGCGCGAAAUUGUUUUGAAUUUCCUGGAGAUCCAACCGUUAGAUCGCAACUAGAUUUUACAGAAUGGUAUACAAUGUCCUUCUUGAUGACCCUGCAAAGAAGCAUCUCAAUCGGACACCACAUGAGACCACACGAGCCUUACAAUGUUUCAGGGGCAUUUGCCAUAGAUCCGACCGUUAUUUUGCUCCAAGAUUCUACAGUGUGGUGUGCAUUGACCUUUCCAUCGACACUGCAAAGGGACAUCACAAUCAGAUGCGGGAUCACAAGAAACCAACUUCACUAACUCUGGUUUCACCAAGAUCUACGUAAGGAGUUAUGAAAUGAAAGGACCCUCUCUAUUGAAAUGUGUUUAUGGUCCUAGGGGCAUUGUGACAUAUCAAAGGAUUUUGCAUCAAGUUCUGUAUUUGCAUGUUUAUCAAGCUACUGAAUUGCUAAACCCUAAACCCUAAACCCUAACCCUAAACAUGUGGCAAAUGCUGGGUGAAGAAAGAUGCCCUUUCUGGGCAAAUGCUGUAAGAGGCAGAUUCCGAGCAGAUGUAUCUCAGAUCAGCGAAAGGGACAAACGAAAGCUAGCUAUAAACAUGACGGGAUGCAAAUAGAUUACUAGGCUGGUCCUACGAAAAUCAAAAACCAUAAUUGAAAACAUUGAAAAUGCAAAAAGAAAGGUUUAUAAUAUUUUUGAAUUUUAAGCAACCAAAUGAAUGUAAGUAGGGCAUGUGUUUGUAAGUUUAAAAAUGCCUCAACCACUUAAAUUCCCAAGUAAAUAAAGUUGUUUCUAUUUUUGGUACAGGUAAACUUUAUAGCGUGUGGGCUCAUGCAAUUUUGAACCCAAAAAUGCACCAAAAAAUGCUCGACUAGCAUUAUUCUUUGAAUGGCGUGUGGCCUUAUAUUGCCAUAAAUGGACGUACACACACAGCAUAAUUAUUCCUUUACACGGUGAAUAAUCUUGGCGCAGAUCGCUGACAUGGCAUGGCAAAGUUCGAAUCACUGACAUGGCACAGCUGGAUCGAGGCAAGGACAUGAUGUGACAAAGUUCAACCUCCGACAGCAAAGUCUAGAAGCUACUCAGUUUGAAAUUUGUCAGAGGAAUCAUAAGAUCUGGUUUGUUAGAGGAUUUGAUGUGACGUUCAAGCGUGUGUUAUUUUUGAAUUCUCGAACUCAUUCCUAGGUCUAUCAUUUUUGUGCGCCGUGUUCUUGGUUCCGCUAAGCGCAGUGAGCGCUACUUGUGUAAGCGGCGUUGUGAGCUGUGGUUUAUGCGUCUACAAGCGGUUGCGGCAUUGCGAGCGCCAUUGCGAGCGGCAGUUUAUGCGAGUGGCAGUUUGUGCGAGCGGCGCUACGAGCAGUUGCGGUGUUGUGAGCGGCACUGUCUUUGGUGUGGCUACCACUUCCUCUUGAUAUUCGGCACUUGUGCUUCCUGGUAUGUUCACCAUGGAAUGGCUUAGGACCACAUUUAGAAAUGGCAUGAGGCCACAUGCCAUCUUGGGCCCUUGCAAUUUCAUGGCUAGCAUAUUGUCAUGUAUGUUUUUACUUGCCUGCAGCUGUGUGUAUAUCAAGAUGGCAUGAGGCCUCAUGCCAAUUUUGUGAAUGCGAAAUUUCACGUGGGUGUCAAUAGCAUGUUUGAAUAAUGGCAUGUGGCCUCAUGCUAUUUGGUAUGUUAUGAUUUAGGCCAUUCUCCAAUCAUUUUUUGUAUGGUCUUAACUUCUUUUCUGCACUUUCAGAAUGGCCUUCAGGGUUGGGGAAAAGGUUUACAUUUUGAAUGGUGGGAAGAGAGUUGCAAAAGGGACCCUUGUGUUUAUGGAUCGGAACUUUGUUAUACAAUGUCAAAGGCUUGGGGAAGGCAAUGCUGCUGUAUCAGUAGAGACUGUCUUCAAUGGGAAUGUGGUCGCUAUUGAACGAGGAGAGAUGGUCGUCGGGGUAAAUGUUGUUGUUGCCUUGAAAAAUCUGCAGAAGAAAAUAGAUGUUGGGGACAGCGCAAGUGCGACGCAUGUUCCCUCCGUGGAUCUUAAGAACCGUGCUACAUGGAUUCAGGCAAAGGUGUUUCUAAACAACCCCGAGGGGGAGGUGGUAGCUGAGGGCUUAGCCACAGUUGUCGAUCCAAGAGAUGCGGUUGCUAAUCAAGAAUUGGGCUGGGAUGAUAUUGGAGUUGCGAUUUUAGAGGUUGUUGACACAGAAGAAAACAGUCUGACUAUUGGAAGCAUUGUGCGGUGGAAAUUGAGGCAUUUAGUGUUUGAGAAUGUGAAGGAUUCACAAUCAAACACCACUACAACUGAUGACAGAACAUCUCUUCAUGGGAAAAGAAAGUACACCUUCCUACAGCGCAGCCAAAGGGAUCUGAGCAACGAACCGAAAAGGCAAAAAAUGGCGAUGGAGGUUCGAAUGGUCUCGACAGUUGCUUGUUGCAAGAGGAGGUGCUGUCAACAUGCUGAUUGGGAUGCUAUUGAAGAGGAGAGAGCAAGAUACAAGACAUUGUCCUGGAAGGCAGCUCGCAAUUUUGUGUAUGAGGCAUUACGGUCAUCUGUUGAUGCUUCAGAACAUCAGGUGGGGGGCAUGGUCUUCCAGAGGGGUUUGGUCUGCAUGAAGGCAUGGAGAAUCAUUUAUGGAGUCCCUCGAAGCACAUUCUACAGAAUCAAAACUGAGUUCGAGGAACAAAGGGUUCAACAGGCAGUCCAUGGGAACGACGGUACGCACAAAACCAGGGGUCAUGUUGUAUAUGGAGAGGCAAUCUUCAAGAGGUUUGUCGAGACAUGUAGCGAGCAGCAACCACAUAAAACCCGCCUCUUGGAAGAUGGAACACGAGACACCCAACGAGUUCUCCCUUCCAUGUAUACCAAGGGGGCCAUAUUGGAAGAUGUGAAUCGGGAACUCUAGAGUAAUAGCUACAGGAAGCUGAGCCAAUCUAGAUUUAGUAGAUUGUGGAGCAACAGGUUCAGGGAUGUGAGUAUAGGAAAGUACUCCAGCUUUUCAAAGUGUGACGAGUGCACUGCUAUCAAAAUGGCUUUGUCGAAGAAUUCUUAUAACCCCGGGGGCAUCCCCCACACUUGGCGGUGCACCCAAGCUAGCCCUUACGGCCAAGGGUUCAUAGCAACUGAGAUUAGGUGUCCCCAUCUCACUCACCAUGACCUUGGUGCCACUUGCACCAAAGCGUUCAAGUUAGAUAUGCUGAGCUUUUACACUAAGCAAUCUAACCGUGCAUCACGACUCCGAGGCAUCCCUCGCUUGGCGGUGUGCCCAAACCAGUCUCCCCACUGAGAGUCCAUGACCACCGAAAUAUGAGUGUCCUCAUAUUCCAAACCAUCACCACGCCCUAGUGAUUUGGGACUCGAACCCAAGCACUAGAGGGUCGGGACUCGAACCCAACCUCCGUAUAUGCAUCUACGGACGGCAUCACACUAGAUGCCUGGCGUGACUCCCCACGCCGGUGCACCAACCUAUUUUUAAAGCGCGCUACAGAUCACAGCUUAGGAACCUAGUUCCUCCACACUGCCAAGUCCUCUCACUUGACAUGUCUAUGAUCAUGCUUGGACUCCUCCAUGCUCGGCCCCCUGGCCCACCCUUUUUGAAGAUAUCACCUUCAACUAGGGUCUUUGUUCCCCCGACGUGCCAAUCUCACUUGGCAAGUCCUCCGACCAUUGUAACAUGGUUCCUGCAUAAGCGUGAAAGUCCUUGACCAUCGACUUUCAUUCAAAGCCCUCUCUUUGAACACUCGGGAACUACUUCCCUAACCUUGAUAACCUUGCCUCAUGGCAAGCUUCAAGACCACGCUUCUGCUGCGCCACUCUGAUUUCGCGCGUUCCAUGAACCAUUUACACUUGGCCUUUCUAGGUACUACGCUACCUAGAAUCGUCUUUGGGAACCUUGAAGGAACUCUGUCCCUCAGCUUGCUAAGGCCUACCCUUUCGCAAGCUUUAUAGUUGCCAUAUAGUCUAACAUGGACAAUUCCAUAUUUUAGACUCUCCAUGGCAUCACGGUUGCUAGCAACAACAUCCUCGAGCACCCUCUUGAUUCUCCACUCCCAACUUUCAUAACCACUGUUGGAUAUGCCCUUUGAUUUCUAUGGUUUAGUUCCAUCUCAACACUACUUGCCUUUGGCUUCACACCUUUCCUUCGGUCAUUCUCCUCCAGACCAGGAGGAUAGCUUUGCACUUUCUAUCAUGCCUUAGCAAGUAUUCUUAGGGAUGAACAUACCCAAUAGCCCAGGGAGUGGUUCCUCAAUCCGGGUAUGCUCAGCUUAUAAUCCCACACACUGGGGUUACAUUGUUGCUUAUGGGCCUUUACAUGCCCAUCACUAGCUUUGCCAAAAUUCCAUUUUUGGCUUUGUCUAACUUGGGUAGACAGUCCUCUCCUGUCUCCGCAACCUUGGACAUUUGGAUAGCACCUUCUAUCCAUCAUUCACUAGGGACUUAGUCCCUUGGGCUUUAUCCAUUGCCCUCGCGACAUCAAACACCACCUUCUGGUGUUCUAGAGUGUUCGGGUGUCCCAAUGAUGGCUUUCUUGACAAUGAGUAUUUCCUUUUAUGACAUUGACUUACUAUAUCGUAACAUAAGCAACUUAUCCCCCGUAAGGGUAUAUCCGACUUCCCUAUACUAGAAGUCUUGGGUAGCUACCUUCUACCCGUUUAACCAGUUAUUUUGCACCUCUUGCUUAGUUGCCUCAUAGUUGUCAAGUCCUACAACUCAUUGCUUGGUGCUUUCACACCUCCAUCACUAUCUGGGUCACCACACUCCAACUGCAUGCUCUACAGCUUAGGCUAUGCCAUUCCCAUUUCCAUUGGGAUUCCUUUGGCAAGGGGUUCUCAUGAACCCACCAACAUAGCCUCAAGGUAUCACACCUUGGCACAUUUGGUGUCUCCACACCAUCGGCUCCACGAGCCUACCUCUAUGACAUUUCCCUUUGUGUCUAAGUCUUUGCCAAGACCAACACCGCUCUUUCUCAUGCCAACUAUCUGUUAGCACUGCCCCAUAGAGGUCACACACAACUUUAUGUCAAAGUUGUUUUCUUCUGGGAACACCUUUCCCAUAACUUUAGCAUGGCACAUUUUGCCAUCGAUGAGAUACUCUCUGUUCUCAUCCUUGGAUCUUAUGAUCCCCCCCCAUCCUUUGUGGGGUACAACACACCUCAGUCCAAAUGCUUCCAUCAGUCCUUUUAGGACCAUCCGUUGACUCUACUUGAGUCAUCCAGCAGUUUUGGACUUCGUUAAUCCGCAGACCCGUAAGGUCCUAUUUGUGAGGCACUAGCUCACUGGAAUACACUUCUUGCAUUCCUGUCCUACUCAAAAGGACUAUUUUCACAAGUGUUGCUCCGACACUUGAUUUUGUUCUCUGGGGGCAAUUUUUGCCCCUUAAGACUACUUGUCCAUGUGAUGAGAAUACCACUCAUCUCUAAGUACACCCCCCAACUCCUUGGGUUGUUCCAGCAUUUAUUAAAGGUAGCCCCGGCUACCAUUUCAAGGACUUGAGUCCUUUUCCGUAUUUGACCUUCCACGGUCAUUACCUUUGGUCUCACAUUCAUGAGCACCAACCUCAACUAUAUGAGGAUAAUCUUGUGACUCCUUUAUUGUUUUGGAGUCUCUAUCUUUCCCGUGAUCCCAACUUUAGUUGUUUACCACAACAACCUUAGCCAAUUUGCUGAGACAAAUGCUCAUCCGGAUCACAUCCUCAACUCAAUGAGGAAAACCUUGCACUGUUCCCAAGAUCCCAAAGUCGUUCCAUUAUUGGCCCUUUUCUAUCCACCACCUCGUCUACAAGUUCACACAUGAACUGUAAUGGAGAGCCAUGUCUUCCCGACUUGCUACUCCUCAAGGAUAGGCCCACUCCUCGGACUUUCCGAUGCCAACACUAGUGGUGAUAUACUUGAGCACCAAUAAAAGUUGGACUAAGGAACAGCUCCGAUACCAAAUUGUAAGCGACUAAAUUUUCCAUUUUACUUUAGUCACUUAACCACACCUCUGACCACUUUGAGGAGUCUCAUUCACAACCUCCAUCAAUCCAAUUCAGGACUUGGGACUUGCUAGCCCCAAGAAUGGCAUCCAUGCCACUCAACACUUGCACCUGGUCCAAGUGCUCCACGUGUCCGGUCCCAAGACCGACACCCAAAGGUACCAUUGACAUCUCGGCCCGUUACGCUAAGGCCAUGCCCAUUCACCUUUGCUGCACUAGUGGUCCAAUACCACUUGCAUCACCAUCCCGUCUCUCCAAGACUGGGCCAUCUGUCCAUGAGUGGUCAUCCUAGAUCCACUCCUUAGCAUCCUUAGGAUGCCCACAGACCUAGGGAAUCACCUUCCCCAAAGUCCCUUUGUCAGUUCCUACCAAGUCCCUUUCUGCCCCUGGCCGUGUUUGCCAACACUGCCACUGGAUCGAGGCCCACAGGCCCGACCACUAAGUCCCAUGGUCCUCUGGGACUUCCUCACCACACGACUAUGUCCUUGGUCACUACCCCAGAGGACUGCUCCUCUUCCUUUCCACAGUCUAGGCCUUUGGGGCAACAUUUCGGAACACCGUGGCCUUACGCGAGCCACCUGGGUACUCUCCCCGCCUUUCGCCUUUAGGUGCUCUAGCCAUGGGCUUAGAGCGAGGUUCCGUUGAGCCACGUCUGGUAUCCAAGUAGGUAGUGCCACCCACACUUGGAUUGGGAGCAUCGGCCAGUCGAUCUCCCGGGGGAACUAGAGCCGGCUCUUGAACACUUCACCAAGCUACCCCGCUUGUCGGUCCGUAUUCACUCUAGUCUUGGACUUCCCAGUGGUCAAUUCAUCACCCAACACUGGGUCUGGCCUUCCUGGGCCAAACUGGCCUUUCCUGGCCAAACUGGCUCCACUGCAGUCCUCCCCCUUACUAUACUUUUGGAGCUCACCAAACCCCCCAGGGUCUGGGAGACGAACGCUUUGGGCUUUCACCCUCUCAGGCUCCGAACUCGGACUCGGACUCGGACUCGGACUCGGACUCGGACUCGGAUUCGGACUCGGACUCGGGCUCGGUCACGGCCUCGGCCUCGGUCUCGGUCUCGGUCCCGAUCUCGGUCUCGGUCUCGGUCUCGGUCUCGGUCCCGGUCUCGGUCUCGACUUCGGACUCCAUCUCGGACUCCAUCUCGGACUCCAUCUCGGGUCCAUCUCGGGUCCAUCUUGGGCUCCAUCUCGGACUCCAUCUCGGACUCCAUUUCGGGUCCAUCUCGGGUCCACCUCGGACUCCAUCUCGGACUCCAUCUCGGACUCCAUCUCGGGUCCAUCUCGGACUCCACUUCAGACUCCAACUCGGGUCCAUCUCGGGUCCACCUCGGACUCCACUUCGGACUCCAUCUCGGGUCCAUCUCAGGUCCACCUCGGACUCCACUUCGGACUCCAUCUCGGACUCCAUCUCGGGUCCAUCUCGGACUCCACUUCGGACUUCAACUCGGGUCCAUCUCGGACUCCACUUUGGACUCCAACUCGGGUCCAUCUUGGACUCCACUUAAGACUCUAACUCGAGUCCAUCUCGGACUCCACUUCGGACUCCAACUCGGGUCCAUCUCGGGUCCACCUCGGACUCCGCUUCGGACUCCAUCUCGGGUCCAUCUCGGGUCCACCUCGGACUCCACUUCGGACUCCAUCUCGGACUCUCCCACGUGUCAUGUGUUGGUCCUUUUGGGUCCCUUUUUGGAGCCUCGCUUUUUGCUCGCUUCGUGCUCGUUCCUCGAGCACUUCUUUGGGAGUUCCACUCCCGCUCUUGACUUUUCAAGUCGGAGCUUUUGGUCCAAACGUGUUACGCUCGUUUGGCUCUCGCUUCAGCCACUACCAUGUGGCACCCUUUCCGGCUCCACUUUGGGGCCUAGGGAUUUUGUGUCUCAUAGAAAAGGGUUAUAGCAUUCACUUGCUAUGACUUGUCGGUUGAUCCGUUAGCAUUUGGAGUAGAUUGUUGGAUAGAGAAAAUGUGUAGUUGAGGCAUUGACAUUGCUGGCACUUGUGUUAGUGGAAGUGGCAUUGUUAUUUCGAGUGAUGAGGAAGUUUUCCUUGGACCUUGAUUUUCUAUGUCAUUUUUUUUGUUAGUGUUUUGGCUUCACAUUGGAUCUUGAAGGUGAUUGAAGAAGAGUGUUAGUGCAAUGUGGAUAUAUGAAGAUGUGGUCUUUGUGAUCAAGCCUUGGAUGUUCAUUUUGCAUUUUGCGGAUGUCAGUGUUGGAUAUCGAUUAGAUGGGUAAAGAUGUUCGAUGCUUAAGCAUGCUAUUGGGUCAUAAGAAUCUGUGUUGAGGUGAGCCUAUGUGAAGUUGUUGGUAGGAGGAAGUUGGUUGAGUCUUGAAAGUUUGCAUUCCUGGACUGAAAGUCAUUCUUUCUCUAGGAUGGAAAAUUUUCCACAAAUUUUCUUAGACUUUUCCAAAGGCUGAUCUGUUGGUCACUUUGCUCGAAAACCAUUCCGUUUUUGUAAGCCAGUACAAACUAUUGAAGGGGUUGGAGUUGGCUUCGGUUGGCUUAAACCUUAAUAAGUAGUUUGUAUGAUGCGACCCGAAAGGGAUGCUAACUUUUGGGGCUAAGGCAAUUGAGUUGGAUAGAGUCUGGAGUUGGUGUAGAAAAGUGGCUGUUGCGCUUUUCUAAGAAGGGUGACCCUUGUGCCUUUCUUUUGUAGCAUUAUGCUCGGUGGUAGGUUGCACCUUGCAUUUCACUAAGACUCUAUGAGAGUAGUGACCUCUCAUUGAUCUUGACUUAGUCUUGGUAGCCCUGCGCCUUAGCUAAGGAUGGUGAUGUCUAAUUUAGUUGUUUGAGGUUGAGAUGUUAGUACCCGUACUAUAGCUUUGUCUAUGAGGAGGUUGUGUACCGAUAUGAGUCCAUCUUAUAGUCUUCACCUUAGUUUCGACUGAGUGUUGAUCACAUAGCUAGCCUCUUCAAGGCAUGCUCAGAGCUAUUGACUAAAUGCAUUAGUGAGCUUAUUGCGGUUGAGUUGGAUUCGAGUGGUCAUUUAAUUUGUGCUUGUCUAUAAACUUUUAUCUCGUACCUGAGGUAUCACGUUCAUGUUGGACAAGUAUAUAACUUGAUGACAAGAGUUAGUGUUCGGGUCUUGUGAAGGCAAGUUGAAGGGUGAUUGUUAGUUGCUUUGCGACUAGUGAUUACUUGUAGACUUUGUCAAAAAAAAAAGACUAUUGAUACUUGCUUUGCUCGAUGAUGAUUUAGAAAUGAUGGGCUUGCUUUACCGGAUGGUGUUGCGGAGGAUCGUGUCGUUAGACUUACAUGAGUUUUCCAUGUUGGCAUGUCGACUCUACCUCUGUUGAUAUCAUUUGGUUACAUUUAGUCCGUAGUGUUAGAUUUUAUUGAGUCUUGGACGUGGUGAAUCACUCCUUGAUGAAGUGUUAUCUAUAACUGAGUUUUGUUGGAGGAUUGGUCUCGGUCACUGACUAAAGUAUCUUCGACUUUGGUUAGCUUGGUUGCUAGAGAGUUUUGAGUGGUGAAUCACUCGUGCUUUCUUCUAGCUUUGUUUUGGUGUUGAUGGCAUUGAAGUGAUGCUUUGUCAUUGACAUUGUUGAUAUUGAGAUCUGAGUGAAAUGAGAUAUCCUUCUAAGGAUUGAUAUUGAGUUUCAUUAGUCUUGAUGAAUAUAGUGUUGAUGAUUUGGCUAUAGCUUUGUGUUGUUGGCAUUCGUGCAUUUGCUAGUUAGCAACUGUGUUGACGUUCAAACGAACUGAGUGGCAAGUUGAGUUAGUUGUGUUCUAGAUGAGAUUAUUUAGUAGAGGGUUGAGCUUUAGCUUUUCCUUGAAAAGUGAUUUAGUCGUGGACUAUGCUAACUCUACGAGAAGAAGAGUUAGUGAUCGAUAUUAGAAUGUUGAGUCCUUGCUGGAUUUGAGUUCGGGAUAUAGCGAUCAUUAAUUAUUCUUUUUGGGCUUAUUAUGAAGUGAGUUAUGUUUUGUUAUAGAUGGAUUCAUGGAGGAUCGUUUGAUGAUCACUUGUUGAGCAUAGCUUCGUUAUACUUAGCUUUUGGAUUGAUGCAAAUAUGCUCUUCAUUAGCUUUGGCAUUAUGAAGUUUGGCUUAUGGAUGUGUUGAGGAAGAUAUUGUGAGUUGCAUCACGAUUUCUUCUUUCACAUUGAAGUUAGCUUUUAUGAGACUUGUGAUCAUUAUUAGGCAAGACUUGGCUAUAGGCUUCUUCGAGCUUUGGUUCUUUGAGUUUUAUGCUCAUUGUUCCAUUUGUUAGAAGUUGUUGGGGAAGGCAUUUUGGCUCAUUCGCUUCGAUGUUGAAGUUGGCAUUUGCAUCUAGCAAUCAUUGGUGAUGAUUGACUAUCAUCUAAGUAGUUAAUUAUCCUUAUCAAAGGUUUUGCUUGAUUAUUGUUGGUAUAGAAUGAUUUGCCGUUCUUCAGGAUGGUAGAUUCUUUCUUUGAUGAUGGUUAUGCAUCUCUCUUUUGAUGGGAGGAUUAAUGAUCUUUCAUGAUGGUUCGUUGUUCUCUUUGAUGGCUUAUGGCUUUUCGCAAUACCACAUAUUCUUUGUGGAUUGCUCUGGAUUGGUCUCUUGGGUUUGAAAUAUCAGUAGGAUGUUGCUACCACUUGCUUAGGCAACUUGAGUUCCUUGGUAUUAUUGACCAGGAUCUAUUCAGAUUGGCGAGUGUGAUAUUUGGCAUGAAUGAGUGUUUGUUGGUCUUACCCCAUUCAUUCUGUUCUGUUAAUUAUUGCUCAAGUUCAUUCUGAUAGAUUGGAAUGUUAUUAUCUUUAGGUGAUACAUUCGCGAGCAUUUUGCUUGCCAGUCAAUGAUACUCUGUGUUCUUUGAGUUAUCUUUCGUAAGUUGUUUGGCAUUCUGUCUACCAUCUUCGAUAGUUAAGUUUCAUCAUUGAGUUUCCUUGAUGAUAUACUUGCUAUUGAAUUUUGUUGGAUGGUCAUUCCUAUGUUUACCAAUUAUAAUGAUCUUGGUGGUUCCUAUACUGUAAUACUCAUUUAUCGGAUGAUAACUUACUUGGAAUAAUCUCUAAAAUAUCAUUGUCUAUGACUUUGAUAUAGUCCAUAUAUUAAUCUUUGAGUUUGGGUCAGUAUAGGCAGACUGGCUUUGGCACUUCAUGUGCAUGAUGAAAUCUCUAGUCAUAGGGUAGCUACUGUCGAUUGCUCACAUAACCCGCCUCUCUGUCGAUGUUCCUUAUUCCGUUGAAAGGGCAUGACCGUGUAAACAACUCUAAUUGCCUGUUUAUAGUAGUCUAUCUAAACCUUACCGACGGGUUUGGUUUCUUUGCUUAGGAGGGUUGGGGCCUCUGGCUUCUCUCUCUAUGUUCCUGCGGGCAGGGGUAUAUCACACUUUUGUAAGCUGGGUGACUCCCAGAGCAGCAAGGGUGGCUGACUCUGUUGGUCAUUUCCUUGUCGGCGACGGCCGGAAGGUGUCUGAGCUGGUAGCGCAUCCGCAUUAGACAAAGAGGUUGCCUCCUAACUCAUUUAAGUUGGUGCAUUUCUCACAUAGUGUGAGUACCGUGAACUUUUUUUGGAGUUGUUUCCUUGGCGGUAUUCUAGACUCGAGUAUGCAUCGACGAGGACGUCGAUCUUCCCCAAGGGGGGGAGAGUGUCGCGAAUGUGACUUUAGGUAUCGAAAGUUACCUAUCGGAUAGUCCUUUCGGAUAUUCUUUCUUACUGCCACCAUGGCAGGAAGUCGGUAUUGCUGGGCUCGUUAUCAGUCUCCACCUAAGCUAGUUGAGAAACUGGUCAUCACAUGUGCACUUAGACCGGAAGGGCACUAAGGAAGGAAAUCCUAAGUUGUCAUUUAGUUAAGCAGACUUGACACGGUGAUGAGAAACUCAUGAUGUUGGCUUGCACUUGCUAGUGUUGGGAACCCCCGCGAUAUUGAGCUUGGUCCCUCAAUAUCGCUAGAUGAUAGCUUACCGUGUCUGCCAAACACCCUCGCUAUCAUGCCCUUUGUGUUAGUUUCAUUUCGGUCCCAAAUGCUAUUUAUGGAAAGUGUUUAGAUUUGCUCAUUUGGCAUAUCUACGGANNNNNNNNNNNNNNNNNNNNNNNNNNNNNNNNNNNNNNNNNNNNNNNNNNNNNNNNNNNNNNNNNNNNNNNNNNNNNNNNNNNNNNNNNNNNNNNNNNNNCAGAGUGAGCUCCUUGCUACGUCUAUUGGACGAUCUCGGCCCAGCUCCUGGCGAAGGUGCGUGACCUGCCGCCCGGAACGCCGAUCGGGUUACAACUUCACAUAGGUUCACCUCAACACAAAUUUUCAUGACCCAGCAGUAUGUUAAGCAUCGAACAUCUUUGCUCAUUUUCCAACAUCCAACACCAACAUCCACAAAAUGCAAAUUGAAUAUCUAAGGCUUGAUCACGAAGACCACAUCUUCAGAUAUCUACAUUGCACUAACACUCUUCUUCAACCACUUUCAAGAUCUAACAUGAAGCCAAAACAUUAAUAAGAAAAAUGACAUAUCAAGGUCUAAGGAAAAUCCCUCAUCACUCAAAAUAACAAUACUAGUUCCACUAACACAAGUUCUAGUGAUGUUAAUGCCUCAAUUACACAUCUUCUCCAUCCAACAAUCUACUCUAAGUGCUAAUGGAUUAAUUGACAAGCUAUAACAAAUGAAUGCUACAACUUUUUCCAACACCUUAUAGGCAAACUUAAGGAAACAACGUACUAACUCAAGCUUAGCAUAAUGAAUCACCAUUGAGAACUUAGUCAAAGCUACUUAAAUGCUACUAUAUAAAGUAGACUAGCUUCAUUAUCACCCACUUUGGGGUUGAUCAUCGUUUAACUAAGCAACUUCGUAAAUACAUUACUCACUAUCAUAUGGAUAUGAUAAAAAAAUCACAAUAACUUGAUCAUCAAUCGAGCAACACUAUGAGUAAUGCCUAUGUCACUACUACAAGGUUUAUAUGAGUAUCAAGUGCUAACUCAAUUUGAUAAAAUGCAACAUAAAUGCCACACCCCACUGAUAAAGAUUUACAACACUCAACACCAUUAAUUUUUGUUCACAACACAGACAAGCUCAUGCCACUUUCUUUCUGACCAAACUCAAAAUUAAUCCAACACUAAGCUACUCAAUGAGCAAUAGCAAGGUUCCCUGGAAAAGAUUAAGCAUUGUAACCCAAGUCUUUCAAUGGCAAGCCUAAACAAAAUAAUUUAGCGCUUCAUCGCUAUCCAUCCCAUGACUCACCAUUUGUAAGAUCAUCACUUCCAAUAUGCAUCAAAGUAGGGACUCUUGAUUGCAUGAUGUGAAUAUGAGCAAUGAGUUAACACCUCGUUGCAAAUCAUCUCUCCAAGAAGAGAAAAUGAUUUACGUGUUUGAUCCUUUGUCCCUGAUAAUUUUCUUUUCAAUCCCAUCUUUGACUAAACCUUAAGCUUGUGUUUGCACUACAUUCAGUCCAAUCUAAGAAAAGUUUAUGAGAGAGCAUGGCAAUGAUUACUUAAACCAAUGGACUAAUCUCUAUAAUCUUGAUUGGUUCACUUAUAAUCAUGCCUAAGAAGGAUCCACUAGUGCCGUGCUAAACAGCUAUAGACUAGCCUAUUUGCCACUCAUAGCAAACCCAAGGGAGGUUUACUUUCACCUGGGGUACAAGGAACAACUCAUGGAACCAUUAAUGGGCUAACAUUAAUUCUGCCAACUCAAAGCAUAACCUUGAGUUGCUAAUGUGCCACACUCCCAAGCCCAAGUGCAAACUUGUGCUAAUAUGCCUCACUCAGUCCAUCUUAUGAGCCCAAGAGCAAGCUCACAUAAUACAGUACAAAAAAGUAACCAAAAUCCAUACCCAAGGAAUAAAUAAGAAGCUUUUGCACCCAAACAUGUAGCCACUCGGAUCAUCAUUUUUAUCUCUACGUAUGCAACAAGAUUAGUGGCCCAAUUUCAUUGGAUAGUACUUGCUGAGACUCACUCUUUGAUACCAAAUGUAGCACACGUGGUUUUUACCCUUUAUCCUAUGGUGAUUUACUAUAGGAUAACCAUGAAGCGGAACCUAACCCACCAUGUGCCACAUGACAUAUGCCACAUAUCCAAAGGACAAUGGUGUGGAACCCAAGUUUCAGGGCUUGGGGCCAUAAACGAAGGAACGGUGCCAAACUCCUAAGCAUAGAGCCAAGGAGCAAUGGCAUUGGGACACGGAAUAAUUCCUGAGUAUAAAGCCUAAGGAGCAAAGGGACAAGAGCAUAGAACGGCUUGGAAUAGUCCUAGAGCAUUCAGCAUCUUAAUGCCAAAAUGAGCACGCAAAACGGAGUUAAAUGGAGUUAAACGGAGUUUAGCACUAUUUCAGCAUACCGAUAACCUAAUGCGAGGAUAUGGGUACUCCACCAACUAAUAUGGUAUGGAACUUGGGCUUAGACCUAAGCCGGACGUAGAACAAGGAGAGACACGCAAGCAGGAGCUAAACUAUGCCUCAGGUUAGUCAACCAUGCCUGACCUACCCACUAUCCCUACUAUACAUUUGGAACCCCCCCACACACUUUGGGCUUUCACCCCAAGCCUCCCUUAGUAUCAAGACUUAGUCUUUGAGACAAACUUGAAAUUUACUAAAUAUGGAAUGUUUCUAUAUUGCGAAUUUAGACAUGGGACGAACACUAUUGUGUUCAAGACAAUCUCUACAUUUUGUAGAUAUGCCAAAUGAGUAAAUUUAGACACUUUCCAUAAAUAGCAUUUAGGAUUGGAAUGAGACUAACACAAAGGGCAUGAUAGCAAGGGUGUUUAGCAGACACGGUAAAUUAUUAUUCAAUGAUAUUAAGAGACCAAGCUUAAUAUUGCGGGGGUUCCCAACACUAGCAAGUGUAAGUUAACAUCAUGAGUUUCUCAUCACCGUAUCAAGUUUUCUUGACUAAAUGACAAUUUAGGAUUUCCUUCCUUAGUGCCCUUCCGGUCCAAGUGCACAUGUGCUAACCAAUUUCUCAACUAGCUUAGGUGGAGACUGAUAAAGGAUCUAACAAUGCCAACCUCUUGCCAUCAUAGCAGUAAGAAAAGAAUGUCCAUAAGGACUAGUUGACAAGUAACUUUCGAUACUCAAAGUCACAUUCGUGACAAAUUGCUCAACUAUAACCAUAUAGCAUCAAGUAAUUGCACUAACUGUUACUUCAAAGUAAAAAAAGGAGGAGGUUGUUACUUUGUCAUAAAGAUGAACAAAAAAGAAAAAGUAAAAGAGAAGAAAUUAAAAAAGGUACAAAGAAAGUGAAAUCUAAAUGAUGCAAAAACUAAAUCUAAACCAAAAGCACAAAUCCAAACAUUUCUCAUGGAUAAUCAAAGAUGCCCCUCACAUCCAUCAAUGUGAGUGCAUGGAAUAUAGAACUGCAAUAUAAAUAUGAAAUAUAUAAAUUAGAAAUAUUAAUUUAUAUACAGGAGUAAAUGGUCCAGACUGAAACCAAUCCAACAGCUAUCAAAAUCCCACUAUGCUAAUAUUAACAUAUGACAUUGUAGUUGUACACUUGGACUUUACAGUGUGAAAUUUAUAUUAAAAGUUAAUUUUUAAACUUUUAAAAUAUUUGAUCUCUUCAACAUUUUUAAUUAGUAUAAGGAGUAAUAAUUUAAUGGCAAAAUAUAUAUUUAAAAAAUAUAAUGCCAUAAAAGCUUAGGCUUGACAUUUUUAUGAUUGUAUAAGUUAGUUAAACUUGAAAUAUUCUUAGAAAAAUACUAAGAUCCUCCUAUAAGUACUAUAAUUAUUGCUACACUUUAAAUUCCUUAUUCAUAAAAACUAAAACCAUCUUGUUUUGUUUAUAAACAAUUGUUCUUGAUAGGUUUAUGUAUCCAUUUAAUUUAUAAUAACAGCAAAGAGAAAAAUAUAGUAAUUUCAUCCUAUCCACAAAUUUAUGCUUAAAUAUGUAAUCAUUUAACUUUAGAACAUUAUGGUUUUCAAAAUCUUCCAGAUAUCUAUUUUUAUUUAUUUAAUUGUUUUAAAUAAGCCAACUGAGGAUUCAAUGUUUAUAUUGAUGACCUUUUAGCUCAUGGAUAUAUAGAUUUCUAUAUAUAUAUAAGUGGAAAUACACUUGAGAAGAGGAAAUCUUUCUGAUAUAUAAUUAUUUUUUGCAUGUAAUCUAAUGGUUUACACUCACCAUAUAACUAUAGCUCAAAACUUGUGAUUUUUCAUGAAUAUAAUAAAAAUUGUAACUAAAUAAUCUAUUAUUCUUUUAUAUCCUAACUCCUUUAGCAGAGUUAGGAUCCCAGCUAGUAGAUAGAACUAAAUAAGUUAAAUAUAUUUUUUAAGGUAUAUUCUAGAAUAUUUGAGUUUGUAAAACAUUCUCCAAAAAUCAUAUUAUAUAAAAUGAAAUUAUUUGUAAAUAGUAAGUGACUUGAAAAAUGAUCUAUAAAAUAGAAGGAAAGAGCUUAUAAAUAAAAGUGCACUCUUUUUUUACAAUCAGUUAAAAUUUUUGGGUUACAUGUCUUUAGAUUUUUGAUACCACAUUUAACCUAAUACUACUUAACGGUUUUGGGUUUGACUCUAUUAGUUGAAUUGAUAUUUAAUAGUCCAAUUUAAAGUCCAAAUUUAGAUAGCAUGCUUACAGCACUCUAAAUCUGAAAAAACACAUAUUAAAUGCUCUAAAUUUGAAAUAACACAUACUCCAUGCUUGCUUAACAAGUUUCAAGGGGGUAUUUAGAACCAUGCAUUACAUUUAGCUUUGAGCACUAAUGAGGAUGUUACUUGAAAAUUAGAGCUAUAGUAGUAUAAUUUGGAGUGGCUAAAGAAUUCACAUAGCCUCAUUAUAGUAAUAAGCCCACCAAACGUUCUCCUUGACUUGUUAUAGUAGUAGGCUUGCCAAAUGUUCUCCUUUGCGCUCAUUUCUUGAAGCAUAUGAUGUGGUGUGGGAUCUGAUAGGAACAUUUUCUUUACUCACUAAUAUGCCACAACUAAAUAGCCAUGGAACAUGUCUAAAUCCACCACUAGGUUCUGCAAGAGAUUUGCCACUCAAUAUGGCAUUUUUUUCAUGUCAUAUAACCUUUUUGGUCAUGACAUUAAAACCAAUGCCAAAAAUUAUUCAGAAGAGUCAAAGAAUAUGAAACUUCCAGAACUUCAAAAAAGUACUAAACGACCGAUGGCACUCACAUCAGGGAGCCGUAUCCCACACUGACACACAAAUCUCCAUGACUUCUAUUGUCUUGCUUGACAAGGUUAAUUGACUUGGUGAAGAUGGAAAUGGCGCAAGAACUGCUGGACGGACCGCUGCACGAGAUCAAAGAAACCAGUAAGUAUGAUUUCCUCUUCAACACCCAUCAGUGCCAGUACCUGCAAAGCCGAUGCUCCGUGGUCGAAGAAUACGUGCGGCUUUGGCAGAGCUGCUCUGAACUUGAGCCACUUCCCCUGGCCAUGGAAGAGCUCCGUUGUAUGCUAAGCAGAGCCUUGCAGCUUCUCAAGCAGUGCCAGCACGAGGAAUGGCUGUACCAUGCUGCAGUCCGGCUCACUGAUUCCAGAGCCUUUGCGGAGAUCUGCCUGAGUCUGAGUAGAUUGACGGCCUUGGUCAAUGCUCACAUGAUGCAUUGUGCCACGGAUAUUGGGAGCCCGGAUGUGCAGUACCUCAUGGCCAUGCCUUACAAGCGCAAGCACAUAGAGAACCUGCGUUCAGCGAUGGAGGACCUGAGUCCCUGCGCAUCAAGAGAUAGAAAGGAGCUCUUCAUGAGAGCAAAUUCCAUCACAGAAACUGACAACAGGUAUGUUCUGGCACAGUACCUUGUUAAAAAGCUGAUGUCAAGCAGAGGAGGAGCCGUUGCCACCAUUCAGGCCCUCGAACUGAAAACUUUGAUAGGUGCGGGUGCAUUUGGUUCUGUGUACAAAGCUGAAUGGGUAGGGGCACCAGUUGCUGUGAAAGAGUUUAGAAGCGGUGAUGCUUCAGUUGACAAGGAGGUGAACAUCCUGAAAGAACUUAUUUUAGAACCGCACCCGAGCGUGCUCCAGAUGAUAGGAUCCUAUCAGAAGGAUGAGAAGGCUUACCUUGUCAUGGAGCUGAUGGAAAGGGACCUGACCAGUGUUAUAAGGAAGGCUGAAGGCUCGCUGCAACUUUUAACUUCUGUAGACAUUAUGCUCCAGAUCGCAAGCGGCAUGAGCUACCUCCAUCAAAGGAAUGUGGUUCAUCGAGACCUCAAGCCUUCGAAUGUCCUCGUUAAGACAUUAAAGAACCAUGCCUGCAUCACCUGUUUCGACGUGAGGUUAACAGACUUCGGAGUCUCAAAGUCGAACUUUAUAAGCUUUGCACCGGACUUGUCUUACCAGAGGGGGACGAUCCAAUACAUGGCUCCAGAGAUGCUGAAGGGCCAGAAGUACUCCAGAGAGGUUGACGUAUACAGCUUCGGAAUUACUUGCUUCCAGAUCUUGACUGGAACGCUGCCAUUUCAGGACGAUGGCAAGCAGCUGGUGGCAGAUAAACUGGUCGAGACGAUCGAAGAUGGAAAUAGGCCUGACCUUCCAACAGGCUGUCCACUGGAGCUGGUUGCUCUCCUCAACAGGUGCUGGAACAGGAAUCCGAAAGAUAGACCAACCUUCGAACAUAUAUCCAGGAUGCUGUGGUCGCUAAAAGAAAGGUUGCUUGGUGGCCACAACCUCGAAUCCAGCUUCACAGGCAGUGAGAUGUCCAGUUGCAACGCUGCGGAAGAGCUCACACUCGCUGCAGGAGAUAUGAUCUGCCAGAUUUCAGUUGCUGCUCCGUUCACAAAUUUUCAUCAGUGCUACUUCUUGCAGUCGCGGUGCAAGCAGAUUUCCAGCUACCGCGAAUUUCCGAAUAAGCUGCACCUUCGUUCAUGGUUUGCCGUUCAGAUAAAGCUGGUGACUACCUUGAGAACUGCGUUGUCGCUGAUAGAAUCUUACAGUGAAGAGAGGUGGCUGCAUACGGCGGUGCUGAAAGAGCAUAACCCGAGGGCAUUCAGAAAAGCUCUUGAUGAUAUCAACAGAUGUGAAACCACAUUGAGAGCCAUAAACCCUGGUAACCACAGCAAUAACAUAAUGACGUUCCCUGCUGUUCCUGAGCAAUAUGUGGAAGAUGAUAAAAAGAGACUGGCAGAAAGCAUUCAAGGCUUACUCGAUGCAUCGGACGGGGCGACAGUUAAGUUGGCAAAAUAUUUUGUUCAAAAGUCAGCUGCUGAUUCGAUUUUUCCGUGCAUCAGUCCAGAGGAAAUCGUACUGCUCGAUUUGGUAGGAAUGUCAAACCAUGGGACGAUGUUUAGAGGAAGAUGGCUGGACGUACCUGUGAUGGUGAAAGCCCUUGGAACAGGAAAUGAAGCUGAAAAGCUCCUGAAGGAGCUUGACAAAGGGCACGCAGAACUUAGAAACAGGCCCCAUCCAAAUGUAACGCAAGUUAUCGGCUACACAAGGCACGGGGAAGACUUGUUUGUGGUGACCGAGCAGGUCUCUGGAGGCCACUUCCGAGUGACAAAGUUCCCUCUUGUAUUGACCAUCGAGAUCCUGCUUCAAGUUGCUCAAGGCGUGGCCUACUUGCACCAACAUAACUGCGAGCUCUCGGACUUGAAUACGCUGCUGGUGGAAUUUGAGAAAGGCCACUUCGACGAAUUCACCGGUGGCAUCACUGUCAAAGUUUCAGCUCGAUCCAACUUCAGAAAACAAGAUGGACAAAAUAGCUUGAGUACCUUGGCUGGAAGGCUGAAGUAUCCGUUCCACUUCCCCCAUGCACCAGCGGCGGACUUCAGGAAGACCGAUGCGUACAACUUUGGUAUAGCCUGCGCAGAAAUGAUCACCGGGCAAACCAUCGGGGAAGAAAUACUGCUCUCUGGAAACCUACCGCAAGUCUCUCACGAUUGCACGGGAAUCAAGGCUGUAAUAGAGAAAUGCCUGAGUUCGCAGCCUCCUGACUUCCAUCAAAUCGUGGAACUCCUGCAAUCAGCUCAACUUAGAAUGGAGUUUCCACCUACAAGCGACAUAGACUACCGACGGAUGCUUCUGGACUCCAGCGCUCAAAUUGAACUCAAGCUCGACAUAACGGGAGCCGCAGUAAUUGGUGGCAAGCUCAUUGCUGUUGGAAUCGUAGAAAAUGUGGGUAACAGGCUCUACCAGUGGAUCCGUCAGCACAAAGAUGGAACUAUAGAGCGGUUGCGGCCAUUUCUCGUGACGGAGUUGGACUCUGGGACACUGGAGUAUGAUCUAACAGCCGACGACUUCAACAAGGCGAUCUCACUCACUUACGUGGAUAUGAACGAAAAGAUCGAAGUUUCCGGCAGAGAAACCACGAACAGUCGAUGGGUUUCCUAUAGUGACACUAUGAAGCGGGCGCUAAAGAUGAUAUGGGGUGCUGGCGAGGCCAAGUUCAAGGUUUUGCAGCUAAGGGAAGAAGAAGGGAGCAAGAAGAGCUACCUGGUGAUUAGAAGGCCGCAUUGCAUGCUGGAGUGGAAGCGCUACUACUUGAAAAGGAUGGAGAUCAAGAUCGCGUUCACCUCCCCGGCGGCCGGCAUCAAAAUAUCCAAGGAGAAUCCACAAAUUUGCCAGCUGAUCGAUAACGGCGGCGCGGAGGCCUGCAAGAUCCGAUUCAAGAAUGCGUUUGAGAGAGAUUUGGCAGUGCUUACCUUCCGGCAUUUCUUGCACAGUGCCUGUGAGAAGGGGAAGUGCUCGCGACGAUGAUGACACCCAAAAUGCUGUGAGUCAACGGCACAUAGCUGAAACCAUUGGUGAUUUCUUAGUAACAAUGAAGAACCCCAUAUUACAUAAGGGAAAGGACUGCAAAGUUUAGAACUUGCAACCUUUAGUAACGCAGGUGGAAGGUGUAGUGUCACGAGCUUCUUAGUCUCAGGAUGGGUAGUUCUAAAAAUUAUUUUCUUCAUUAUGGGCAGCAGAAGACCUGAAAUGAUGGAUGCAUCAGUUUGGACCUAGCAAAUAAGUCUUCUUUGGUUUGAAUGGGGUGAAGCAGAAAUAUUAUAAUUAGUUUCCUUUCUAAGGGUGGGAGUUACUCUUGACCACAUUUUUAAGGGGCCUAGCAAUGUGAGGUGGUGCAAAUAACUUUUCUGAAGGAAGUGGAGGAGAAGAAAAUUUAAUUUUCCACUGAAGUUAUUAAAGCUAAAAAGACAAGUGGUGGAACUUAUAAGAAUAUUCUUGGAAUUGAAGAAUUAUUAUUGCAAUUGGGAGUGAAACAAGUAAUUUAUGAUGGCAAGGGGAGGUACAUCAACUAAGAGGGGAGGUGUAUCUAAAGUGGGCAACCUUUAUGCAAGCUUGCAAAAUAUAUAAAAAUAAAACACAUGUAUACUAAAAUUGUUGUAAUACACAUGGAUGACUUGCAAAAUAAUAUUUUGAACACAACUAUUUUUUUAUGUAUAGGCAUGCAUUAGUGCCUACUAUAUAUGCAUAACAAAAUCUAGAUCAGUGCCAUGUAUAUGAUUUUUGACACUAUAUAAAUUUUAUAUGUAAAUUUUCACUCUAUGUCAAAUUUUUAAUAUAUCAGUAGAGUUUAAAUUUUGGGUUAAAGCAUGUAGUGCACAAAUUUUUCACCCUUUACUCUAUAUUGAUUUACUAUAAGAUAAUCAUGGAGUGGAACCAUAACUCUUGGAUAUGUGGCCAAGUGUAGCAAAGCAGAACUUGAGUGUUAAGGCUUUGAGUGACUGAAUAAAGGGGCAAAAUUAAAUUCCCAAACAUACAAUCAAUGAGUGAAGGAAUUAGAGCAUAGAAUAAUUCAUGAAUGUACAACCUAAGGAGCAAAAGGACAAGAGUACAGAGUGAUAUUGGAAUAAUUCUAAAAUAUUUAAUAUCUCAAUAAUAGGACCAACAUGCAAAACAAAGCCAAAUAGUGUCUAACAUUAUUUUAGUAAAUUAAUGGCCUACCAUGAAAAUAUAAAUACUCUACUAGUUAACAUAGUAUGGAACUUAGGCUUAAAACCAAGCUAGAUAUAAAACAAAAACAAAUAUAUAAAUAAGGCACUUAGGUUGGUCAAUUAUGCUCAACUUACCUACUAUCUCUACUAUACAUUUGAAACCCCCUACAUCUUCGCCCCCUAUAAAGGAACACACACUUUGGGCUUUCACCCCAGUCCAAGAAGUUAAUCUUUAGAACAAUCAUGAAAACUUAUUAAAUAUAGAAUGUAUUAAAUUGCAAAUUUGGAUGCAAAAACAACACCAUUGUAUUUAGGAUAAUUUCUACAUUCUGUAAAUAUGCCUAACUAAUAAAUCUAAACACUUUCCAUAAAUAGUAAAUAAGACUAAAUAGGACCAAUAUAUAAGACAUAAUAAAGAGGGUGUUUUGGAAGACAUAAUAAGUUAUCAUCUAACAAGUAUUAAGGGACCAAACUCAAUAUCACUAGGGUUCCUAACACUAGCAAAUGUAAACUAAUGAAUGAGUUUCUCUAACCAAUUUAAAUAUGUUUGACUAAUAACAUUUAGGAAUGGUGUCUUUAUGCUCCUUUGGCCAAGUGCACACGUGAAAACUAAUUUUUUAACUAAUUCAGGAAAAAACUAAUAAAAUGUUUAGCAAUAUCAACCUUCUGUCAUCAUAGCAAUAAAGAAAAAAUAUCUAAAAAACUCACCGACAGAUAACUUUCAAUAUCUAUAAUCACAUUUAAGACACUCUCCCCACCUUAGGGAAGAUCGAUGUCUUCAUCAAUGUAUACUCUAGUUUAGAGCACCACCAAGGAAAAAUGUUUAUAAUGUUCAUAUUUUAUAAGAAAUGCAUCAAUUUAAAUGAGUUAAAUAGCAACUUUAUUGUAGUGCUAGUUUAUUGCAACCUUCUACUUGUGUCAUAGCUUAGAUUCUAGCUUGAGAGAGCAUAAAGAAUAUUUUAUAUCCUUAGAAUAUUCUCUCAUCUUUGUAUAUAAGCCCAUAAAAGGCUUGAAGAUAUUGUUCCAACCCAUUUUCUCUUACAUUGACAUUUGGUUUUGCAAGUUUAUGAGCAUGUGUGUGAGGGGGUGGUUGGGGCUAAGAGAUGUCUUAACAACCUCUUUGUUUAACAUAAAUGCACUACCAUUUAGACACCUUUUAAACAUUCAUUUUUUCACAAUAUCCUUUGUGUCUUUUCCUUUUUUCUUGGCUAAAUUUCUCUUUUCUUUGUGAGAAAGUGGCAUUUGUGGGAGUGAUAGUGAUUUUGAUUAAGGAAGUCUAUGUUAGGAUACUCCUUUAUUUGGAGUUAUCCCAUUUGGAUACUCUCUUUUCACACAAAUUACAUGACCUGGCAUCAUUGUUGCACAUUGGAUAUUGUAUGCCAGUUCACACUCAUUCCCAUCAAAGAUGACAAAUCAAUCUUCCAUACAGUGCUUAGGGUAUGGGAUAUUUUCAUGCUUUUGACAUGAGUUAAAUUAUCAAAUUGCUCUUUCCAAGGAGGAGGAUUCAUUGUUCACCACAAAUACCUAGUUGGGGAGUUUGCCACCCAUAGCUCUUCCUGUAUAAAUCCAUAUUCUACAGUAAGGCACCAACUUGCCAUACUUCUCUAGCAAUGGUGACAUCUCUAUCAAGACAUAUAUCACUCACUUUGAGCAAUAUUGUGCAUCGAAUGGUAUUGUUGAGGAUAAUCACAAGCUCUAUAACCUGUUGUGAUCGCUUGCUAACUGAGCAGUAGUAUAGACAUGGCUAAUUACUCCACAUUCAAAGCAUAAUUCCAAAGUCACUUUGAUCAAUAGUGAUCAGCAAAUUACUUACUCAUGGACUUGUUUUCUUUUUAGCAAGGAGCACACAAAUUUAUACGAAAGUAUGUGAUGCAAUUCAGGUCUUAUUGGAAGGAGUGUGUCCAGUGUAAGGUCAUUACAAAUGAACCUCAUGGCAUCACUACAUUCAUCUUUAGCCUCAAGGGAAUCUCCUAACAAGAUGCUCAAGCGAGAGUUUUGAAUGUGUUGUAAGGCAUUUGCUGCAGUAAAGACUUUGGAACGGGAUCUUUUCCAAGAGUUCAAGAUUUCUAGGGUAGAGGAGGCUUUUCUCCCACCCUCAAACAAGAGCUUAUGUGCUGCUAUGGUCCAUUCUUCUCCAGCCCCACACAGCAAUGAUAGAGUUCCCUCAGUAAUUGAGAAGGCAUUGUCGGAAUUUGCGGGAUAUAAGGAGAUCAUUUAGCAGCAACAACAAAUGCAAGAGAAGCUGCUUGAGGAGCUUAAAGCAUACCUUUUACAGAAGGCAAAGAGACCAAGAAACCCUCCUUAUUCCUAAUACUGUUCGCAUUGCAAUGUUACAACACAUAGCAUGGAGAGAUGUUGGAAGCUUCACUUAGAAAUUUGGCCACCUUCUGUCUAGUGGGUUCAGCAAUAGCCUCUAGUAGACAACACACCUCUUCCAUUACCAACAAAUAGAUACCAGUAACAACUAGAGCAGAAAGUGAUUGAAGACACCCCUUCAUCGAGCUGCAGGAAGACACCUAUGCACAUCAACACAGUAUACAUUACAAAGGACAGUUAUCAAGUGGUUGUUGUGAUGAGAGGGCACAAGAAAGGUUCCCCUUCAGCCCCAGAUAUUGAUGGUGAGUAGGAUCUAGUAGUAGUUUUUGGAACUUCACCCUCUCUUGUGGUGUGCAAAUUACCUCAUGCUUUGGUAUUUGUGGCACCACCCACAUCCUUAGGCACACCUUUGGAUCCAGCUCCCAGACAACCUCCAAACUUUUAGAGUGGGACCUUCUAGCCCCCCUCCACUCUUUCUUAGGUUCCACAAGAUGUUCUCGCUUAGAUUGUUGGCACUCCCAUCCCGAUCACACUUGAUGAGCUUUUGCGAUACAUACCCAAUUUUACUUCUCAGUUGGAGGCUUUUGUUAAGUCCAUAAGCAUCCUCGUAGAAUCUCAGCAUGACAUGUAUAUCAUCAACACUCAGACCAUUCAUGAUCCCGGAGCAUUCUUCAUGGAGGUCUAAAUCCAUGAUAAAUCCUUGAAGGCACAAGCAUUAUUUAAUUUAAGCUCCCAAAGCAACAUCAUCUCUCUUGACUUGGUGCACUUUAGUGGCUUGGAAGUUUCUAGCAACACAGCUGUAAUCCUUAGGACAUUUGCCAACCACAUAGUGAUCCCUAUAGGCAUCUGUCACAACAUCUAAAUCUCGGUACAUGGCAUGAUUUUGACACUCAAAUUUCUUGUAGUGGAUUACCAGCAGCUUGGAUCUGGGAAGUUGAAGAACUUUGUCAUGCUGGGACAUCUGUGGCACCUUACUGCUACUUGCACAACAACUUGGGCCAAGGGAGAAUUGACAAUCACAGAUGGCAUCCAUACAAUGAUUGUUCUCAAUGCCUAUGGCUGUUCUCUACUUCCAUCCAACUUGUCUCAAGUGGAUACUUCUUUUAGCACUAAAGUUGACUAGGCUCUCAAGGUUCUUUUCCUAGGAUGAUAUGUUGUUGGAGAUUUAAGUUGUUUAGUGCAAUAUUAUUGACUUCUUCAACAUGGAUUAGAUUAUAUCAACACUUGACUUCUCUAAUAUCACUACACAAAUCUAGAGGCCCCUUGUCUUUAGCAAAUCUAGGGAUUUCAUAUUGAUUCCUUUGCUACUACACAGUGAGGAAUCCAUCCAAGUGGUGGUUUCUCCAACAACUUUUCCAACUCCAACACCACUUAAGAAGUCACAAGGGACCCCUACCAAGGAUCCCUCAACAAUGACAUAGAGUUUGGAUGUAUUGCAUGUGAGCUUGGGUGUCAAUAAUUAUGAGAUAAAAGUUUGCGACACAAUCCUGAGGUAGUUCCUGAGGAUAAAGUUGAUGAGUUUAUGGCUAUUGGGAUUAAAAAGCCACUAUUUGACCACUUUCUUCUAGGCAAGCAUCCACCUCUAGUUGCAUCCUGUGAAUACCCAAGAGUGGUAAUACUUGGAGUGGUAUUAUGAGUUGUCUACUUCUUCCCAUAAUGUGGAGCUAAUAUCUAGAGCAUAUAUCCACCCAUAUGCCACAAUUUUUUUCUCUUUGGAGUUGAUUUGUUCUUUUGAUCCUAACUAUAGCAGGCAUCCAAGUGCUUCCAAAGGUGUGUGGAAAAUAGCCCUUUUCUUCCAGCUCAAAUUGCAAGUGAAGCAAUUUGCUAGUCCAAUAGUUUUUGUGCAAGCAAUAACUGUGACUUCACAUUUCAUUAUAUCAAAUUAGAACCUAUUAUUGGACACAUACAUUCAUCUUAUCCAUCAACUAAGAUCCUCUCUCAUCAUUCCCAUUAUAAUUCAUUUCACAUUUCAUAGUUACCACCACUAGGCAACACAUUCCUUAUGCUUUCUUCUCCAUUUUUAGCCAAAGUUUUGAGCACAGACUAUAUAAGCUUGAGGCUGCAUUAGCAUAUUCACUUUCUAGAGCAUGGGAGCUAGGUUUAAGGUUGUUUUUAUUUGAGUUUCUCUUUUCUUUCCAUUUUUCUUUUUUUUCCACUUUCUUGAAUCUCUAGUUCAACUACACAGUUUUCCAUUGGGUUUUUCUCUCUAUCUUUGAACUUCAAAUUCCUCUCUUAUCUACUUUCAUCCUUAUUUCUUUUGCCUUCAAUUUUUAAUUUUCUUUCUUUUUUUCUUUGCCAUCUCUCUUUGUUUCAGUAGUUACCCUCUCUAGACACUACAUUCUAGCAUUUGGGAGCAUCUUAGUCAUGGGUUUUUGCCCACUAGAGCCUUGUGCAUCCCACCAGUGGUCACCUGUUGUCCUUCUCUUCACACCAUAAUUUAGAUUGUGGUUUGAGAGAGCAUAGAGAAUUUUAUGUCUUUAGAAUAUUCCUUCAUCUUUGUAUAUAACCGUAUGAGAGGCUUGAGUAUAGGGUUACAUCUUAUUUUCUCUUGCACUUGCGCUUGGUUUUGCGAGUUUGUGAGUAUAUGUGUGAGGGUAUGGAGCCAUGGUUGGGGUUGAGAAACGCCCUAACAACCUUUUUGUCUAAUGCAAAUGUGGUACCACUCAAACACUUUCCGCCUAUCAUUAACAACUAAAUGACUUACAAAGUUAGUUAUUCUUACUACUUUCAGCAUCACUUAUUAUGCAAAAGAUGAUAUGCCCUUGUUUGCAGAUAACAUAAAGGAAGAAGUCAGAGGCCCUAACCCUCAUGAGCAAACAAACCAAACCCUUCGAUCAGGUUUAAAUAGAGUUGUUUACACGGUCACACCCUUCUAAAGGAAUGGGGAACAUCAAGAGAGAAGCGAGUGAUAUGUUUAGUCUAUAGUAACUACUCUAUGACUGAAAAUUUCAUUAUACACAUAAAGUGCCAAAACUAGUUUAUAUAUCCUAGCCCAAACUCAAAGAUUAAUAGAUGUAUAAUAUCAAACUCAUAGACAAAGAUAUUGUAGAGACAACAAAUUAUCAGUGAAUAAAUCUUAUAUUAGAACACAAGAGUAUUCCAAUUAAGUUAUCAUUUGAUAAAUCAGUAGAGGAUAUGAACCAUCAAAGCUUAUUAUAAGCCACAAAUUUUUCCUUUCUAAUUUGCCAGCUUACCUCAUCUAUCCGACCAACACUGCCUUGGCUUUUGCUAAGUUCCCUCGCCAAGGUUCCCGCCUAUUGUACCAACUCUUACUUGGUCCUAGUUGGUUACAGCUACUCACUGCAUGAGUAAUGGAGCGUUAGCCAUCCAUCCACGGAUUCCCAAAUCUCUCUCAAUCCCCCUCCCCGGGUUAGACUGGACUUAAGGUUUGGUUACACUUCCCGCAGGCACAAGCAGCCAAGCACACCAAGCCUCCAAGUUCCUAACAUCCCUUAGUACAACAAGACUUGAUCAUGGGACCCUCUAAAUCCCAAGCCUUGGGUGCGACACUUGCUUUGGGACACCGGGGCGAAACACCGUGGCCUAACGACCCAGUAUGGGUACCUCUACCCCCCCCCACUUCUAUCCCGAAGGGAAGGCCCAAGCCCCUAGGAAGGGUGAGGACCAAUGAGCCACAACGUACUCAAGUGGGGCACCACUCCACAUGAGCCGAGAGCACCGCAGUCGAUUUCCCUUUCGGGAGUGGGAGUUGCUCUUGAGCACUUCCUUGGGUGGCCCCUUCGGCACCACCCAAUGCCCCUCGGCCCUAGUCUCAACCUCAAGUUAGUUUGGAAGCACCACUAGAGAGUUCCUUCAAAACUGGUUCCUGGACCUCACUAUCCCUACUAUACUAUACUUUUGGAACCCCCUACAACCCCCCCCCCCCUCCGAGACACACGCUUUGGGCUUUCACCCCUUGACCCGUAUUAGUACUCGGUCUCGGACCCGACUUCAGACUUGGUCUCGGACUCGAUCUUGGACCCGAUCUUGGACUCAACUUCGGACUCGACCUCGGACUACGUCUCGGACCCGAUUUGGAUCUCGGACUCUGUCUCGAACUCUGUCUCGAACUCGGUCUCCGAUUCGGCCUCAGACUCAAUCCUGGACUCUAUCUCAAACUCGAUCUCAGAGUCGGUCUUGGACUCGAUCUUCAACUCGGUCCCAUCUGAUGAACUCUUUGUCAUUUUGGUAAUGCUUUCGGGGAUCCUUAAGCCUAUGACACCUUGGCGAGUUGGUUUUGUGAGACACAAAAUUCCUAGGCCCCAAAGUGGAGCUGGAAGGGUGCCACGUGGUAGUGGCUGAAGUGAAGGCCAAACGAGCGUAAUAUGUUUGGACUAAAAGCUCCGACUUGAUAGGUUGACAGUGGGAGUGGAACUCCCAACAAAGUGCUCGAGGAAUGAGCACAAAGUGAGCAAUAAGCGAGGCUCUAAAAAAGGGACCCAAAAGGACGAACACAUGACACAUGGGAGGACCCGAGAUGGAGUCCGAGAUGGAAUCCGAGAUGGACCGAGAUGGAGUCCGAGAUGGACCCGAGAUGGAGUUUGAGAUGGACGGAGACGGAGUCCGAGAUGGAGUCCGAGAUGGACCUGAGAUGGAGUCCGAGAUGGACCGAGAUGGAGUCCGAGGUCGAGACCGAGACCGGGACCGAGAUGGAGUCCGAGAAGGACCUGAGAUGGAGUCCGAGGUCGAGACCGAGACCGGGACCGAGACCGAGACCGAGACCGGGACCGAGACUGAGACCGAGACCGGGACCGAGACCGAGAUCGAGGCCAAGGCUGAGACCGAGCCCGAGCCCGAGUCCGAGUCCGAGUCCGAGUCCGAGUCUGAGUCCGAGUCCGAGUCCGAGUCCGAGUCUGAGUCCGAGUCCAAGUUCGAGUCUGAGAGGGUGAAAGCCCAAAGUGUUCGUCUCCCAGACCCUGGGGGUUUUGGUGAGCUCCAAAAGUAUAGUAAGGGGGAGGACUGCAGUGGAGCCAGUUUGGCCAGGAAAGGCCAAUUUGGCCCAGGAAGGCCAGACCCAGUGUUGGGUGAUGAAUUGACCACUGGGAAGUCCAAGACUAGAGUGAAUACAGACCGACAAGCGGGGUAGCUUGGUGAAGUGUUCAAGAGUCGGUUCUAGUUCCCCCGGGAGAUCAAUUGGCCGAUGCUCCCAGUCCAAGUGUGGGUGGCACUACCUUCUUGGAUACCUGGUGUGGCUCAACGGAACCUCGCUCUAAGCCUAUGGCUGGAGCACCUAAAGGUGGAAGGUGGGGAGAGUACCCACGGGGCUCGCGUAGGGCCACGGUGUUCCGAAAUGUUGUCCCGAAGUCCCAAAUAGGGGAAAGGAGGAGAAGCAGUCCUCUAGUGUAGUGACUACAGAUACAGUCACAUGGUGAGGAAGUCCCAGAGGACUGUGGGACUUAGUGGUCAGGCUUGUGGGCCUUGAUCCAGUGGCAGUGUUGGCAAAUACGGCCAUGGACGGAAAGGGACUUGAUGAGGACUAGAAAAGGGAUAUUGGGGAAGGCUAAUCCCCAUGUCUGUGGGCAUCCUAAGGAUGCUAAGGAGUGGAUCUGGAAUGAUCACUCAUGUACGGAUGGCCCAGUCUGGGAGAGAUGGGACUGUGAUGCAGGUAGUGUUAGACCACCGGGGUGACUAAGGUGAAGGGGCAUGGCCUUAGUGUAACAGGCGGAUAUGUCGAUGGUACCUUGGGGUGUCGGUCUUGGGAUCGGACAUGUGGAGCACUUGGACCAAGUGCAAAGGUUGAGUGGCGGGGAUGCCAUUCUCGGGGCUAGCAAGCCUAAGUCUGUAAUAGGACUUAUGGAGGUUGUGAGUGAGACUCCUCCAAGUGGUUGGAGGUGUGGUUAAGUGACUAAAGUAGAAUGGAAAAUUUAGUCGCUUACAGGUUCCUUACAACUCCACCACCCAUAGAAGAGGUUCGAUGCCCACAUCGAACAUCUCUUUUUAUCCUACGACUUGUUGACCAUGUCUCCAGGGCAUCCCCCCACUUAGCGGUAUGCCUAAGUUAGCCUCCCCAGCCAAGAGUCCAUGACAACGAAAUAUAGGUGUCCCUAUACCCCUCACCUCACCACGCCCUAGUAUGGGGUCGGGACUUGAACUCAGCCUUGCUUUACUAGGGGUUUGGGACUCGAACCCAACCUCCGUAGAAUACGUCCCAACAUAUGCCAUUGCUCAACUUCACAAAUUGAUACUUUAAUUGAACUUAAGUAAAUAGAGUUCUACCUUACAAAAAUUCCUCCACUAGAUUUUGCGCGUUCGCUAGGUUCUCCUCCAGUUCCCAUGUUGCUUCGUAGUGUGGAAAUCCUUUCCACUUCACAUGGAACUCUCUCACCUCGCGUCCUUGUUUCUUGCUCUUGCAUGCAUUGAGGAUGGCCUCGACUUCGUAUUCCUCUUCCCCUUUGAUAACCUCAGGUAAAAGUCUUACUUGGUCCUUGCGAAGCGGAUCCUCAAAGUACGGCUUGAGUAAGUUCACGUGGAACACUGGGUGCAUCUUCCCCAUCUCUCGAGGAAGUCGGAGACGGUAAGCCAUUUUAUUGAUUCGUGUCUCAAUUUCGUAAGGCCCCGCGAACCUACUUAAGAACUCAAGAUCAAUUCUUUUACAGGAAUACAUGCAUUUUUACCUUUGGGUCAACUUCCAGCUAAUCCCAGUUGGUAGCCUGAGGUUCUUGGUGUUCAGCCACACCUUCUCCUUAGCUUGGAACUCUACAUCCCGAUGCUUCUGGUUCGCGUACUUGGUUUGCCUUUGUUGAGCCCGUUCCAAGGAAUCCCUCACUAAAUUCCAAAUGUUGAGUCUUUCCGCCGUGAAUGCCUCCACUGCGGGUAACUCUCCAUGAUACUCGGCCACGCCGAGUUCCACAAGACCUUCAAUAGCUCACCUAUUGAUGACUUCCCAUGGACUCACCUCGAUACUCGAAUGUGGUGAGUUGUUAUAACACAUUUCCGCAAGUCCCAAAUGACUUACCCAAUCGGUCUGGUCUCCCAAGACAUAGCAUCACAAAUAAUCCUCUAGUUGCCUAUUCACCCUUUCCGUUUGUCUGUCUGUUAAGAAGUGUUAGUGCCAUCAAACUUGACUUAAUACCCAAUACCUGUCUGUGGGUGAUAGGUUGUGUUGAAUUUCAACUUGGUGCGAUAUUGUUUCGGGAGAGUUCUCCAGAACCUACUGGUGAAGAUCUUAUCUCGAUCUGAGAUAAUCUCUUCUGGCUUUCCCCGUACUCGAACCACUUGUUUGAAGAACAGUUUCGCCACACCUUCCGCAUCCACUUUCGUUGUGGUGGGUAUGAAAUGUGCCAUCUUCGAAAAUUGGUCCACCACCAUGAAUAUCGCAUCGAACCCCUCGCUUGGGGGGAGUCUCGUGAUGAAGUCCAUCGUAAGACAUUUCCACGGAUGAUCUAGAAUUGGGAUGCUUUGUAACAAGCCCCCACUAGCCUUAGUCACGACUUUGACUUAUUGACACGUUGGGCAUGUCUUUACAUAGUCUUGGAUGUCCCUAGCUAUAUCUGGCCAGUGGUACUUCCUCUUGAGUAAACCCAUCGUCUUGGGUAUUCCGCCGUGUCCCGCAAGAGGUCCGUCAUGACACUCUUCUAAGGCAACCUUCCUUAGUUCCCCUUCUGGAACAUACACCCUCGUUUGCUUAUAAUAAAUGAGUCCGUUGCGUUCUGCAUAGCCUGUUUUCUCUUCUGUUGGCAGCUCACCUCUCUGGUGGGCUUCCUGUGCCUCUAGAUUCCGUAGCAACACUUUUUGUGCUAGACCAUCAUUCUCAUAUGCUGUCCACACAUCAUCCCAAAAGGUUGCUGUUGCGCUGGAUACCGCUAACUUCAAGCUCGCUUUUCGACUUAGCGCAUCCGCCACGAUGUUGCUCUUCCCAGGCUUGUACAGAAUCUCGCAAUUGAACUCGGCCAAAGCAUUGGCCCACCGACCCUGUUUCCCUCUCAAGUCAGGCUGUGACAAGAAGUGUUUCGUUGCCACAUUGUCCGUGUAAACCUUGAAGUGUUUCCCAAGGUAGUGUUGCCACUCCUUGAGCGCCUUGACCACCGCAAACAAUUCCUUCUCAUGGGCAGGCCACUUCUGUUGAGCCUUGUUCAACUUUUUCGAAUUGAACGCUACUGGAUGGUUGUUUUGCUUCAAAACUGUGCCCAACGCAAAGUCUGAAGCAUUCGUUUCUACUUCAAAGUCCUUACCAAAGUCUAGUUACGCCAACACAGGAGCCUUCCUAAACUUCCCUUUGAGGUGGACAAAUGCCGACUCGCAUUUUGCUGUCCAUACCAUCUUCCUUUUUCCCGUUUGGUCAGUUAAGGGCAGGGCUACUCUCAAAUAGUGUCUGAUAAACUUUCGGUAGUAGUUGCAUAGCCCCAAGAAUGCCCUUAACUCGUGUACAUUCAAUGGUCGCUCCCAAUCCUAGAUCGCUUGGACCUUCUCAGGGUCCACUUUGAGCCCGUCCUUGCCCACCACAUGCUCGAGAAACUUUACCUCUUGUUAAGCAAAGUCACAUUUGCUCUCUUUAGCAUACAGCUGGUGCUCCCUUAGUUUCUCGAACACCUUCAUCAAGUGUUCGGCAUGCUCCUCUAGCGUUUCGCUAUAGAUCAGGAUGUCAUCAAUAUAGACAACCACAAAGUGAUCCAGAUAAGGUACAAAGAUGUGGUUCAUAAAUGCUGAAAACGUUGCCGGUGCAUUGCAUAGCCCAAAGGGCAUCACUAGGAACUCAAAGCUCCCAUACCUUGUUCGAUAGGUUGUCUUCUCGACAUCUUCCUCUACUACCUUGAUUUGGUAGUAUCCUGACUUUAGGUCAAUCCUCGAGAAGUAUUUUGCCUUUCCCAACCUAUCAAAUAGGUCCUCUAUCCUUAGCAAAGGGUACUUGUUUUUCUUUGUAUACUUGUUAAGCAACUGGUAGUCUAUGCACAUGCACAUAGAUCCAUCUUUCUUUUUCACAAAUAACACCAAUGCCCCAUAUGAUGACUUGCUCAACCUAACAUACCCUUUGUUCACUAACUCCUUUAGUUGGCACUUGAGCUCCUCGAGUUCUUUUUUGUUCAAACGAUAGGGGGGACGAACCACCGCCUUAGCACCCUCGACUAGCUCAAUUUUAUGUUCUAUCAGUCGUGCGGGGGGCAACCCCGCUGGUAGCUCCUCUGGCAUGGUAUCCUGGAAUUGGUCUAACACUUGUUGGAUCACUAAAGGUACUUCUGUUCCCAUCUCUUUAUCACUCUUCACCGAGAGUAAGCAUAAAAAUGUUGCCUUGGUUCCUUUAGUGAGUUGUCUUCUUGUGGACACCAGGUUUAGGCAGGAAUCUUUGGCCUUGCAUUGCCCUACACUUUAGAUCCUGGGCCUCUACCUUGGAUCUUCUUCCUUGGGCAUUUGCUAGUACCAUAAGGUUCCUACCUUGUCCAUGCAAGGCUACCACGAAUCCAUUGAACCAAUCCAUCCCGAAGAUCACGUCAAAUCCCGCCAUGUCCAACAUGGUGAAAUCCAUGUCUACUUUCGAUGUCCCUACUUCGACUCUCGCUUGUUGAAGUACCUCAUCGGUGCGUUGGCUACCUUGAACAAACUCUAUAGUCCUUGGUUCGCCCAGCCGCUGCACCGUUAGUCCGGCUUGCCAGACUAUGUAUGCAGCCACACAAUUAUCCGAAGCACCCGUGUCAAUAAGGAUCUUAAGAAAGCUACCUCUGAGCUUCCCUCGGAGGGCUAAUAGAUGUUGUGAACGACUCUCUACCAAAGUUGCUCGUGUAAUGAGUAACUUUGAGCUAGGGACUGGAUCACAUACCUCAUUUUGGAUUUCACCCAACUUAAUGGCCAUAUUGGCUCUGGCCUUCUUCGGGUAGGGACAUUCUCUCGAAAAGUGUCCCGUUUCACCACAGUUGUAGCAUACAUUGUUUCCCACACUGCUAACCGACUUGACCUUCUUAUCCAUGGGUUUCUCUCUUUUUGCUUGACUCCCCCACGUAUUUGCUCGCUAGCCACCGGAUUUACCUUUCUGGAACCCCGAGGACUCAUUCUUAGAGAAACCCUUCUUGAAUUUCCCUUUACUAUACGUUCCCCUUGGUUUGGCCCCUUUGCUAAAUGUGGACCCCGACCCUGUCGUGUUCCCCUUUUGCAGAUUAUCGUUGAAAUGCACCUUUAUGGCCGCAUCCAACGCUUCCUUGUAGUUGGUCGGGUUCCAGUGCAUCACCUCUCUGCGAGCCCAGGUUUGCAAGCCUGAUAUGAAGGCAUGGAACGCAUCCAUAUCCCCCAUGUCUGUGACAAGUAUCCUCUUUGCCAUAAAUCCAUUCAUAUACUCCUGAAUGGUUCCAGUCUACUUCAGUCUACUCAGCUCGUCUCUUAGAUGCAGAGUAGCAUUCGGAGGAAUGUAAGUCGCGCAGAUCCUCACCUUCAUCAUGUUCCAAGUGGCCACCGGUCCUUCAUUGGCCUCCGUCGUUCUCCACCAAGACUUGGCAUUAUCUGCCAAGUAUGGUUUUGCACAUGGAACCUUCUCCGAGCUUGGUAAUCGCAACGCUCAGAAGUAGUCCUCCAUAUCGUAAAACCAAUCCUCCAAGACCUUAUAGUCGUUCACUCCCUUGAAGACCGGUGGGGACUUUGGUUUGUACUUGGGAACUGCUUGAGGGACUAAUUCCACUUCGGUUUGUUUAACCUUGUUUGGUUCUGCCUUAGUCCCUAUUGAAGGGUCCGCACCUUUUGUGCUACCAGCAUCCGUGGUCUUUCGCUUUUUCUUCCGCUUCUCAUCAUGCUUUAGCUUGCGUACGAGAGUCUCUAGCAGGGCAUUGGUCUGUGCCAAUUGUCCUUCUAAAACGUCCAAUCGAGCCUUGGAUGAUCGAAUCUCGCCACCAGACUUCUGUUUGGAAGUUUCCUCACUGGAAUCCUCCUCAUGCAAGGAUUCCUCAUCCAUAGCCUCUUGUUCGACUGGAGGCUCUAGCUCUAGCGGAGGUUCUGUCUCCGCCUUGGUUCAUUUACGCUCUGCCUUUGCCAUUUCCCAGCAAUCCACCUCUAUCCUUCGCUAGAACUGAGGAAAAGGCUCCGAUACCAAAUUGUAAGCCACAAAUUUUUCCUUUCUAAUUUGCCAACUUACCUUGUAUAUUCGACCAACACUGCCUUGGCUUUUGCUAAGUUCCCUCGCAAGGUUCCCGCUUAUUGUACUAGCUCCUACUUGGUCCUACUUGGUUUCAGCUACUCACUGCACGGGCAACAGAGCAUUAGCUAUCCAUCCAUGGAUUCCCAAAUCUCUCCCAAUCCCCCUCCCUAGGUUAGACUGGACUUAAGGUUAGGCUACACUCCCCGCAGGCACAAGCAGCCAAGCACACCAAGCCUCCAAGUUCGUAACAUCCCUUGGUACAACAAGACUUGAUCAUAGGACCCUCUAAAUCCCAAGCCUUGGAUAUGACACUUGCUUUGGGACACCAGGGCAAAACACCGUGGCAUAACGACCCGGUAUGGGUACCUCUAGCCCCCCACUUCUAUCCCGAAGGGAAGGCCCAAGCCCCUAGGAAGGGCGAGGACCAAUGAGCCACAAGGUACUUAAGUGGGGCAUUACUCCACAUGAGCCGGGAGCACUGCAAUCGAUUUCCCUUUCGGGAGUGGGAGCUGCUCUUGAGCACUUCCUUGGGUGGCCCCCCCGACACCACCCGAGUCCAUGCUCACUCCCACCCAAGGCCCCUCGUCCCCAGUCUCAACCUCAAGUCAGUUUGGAAGCACCACUAGAGAGUUCCUUCAAGACUGGUUCCUGGACCUCACUAUCCCUACUAUACUUUUGGAACCCCCUACAGCCCCCACCCCCCACUCGGAUCAUUGUUUUCAUCUCUGCAUAUGCAACAAGACUAGAUGCCCAAUCUAAUUGGAUAGUACUCGCCAAGACUCAUUCUUUGAUACAAAAAUGUAGCACACUUGGUUUUUACCCUUUAUCCUAUGGUGAUUUACCAUAGGAUAACCAUAAAACAGAAUCUAAAACCUUCAUGUGCCACGUGUCACAUGCCAUGUGUCCAAAGGAUGGUGUGGAACCCGAGUUUCAAGGCCUUGGGCCACUAAAUGAAGGAACAGUGCCAAACUCCUAAGCAUGGAGCCAAGGAGUGAUGGAACCGGACCACAGAGCAACUCUUAAACAUAUAGCCUAAGAAGCAAAGGGACAUGAGCACGAAGUGACUUGGAACAGUCCUAAAGCAACUAGCAUCCCAAUGCUAGGACCAGUAUGCAAAAUAGAGUUAAAUGAAGUUUACCAUUAUUUCAACAUACCGGUGGCCUAAUGCGAGGAUAUGGGUACUCCACUAACUGGCAUAGUGUGGAACUUGGGCUUAGACCCAAGCCGGAUGCAAAACAAAGAUAGGCACACAAGCGGCAGCUAAACUAUACCUCAAGUUGGUUAGCCAUACGCAACCAACCCACUAUCCCUACUAUACAUUUGGUAUAGUUGGGAUCCCCCCCCCCCCCACCCCCCCACCCCCCCUCUUGAGGAACACAUGCUUUGGGCUUUCACCGCAAGCCUCCUUUAGUAUCAGGAGUUAGUCUUUGGGACAAGCUCAAAACUUACUGUCAAGACCCCCAACAAGAUUAGGACUGGAAAAUGUAGAAGACAAAGAGAAAAGUUAGUGGAAACAAGGAAAAGGCCUUAGACUAACAUUGAUUCAGAUUGUGGAGAAAUGGAACAAAGCUAACCUAUAUAUACUAUACGUUGAUGAAGCUCCACCACUCUUGGAUCGAGGAUGGCCUAAAUAUAGUUGAGGUCGAGGAGACGCGACGUCAUCAUUAGGAAUGUGGCUCAAGACUUAGAAAUUGUACAGGAAAUCAGAAAGUCAGGAAUAGGGAAGUGUCUCGAGAGUCAGAAAUAGGGAAGUGUCUCAAGAGUCAAGAAUGUGGUCUGCGGGUCAGGAAUCCGGCGAGAGUCAGGAAUGUGGCAAGAAUUGGGGGAUUCCUGACAGCACCCCCUCCUCAAGAACGAAUGGAACAAGGACGAUGAGAACGAAAAGGAGUAUGAGAUGGGUGGCGAGGGAUGGAAGAUGGAAAAUGAAAAGAAUGAGGACUAGGAUGAGAAGGAUAGCGGCGGUGGAAGUUUUGAACAAGGUCAGGAGAAUGAAUCAGGUUGUUCAUAGGUUCCCAAGUGCGUUCCUCAGGUCCGUAACCCUUCUAGUCUACCAGAUAGUAGAGUUUAGACCGUGAGAUCUUGGAAUCAAGGAUGUCUUGAACCUUGUACUCAAACCCAUCCUCGAGUUGCACUGGUGGAGGCGGAGGAAUGACCUGAUUUGGAAUAGGACUGGGAAUAUAAAGCACAAGGAGAGAGGAGUGAAAAACGGGGUGAAUUUGAUAUGAGGAAGGAAGUACAAGGUGAUAAGUGACAGGAUUAAUGAUGGUAGUGAUAGCGAAAGGGUUGAGGCGUUUGAAAUUGAGUUUGGGACAUGGCCUGGUGGUGGAGAUAUUUCACUUGAGGAGCCAGACUUUAUCCCCGAUAUUGUAAGGGGGACAAUCCUGAUGAUGGACAUUGGCAAAUGUUUUGUGAGAUUCCUGAGCAUGAUGGAGGUCGAAGGAGAUGGAGUUGUGGAUUUCCUGGAGGAUGGAGACAAAUGCCUCAGAGCGGGGAUUUAAACAAGAGGAUUUGGAUGGAGAAGGAAGUGAGAGAUUGAAUUGGGGAUUUCAGCCAGAGUUUGCAAAAAAGGGGGAAACUCGAAGGGAGAAGUGAAUAGAGUUGUUUUAGGAGAACUCAGCAAGGGGAAGGAUAUCGAACUAGUCAUCCAAAUGAUAGUUGAUGAAGCACCUCAAGAAUUGUUCCAACGUCUGAAUCAUUCGCUCGAACUGUCCAUCAGUUUGAGGAUGAUACGCUGAAGAGAGGUUGGCCUUCACUCCAAGUAGCUGCAAGAACCGUUGCCAGAAAUGAGAGAUGAACUGAGGUCCCCGAUCCAAAACCAUAUCUACAGGAAUCCCAUGAAGUCGGAAAAUUUCCUUGAAUACCAGUUUUGCCAUGUCCUCGCCCGAAAACUCCUUGGUACAUGGUAGGAAGUGCGCCAUCAUUGUGAAGCGAUCCAGCAUGACUAAAAUGCUGUUGAAGCCUCCAGAACUCGAAAGAUCACUCAAGAAAUCCAUGGAGAUGGAUUCCCAAAGACCUGAAGGGACUGGGAGGGAACGAAGCAAACUUGAAGGAAAGUGGCGAGGUAUGUUAUUCCGAGCGCAAGUGUCACAGGAGGUAACAAAAGCUUUGAUGUAAUCGUCCAUGUGAGGCCACCAAAAGUCCCGUGCAACCAGCUUAUAGGUUUUCGCAAUGCCGAAGUGACCAGUAGUCGGGCUAUCGUGGCACGCCAUCAAGACCAACCUUCGAGCAUCACCUUUAGGAACGUAAAGAUGCUCCCUAUGGUACAACAAGCCAUCUUAGAACUUGAACUCGUCAAAUCGCCAAUAGUCGGGAGUCAUUAGGUGUCCAGUCUGAAGAUGGGGGAAAAUGUCACUGGCGAGGUCGUCAGAUUGAAGAUUGUUUCUAAUCGCAUCCAUCAAGGAGGAGUCCUGAGGGGCUACGGAAAUUGCCAUAACUUGAAAUCAAUCAAGACCGAGGAUAACAUGAUCCUAUUGAUCGAAGGCAGGAUUACCAGGCUUGAGAUUGAGAUAGGAGCGCCUUGAAAGAGCAUCAGGAAGGCCUUGAAGCUUUUUAGGUCUGUACUUGAUAACAAAGUCAAACCAACUCAAGAAUUGUGCCCACCUUGUUUGACGACGGCUCAAAACUCGGGAAGUGACAAAGUACUCAAGAUUUUUGUGAUCCAUCUAGACCGUUGUUUGAUGGCUCGCCCCCUCCAAGAAACGAUGCCACUCUCCAAAGGAAUCCACGAUGGCAAGGAGCUCCUUGUCGUGGAUUUCAUAAUUGAUCUCCGCAGGCUGGAAUUUCCGAGAAUGGAAAGCGACCGGAUGAAAUUCCUGAUCUGCUCCGAGUUGAGACAGCACAACACCGAUGGCAAAGUCGGAGGUGUCUGCCUCGAUGAAGAAAGGUUGUGAGGGAUCAGCGUGGAUCAAGACAGGAGCAGAACUAAAGGCCGCCUUGAGUGUGUCGAAGGCCUGCUAAGCAGCAGCAAACCAAGAGAAGGGAACAUCCUUGUGAGUGAGAUGCGUGAGAGGAAGGACAAUGUCAGAGUAGUGAUCAAUGAAUUUGCGGUAAAAGUUGGUGAGCCAAGGAAAACCUGAACAUCCGACAUUGAUUGUGGAGGCUCCCAUUCAAGAAUAGUCUUGAAUUUGGCACAAUCCAUCGUGAUACCCUUAGGAGUGACAAUGUACCCAAGGAACUCCAUAGACUUUUGAUUGAAGGAACAUUUCUUAAACUUCGCGUAUAGGCUGUAUUCCCGCAGCUUCGCCAACACCUUGUGCACAUGUUUGUUGUGCUCCUCCUGAGUUUUUGAUUAAAUGAGGAUGUUGUCGAGGUAGACGAUCACCAUCUGGUCAAGAAACUCCCAAAAGACAUCGUUUGCCAUGUGUUGGAAAACUGCUGGAGCAUUUGUCAAGCCAAAUGGCAUGACAGUGGCCAUAGCGAGUUCAGAACAUAGUCUUUCAUUCAUCGCCACUGGAUAGUCUAGGAUUGUUCCAAGUCGCUCUGGGCUCUUGUCCCUUUGCUCCUUAGGCUGUAUGCUCGGGAGUUGCUCCCCGGACUGGUUCUAUCACUCCUUGGCUCCAUGUUUGGGAUUUUAUCACCAUUCCUUUGUUCAGUGGCCUAAGGCUUUGAACCUCAGGUUCCGCACCAUUGUCCUUUGGACACGUGGCAUAUGACAUGUGGCAUGUGUCACGUGGCAUAAAGAGGGUUUAGGUUCUGCUUCGUGGUGUUAUCCUAUGGUAAAUCACCAUAGGAUAAAGAAGCUCUAUUUCGUUAAAGUGGGAUUUAUUCAGUAAAAUGGGACUAGGUACAAAUUUUCAAGUAUUUGAAAAUGACGUGAAAUUAUAUGUUUUUUGUCCAGGGGCUAGACAUAUCUGGGGCAUGGUGACUAGCGCGGUGAUUUUGUGUCCAGACUGAGUCCAUCUGGUUGUAUAAUAAAUCUCAUUGUCAAGGUGAACAAACCGAAUCUGAAGCAAAAGAAGAGUGAUGGCAUGCGCGCACACACUAUUUGUUUGUUCAUUGAGCAUGUGGUGAGCUUUCCAAGAUGAACGUCAUUCCUAUUAGCCAGACAUAUAACUUAAUCGUGAGAACAUUUAGAUAUUAUUCAAUGUUAUCUUUUUCUAACGAAUCUAAUUGUGAAGGUGUAGCAAGAGGCAUUGCUAGUCUGGAGAAGUCAUUUAACUCAUUUGACCCUUAGUGUAUUUUCAUGAAACUAAAUAACAUUCAUAUUAUUAAGGAAUUUCUCUAGUACCUUUUUUUUACGACAUAGAGGCUUGCAUUUCUUUCAAAGGUGAUUUAGUAAAAGGCCUGAGGGCACAUGCCAUUCUAUUUCUCAGACCGGUAUUAAGAUAUACUAGUGCAAAGGGCCACAUGCCAUCACGCCUCCUCUGAUUCAGAUUCGGAUUGUUCACCUUGAAAUAAAAUACAUUAGAAACUUAGUAAAGGAAUAUUAAUGAAUCUCACCUUGAACCCGGGUUAUGAAUGCUCUUGCUGCAUCUCUUGCAUGGUCUGGCAAGGUGAUGGUGGCACUCUGCUUCCGCAUCCAACCAUCCACAACAUUAUCCACCGAUAUGCUCAUGCUGGGAUCCCUUGGAUUCAGCACCCAUCUCUUUUCUAGGCAAUCCUUCGUAUAUCCGGAACUUGGCUUGAACCACUCCACAGUUACAUUGAAGGAGUUAGUUUCCGCGUCCUCCUCUGCAUCAGUGAUGCAGCGCCCCACCCAUAUCAUUUGUUUUUUAUUACUGGGUCUGACAAGCACGACCAUUCCUUUGCAGACCUGUACUGGAUUGAAUGCUGAAUCCGGCUUCUUGUUCCUCGGCCCACAAUAGUGAUCCUCAACAUCGUUAUCUGUCACUGCAUUUCUAGAGGACAUUGUUCUGCUACUAUCUGGUGCUCUGGGUUUUGGCCAAAAGGACUCUUCCAAUUCUUCAUAUACAACCGGCCCAUUUUGGAUAGUAGAUAUAAUCUUCUCCCAGUAUUCGAGCAAAGGCUUGCACCUCUUAAAAUAGGAUUCUCCACCAAACACCAACCCCCUCUUCCAGAAGGCAAUAUGCUGUCUAAUCCCGGCCACUAUACUUUCCUGGUCUUUGAGUCCAUCCGGGUGCAUCGGCCUGGGGAACCCUGAGGAAUCAUAGGUUCCCCAGUUAUGGGAUCUCUCUUGAAGAGUUCAAUGCCAUCCACUGGCAGCCACACUGUGUCCCAUUCUCUCAUCUUGUACCUCAUCACUGGAGCACCGUCACGCAUGCUGAAAUGAAACUGAAGAGGCUUGGAGUGGCCAAUCAGCGUUUCGGAUCCGUCCCUGAUGUAGCCUCUUACAAACCCCUUAAAUUCUGGAACCUCUGUCACAAGUGCAGCUUCAACAGUGCCUUUGAUGCAAUUUUGGAAUUCAUCGUAGAGUUGUGGGAGGGUGAGGACAUUGGAUCGCCGGAGGGACUCUGCCAGGUGACUGAACAUGGCAUCGACGUCUUCAUGAGUGUGCCCAACCAUGAGAAAGCCAAGUGUAACCGUUUCAAAUAUGCCUUUGGCAACAAGCAUCGCCAAGUACGCGAAGACGUACAUGUUUUUGUUCUCACUGCCAGCAUUGUCUGUUUGGAGCAGAAGAUGGGGUGGAAGGCCACAUCGGCCGCAAGAACUUCCUUGAGAUUCUGCUUCGUUUGGAUGAGGCUGUGCAUUCACCGGGCGACUAGCCUCGUCGGAAUGGCAUGAGGCCUCACGUGAUAACCCUACAAUCUGACGGCCAACAUAUUCACUGGGAUGGCAUGGGGCCCCACGCAAUACUGCAAGCCUUUGCUCCUCCUCCAGCUGAACCCUGUAUGGGGUUCGAUCGACAAGGGCCUUAUGCAAGGGUUGGCCGUUCAGCUCAGUCUGCGCACUUUGCAGAGACCUUAAGUGUUUUGCUAGGGACGCAAUCAUCAUGUUUGCACCCCCGCCACCCCAUAAAGAAGUUCCCAUAGUUCUGGGCACCAUGCCCAUGAGCGAUUAUGCCAAACAGAGACACAGGCAGCUGCAUGGAUGAAGAGAUUGCCUUGGGGGCAGGAUUGAGUCGAGGUAAGCACGUCUUUUUCUAGUCCAUUUUGUCGUGGAUGAUGCAGAGGUAAGAGUCAGGUCUCUCCAUGGAGAGAAUCCUGUUAUGAUAAUAUGCAGUCCUACAGCUUCUCUGCUCGAUGUUGUGGUCGAGCCGCCUUCUAACCAACGUCUCUCGCUCUUGAGCGCUGCAAGAAUUCUUCGACAAAGCCAUUUUGAUAGCAGUGCACUCGUCACACUUUGAAAAGCUGGAGUACUUUCCUAUACUCACAUCCCUGAACCUGUUGCUCCACAAUCUACUAAAUCUAGAUUGGCUCAGCUUCCUGUAGCCAUUACUCUGGAGUUCCCGAUUCACAUCUUCCAAUAUGGCCCCCUUGGUAUACAUGGAAGGGAGAACUCGUUGGGUGUCUCGUGUUCCAUCUUCCAAGAGGCGGGUUUAAUGUGGUUGCUGCUCGCUACAUGUCUCGACAAACCUCUUGAAGAUUGCCUCUCCAUAUACAACAUGACCCCUGGUUUUGUGCGUACCGUCGUUCCCAUGGACUGCCUGUUGAACCCUUUGUUCCUCGAACUCAGUUUUGAUUCUGUAGAAUGUGCUUCGAGGGACUCCAUAAAUGAUUCUCCAUGCCUUCAUGCAGACCAAACCCCUCUGGAAGACCAUGCCCCCCACCUGAUGUUCUGAAGCAUCAACAGAUGACCGUAAUGCCUCAUACACAAAAUUGCGAGCUGCCUUCCAGGACAAUGUCUUGUAUCUUGCUCUCUCCUCUUCAAUAGCAUCCCAAUCAGCAUGUUGACAGCACCUCCUCUUGCAACAAGCAACUGUCGAGACCAUUCGAACCUCCAUCGCCAUUUUCUGCCUUUUCGGUUCGUUGCUCAGAUCCCUUUGGCUGCGCUGUAGGAAGGUGUACUUUCUUUUCCCAUGAAGAGAUGUUCUGUCAUCAGUUGUAGUGGUGUUUGAUUGUGAAUCCUUCACAUUCUCAAACACUAAAUGCCUCAAUUUCCACCGCACAAUGCUUCCAAUAGUCAGACUGUUUUCUUCUGUGUCAACAACCUCUAAAAUCGCAACUCCAAUAUCAUCCCAGCCCAAUUCUUGAUUAGCAACCGCAUCUCUUGGAUCGACAACUGUGGCUAAGCCCUCAGCUACCACCUCCCCCUCGGGGUUGUUUAGAAACACCUUUGCCUGAAUCCAUGUAACACGGUUCUUAAGAUCCACAGAGGGAACAUGCGUCGCACUUGCGCUGUCCCCAACAUCUGCUUUCUUCUGCAGAUUUUUCAAGGCAACAACAACAUUUACCCCGACGACCAUCUCUCCUCGUUCAAUAGCGACCACAUUCCCAUCGAAGACAGUCUCUACUGAUACAGCAGCAUUGCCUUCCCCAAGCCUUUGACAGUGUAUAACAAAGUUCCGAUCCAUAGACACAAGGGUCCCUUUUGCAACUCUCUUCCCACCAUUCAAAAUGUAAACUUUUUCCCCAACCCUGAAGGCCAUUCUGAAAGUGCAGAAAAGAAGUUAAGACCAUACAAAAAAUGAUUGGAGAAUGGCCUAAAUCAUAACAUACCAAAUAGCAUGAAGCCACAUGCCAUUAUUCAAACAUGCUAUUGACACCCACGUGAAAUUUCGCAUUCACAAAAUUCUGUGUGUGUACGUCCAUUUAUGGCAAUAUAAGGCCACACGCCAUUCAAAGAAUAAUGCUAGUCGAGCAUUUUUUGGUGCAUUUUUGGGUUCAAAAUUGCAUGAGCCCACAUGCUAUAAAGUUUACCUGUACCAAAAAUAGAAACAGCUUUAUUUACUUGGGAAUUUAAGUGGUUGAGGCAUUUUUAAACUUACAAACACAUGCCCUACUUACAUUCAUUUGGUUGCUUAAAAGUCAAAAAUAUUAUAAACCUUUCUUUUUGCAUUUUCAAUGUUUUCAAUUAUGGUUUUUGAUUUUCGUAGGACCAGCCUAGUAAUCUAUUUGCAUCCCGUCAUGUUUAUAGCUAGCUUUCGUUUGUCCCCUUCGCUGGCCUGAGAUACAUCUGCUCGGAAUCUGCCUCUUACAGCAUUUGCCCAGAAAGGGCAUCUUUCUUCACGCAGCAUUUGCCACAUAUUUAGGGUUAGGGUUUAGGGUUUAGGGUUUAGCAAUUCAGUAGCUUGAUAAACAUGCAAAUACAGAACUUGAUGCAAAAUCCUUUGAUAUGUCACAAUGCCCCUAGGACCACAAACACAUUUCAAUAGAGAGGGUCCUUUCAUUUCAUAACUUUUUACGUAGAUCUUGGUGAAACCAGAGUUAGUGAAGUUGGUUUCUUGUGAUCCCGCAUCUGAUUGUGAUGUCCCUUUGCAGUGUCGAUGGAAAGGUCAAUGCACACUAAACUAUAGAAUCUUGGAGCAAAAUAACGGUCGGAUCUAUGGCAAAUGCCCCUGAAACAUUGUAAGGCUCGUGUAGUCUCAUGUGGUGUCCGAUCGAGAUGCUUCUUUGCAGGGUCAUCAAGCAGGACAUUGUAUACCAUUCUGUAAAAUCUAGUUGCGAUCUAACGGUUGGAUCUCCAGGAAACUCAAAACAAUCUCGCGCGUGUCAGAAUAUUCUAGGAAUAUACUCCUAUGUGCUCCUGAAAAUGGCAUGCGGCCCCACGCCAUUCAAGAGAUAACGCCAGAUGACGCCAAGCAUUUUUUGGUGCAUUUUUUGGGAUCAAAAUUGCAUGAGCCCACACGCUUGAACGUCACAUCAAAUCCUCUAACAAUUUAUUUAGCUGAACAUCUGGCAUUUUUGGAAAUACAAGAUGCUUUGGAAUAUCCAAUCAUGCAUGGUAUAAAUAUAGCAAGGGUAUUAAAUGAUAUCCCAAUCAUGAUCUUUCUUUUGGAUUUCGCGUGCAUGCAGUCCGAGGAAUGAUGACGUUGCGGAUUUCUUUUGGAUUUCACGCAUGCACGCGCCGAUCCAGAAAUUAAUGGUGGCGCCCAAGUCCGAGGAAUGAUGACGUGGCGGGAUUACCAACCGUCGUGACAUUUCGUGCGUGUGAGGUUAGGUUUUGCAUUUUGCUUCGUACUCGCGUUCGCACACUCGCGCUCGCAUCGCGCUCCCGCUCGCGCUCCCACUUCUCUACAGGUUUCUCGUGUGCAUCGGCGUCCACUCGCGCUUGCAUCACACUCGCACUCGCAUCGUGCUCGUGUGCAUCGGCGUCCACUUCAAGACACACCCAGUUUGUAACUUCGCCGCCAACUCCGCCGCCCACUCCGCCACCCACACGCAGCCCACUUGGCGUCCCGGGAGAUUUCAGUGCCACUCUCCAACUGUAAGUGGCAGAGUAGCCUUGCUGCUACGAUCCGCUGCACACACAGUGCACAUUCGCCAGUGAGUCCGGUUGUCACGCCUUCAUUCGGCUUCAAAUGGUAAGUCUUUUAGGCCAAGUAGAAAAUGGCAUAAGGCCACAUGCCAUUCAGUAGCAACAUUGGCAUGCACCAAUUGGGCUCUCGAGUGCAGUCCGGUUACAGAUGGCGUGUAGCCUCACGCCAUCUUAGGAUGCAGCCUCAAGACAUUUGAUGCAGUGGUGAAUGGCGUGUGGCCUCACGUUAUUUCCAGCUACUAGCUUUUCAUCUGUCAGCUCUAAUUGUUGUGCAUUUCUGAACAGGCGAGGAAUUGCGUUCUUCUUCCAGCCACUGUCAAUGUGGAUGCAGAGAAGGGGGAGGAGCUCACCAGUUGGACUUUCGGGAUGGAAGGCGAGGAUCUGAGGCUGUACAACACAGAUGGUGGGAGAAAAGAAUGCAUGGGGAUCCUCAUCCAAGUGACAGACACUCCAUGCAGUUCCAUGCAAGAAUAUGGACUGGCACUUGUGGUAGAGACAGCGUCUGCCUUCAAGAUCCACCUUGCACAUCCUAGCGGCUUCCUGGAGGGGGGCAGCGGCUAUGAGGAAUUCCUAGAGGGAGCUAGGGAGAGGUUGUCCAGGAGGCCCACAAUUUCAAAGACACUGCGGGUCUAUGAAGAUCACAUGGAAUCCACGGACCUCACCUACGGCGAUGUUCAAAAACUAUAUUCCAACAUUGAGCUGUUGAGAGUGACUCCAGUUCGCGAAGCAAAGGGGAAGGGGGUCGAUUUGGAAACUACCUCGAAGCAGAAAAGGGUGGUCAAGCUCAAGCCGACGUCCGACUCUCCUGCUCCAAAAAAGAAGCUACUCAGUGAUGCCAUUGCCUCGGGUUCGAACACUACACCCACCAAAAAGAAGAGCCGCAAAGAGCAGAAAGAGCAAGAAGAGGCAGCAAAAAUCGUCGCAGAUAAUAGUACUUGUUACUAUUCCAACAAAGUAUAUACAAUCGACGUGAGCCGUAUCGACAUCCAAAGCAAAUACAACCACAGGCUAGUAUCUGAUGAGUGGGUGGAGAAACUGAAGCAGAAGAUGCUGGCAAGUCCAGUAACACCCGACAUCGCAGACGUGAUCCCCUACUACCGAACAAUGAAGGGCAAGACGAGGUUUCCAGACUUGAUCAAUAGGAAGGUGUUGGACGAUCAGAACAUCCGGUUCUAUGCUGUCUCCGGGCAGCAUUCUAGCUUGGCGAUGCAAGAGAUAGUUGUGGAUAUUAUGGUGGGCGAGGAGGUGAAGAAAGUCUUCAAGACAAGAGUUGUCUGCCUGAUAAAAGGCAACUCGCCCCUCCGAUCUAUCAUAUACAUCUCCCACGCGCAGAAUGUCAAGCAAGAAACGUGCUACAAAUCGGGUCUGCACGAGACAUUGGCACGAACACGGAAGCUUUGGGUUCAACUGAAGAAGCCACAAAAACCAGGACAAGGACGUGCACUAGCAACUAGCGCCUGGCAGGUAAGCCUCGUUGCAUGUGGCAUAGCAUGUGGCCUCACGCCAUUUCCAUUGCAGGAAUUCUCGAGUCUUCUCUCGAAAACACUAGGGGUCAAUGACACACUCAGCAUCCAUAACAUUCUACUCGCGACAAAAGUUGUUUUUGACAAAUGGGUAGAUGUGCUGAGGAGGUACCAUGACGGGGAGUUGCCAAACUCAAUGGGUGUGGAGGACGGCCGGAAGCCCAAUGAUUUGAAGCUCAACGCCUUGUGUUUCUCGCAGUCUCUAGACGACGACGACCUUCUGACAGUGGCUAAUGCUCUUCUACGUGGUGAGGUAGUCUUCAACAAGACCAAAAUGACUCCCGGCCAUAUUGUGACAUACGAGGACUUGUGCACGACUCUGAGAGCUCGUGCGCUAUUGAAGGAUUGGAUCUUCGAGCAAGUGGCCGUGGAGAGGGUGAGCAUCGACACCACGCAAGAGAUGAUGGAAGCGCUGGAGUUGUCAAAUGAAGACAUCGACAAGUACGUGAAGGGGGCCCCCAAGUUCAUCGAUCUGCUGCGGGAUGCCACAAAAAGUAAAGCUGAGAAGUUGGAUCAGUAUCCAAAUUUCAUUAAGAUUGAUGUCGACCGCCGGCUUCAGAAACAGCUCGACCCCGCAGCAGAGGCCUAUCGAGAACCUUACCGGGUAUACUUGAAUUCGGAUGAGGAUCAAAGGUGGAGGAGCAUCGUUUCCCGCGAAGAUGAGCAGGUCAAGAACAUCUUUUGUGUGAUGGACUUCACAAACGAGGAGAUCACUCAUGCAGACGAAGUCAGCUCCAUCAUUGACUUAAUGGUGGGACUUGCGGAGGUGGAAUCUUCAGUCCACUAUAUGAUCUACGACUCCGAAUCCUAUCACAAGUUCUGGAAGGCCUUGAACGAGGUGAAGGCUCGGUUGAAAGGCAAGGAGAUGCGGGAGAUCCAUGGGAUAAUGGCUAAGAAGAAGAUACUGACGAAUGUCCGCAUCUUCACACUCGCCCUUGUUAUUGGUCCUGCAGCAGAGUGGGACUGGAGUGACUUCCCAGCUUCGUUCGACAAGGCCAAUCGAAUUGAUCUGAGGGAGGUCAAUUUACCCGUGCCUGAGGAACUGAAGACGGCUAUGGAGCUUUCGAAUCCAAAGAAAGCUCCAGGUGCAGCAUGGGAAAUGCUCAGCUGGGUCUUCAACGCAAUAGUGGGUGGGUCACCUGCUUCCGACUCCAAGGGCAAAUGCGUUGUCGAGUACAACUGCGGCGGACUAUUCUUUUGAACCGCACUACUCAAGGGUGUCCCGUGUGUUGCGGUGACAAACUCCAUUGAAGAGGUGACUUCAAUGGAGCAUAUAAUUACAGUUGCCAAAGAAAAACAGUAUCUUCUCUACGAACCUGGUGAGUACACACUUUAAGUUUAAAUGUUAUCUCACAAGCUCUGUAUGCAGGAGCGUGGCCACCCCCAGAUGCUGAAACGGCGUUAACAGCUACUGUUGAAGAUACCCAUGUUGGGCCGAGCUCACAACCUGCACAAGGUAAGGUCACGUGAGGCCUCACGCCAUUUUGAUUAUAGAUCGUUGUGAAUAUUCAGACACGAGGACUAAAAAGCGCACUGGUGGUGCAUCGAAGAAGGACAAACAGACAAGCAAUAGGAAAAAAGGAGGUACAAAUUAUAUUUGCAAUGGCGUGUGGUCUCAUGCCAUUCCUUGCAGGAGAAACUUCUUCAAAGGCAAAACAGGCAAGCACCAGCCAAGCUCAAACUGACAGUGGUCAUAAAAAGCGAAAGCACGUUGGACAGUCGUCGAGAUCAGAGGCGUUUGAUUCGAAAAGGAAGAAGGGCAACGAAAAGAUGAUAGGUAAUGCCUCGCGGUUAUGGCGUGUGUGCUCAUGCCAUUCAUUGCAGAUCAAGGGCUGAGUGAAAGCAGGCAGUCACCACCUCAUGACUCAGAUUCCUAUGGCAGACUCCCCUUCCCCAAUCUCAAUGGAGAGGUACAAUGGAUGAGGGAAGCUUUUCAAGUCAGGGCCACGUUUUUCUCAUCUCGUCGUCUUCGAAGGGUGCAAGAACGUGCAGAAACCAUGUUAAGACAGUCGGGUGAGGAUACGGUCCUAGGUCACGCACUAAAACAGGCUAUGGAUGUCUUGUAUUUUGAGAUGGAGACUCGGCCAGAUGAUUUUCCCAAGAUGGUCCUGGAAGAACAAGCCAUCCAGCCUGAGCAGCCUAUGGAAGAAAUGCAGGAGGGGGAUGAGGAGCCAGAGAAAGAUAAUGAGCAGGAAGAGCAGAAGGACGAAGAGGAGGACAAAGAAGAGGAGGACGAAGAAGAGGAGGACGAAGAGGACUUGGAUGGUCCUCACAAUGGUGACGAUCAUAAUAACAACGACGACGAUGAUGACGACGAUGGCCAGCCUGAGGUGGCCAAAGAGCAGCGGAGGAAGGUCAUACAAGACAAACCAUCAGGUAAAUAAUAGUACAUCCAUUCCUAACCUUUUACCAUUUCUAACAUUGUCCAUGUAAGUCGCAGAGCAAAUGGUAAGUAGAGAUUAUUCAGUUGAAUUUACAAACUCUAGCCUUUAAUGUCGAGGAAGGAUAGUGCCAAGCAAGGGUCGAAACGUAUGUCCAAUCCUUCAGAAUCAGCAGUGCGCCCAAGUGAUAUCGGUCCUAGUUCCUCAAUAGCAGUUGAUGGUAAAUACAGUAUAGUCGAUUCAAUGUGCUAAUGAGUUUGUUUUUAGUAGCACGGGAGGAUACCAUCUCAAUCGAAGGGAGAUAUUUGGACAUACAUAUGGAUCCGCCAGUGGACUCUACUUGGCUGCAAGAGUCAUCAGAGCUGGUGGAGGCUACUAUCCAUAUCAACGCCAAGCAAGCUGACCACGCUCCACUUGAUGCUGCCCAUACCACUGAGUCAAUCUUGUCCACGUAUCCAACUGACGGUGACCAGGCGCCAUUGGACCCACAUGAGGCCGCCCCAGCCGCCGAGCCAGUCGUAUCCUCAUUUCCAACAGACUCAACAUGUGCCCAAUUGUCUGACUACGCGCCGUUGGAACCUCCCUACACCGCCCCUCUCUGUUGAUAUUCCUUAUUCCGUUAAAAGGGCAUGACCAUGUACUCUAACUGCCUGUCUAUAGUAGUGUAUCUAAACUUUACCGACAAGUUUGGUUUUUUUGCUCAAGAGGGUUGGGGCCUCUAGCUUCUCUCUCUAUGUCACUGUGGGUAGGGGCGUAUCACACUUUUGUAAGCUGGGUGACACCCAAAACAGUAAGGGUGGCUGACUCCGUUAGUCAUUUCUUUGUCGGCGAUGGUCGGAAGGUGUCUAAGCUGGUAGCGCAUCCGUGUUAGACAAAGAGGUUACCCCUAACUCAUUUAAGUUAGAGUGUUAGUAACUAACUUGUUCAAGUGUUAGUAAACUGGGCUUAGCACCUGUACUUAGCCAGAUGGACUUAAAGUAGGAACUCCUAUGUAUUUCUAGCUAAGCAUACUCGUUCUGGUGUGAGACACAAAAUCCCUAGGCCCCAAAGUGGAGCCGAAAGAGUACCACGUGGUAGUGGCCGAAGCAAAGGCCAAACGAGCGUAACAUGUUUGGACUAAAAGCUUUGAUUUGAAAAGGUCGAGAGUGGGAGUGGAACUCCCAACAAAGUGCUCGAGGAACAAGCACGAAGUGAAAGAUAAGUCUCUAGAAAAGGGACACAAGAGGACCAACACAUGACACGUGGAAGUGUCCAAGAUGGAGUCCAAGAUGGAUCUGAGAUGGACCCGAGAUGGACCCGAGAUGGACCCGAGAUGGAGUCCGAGAUGGACCCGAGAUAGAGUCGAGAUGGAGUCCGAGCUGGAUCCGAGAUGGAGUCCAAGAUGGACCCGAGAUGGAGUCCGAGAUGGAGUCCGAGAUGGACCCAAGAUGGAGUCCAAGAUGGACCCGAGAUGGAGUCCGAGAUAGACCCGAGAUGGAGUCCGAGAUGGACCCGAGAUGGAGUCCGAGAUGGACCCGAGAUGGAGUCCGAGAUGGACCCGAGAUGGAGUCUGAAGUCGAGACGAAGACUAGGACCGAGACCAAGAUCGGGACCGAGGCCAAGGCCAAGACCGAGCCCGAGCCCGAAUCCGAGUUCGAGUCCGAGUCAAAGUCUGAGUCCGAGUCCGAGUCCGAGUCUGAGAUGGUGAAAGCCCAAAGCGUUUGUCUCCCAGACCCUAGGGGGUUUAGUGAGCUCCAAAAGUAUAGUGAGGGGGAGGACUGUAGUGGAGCUAGUUUGGCCAAGAAAGGCCAGUUUGGCCCAGAAAAGCUGUACCCAGUGUUGGGUGAUGAACUGCCCAUUGGGAAGUCCAAGACUAGAGUGAACAUGGACUGACAAGUGGGGUAGCUUGGUGAAGUGUUCAAGAGCCAGCUCUAGUUCCCUUGGAAGAUCGACUGGCCAAUGCUCCCAGUCCAAGUGUGGGUGGCACUACCUACUUGGAUACCUGGUGUGGCUCAACAGAACCUCGCUCUAAGCCCAUGACUAGAGCACUUAAAGGCAAAAGGUGGGGAGAAUACCCAUGAGGCUUGCGUAAGGCCAUGGUGUUCCAAAAUGUUGUUCCAAAGUCCCAAAUGGUGAAAGGGAAGAGGAGCAAUCCUCUAGUGCAGUGACCAAGGAUACGGUCACAUGGUGAGGAAGUCCCAAAGGAUAGUGGGACUUAGAGGUUGGGCCUACGGGCCUUGAUCUAGUGGCAGUGUUGGCGAACACGGCCAUGGACAAAAAGGGACUUGGUGGGGACUAGAAAAGAGUUGUUGGGGAAGGCUAUUCCCCAUAUCUGCGGGCAUCCUAAGGAUGCUAAGGAGUAGAUCUAGGAUGAUCACUCAUGAACGAAUAGCCUAGUCUUUGAGAGAUGGGACUAUGAUGCAGGUGGCGUUAGACCACCGGUGUGACCAAGGGGAAUGGGCAUGGCCUUAGUGUAACGGGCUAAUAUGUCGGUGGUACCUUGGGGUGUCGGUCAUGGGAUUGGACACAUAGAGCACUUGGACCAAGUGCAAAGGUUGAGUGGCAUGGAUGCCAUUCUCAGGGCUAGCAAGCCCCAAGUCUUAACUGGGACUUAUGGAGGUUGUGAAUGAGACUCCUCCAAGUGGUUGGAGGUGCAGUUAAGUGACUAAAGUAAAAUGGAAAAAUUAGUCGCUUACAAUUUGGUAUCGGAGCGGUUCCUUAGUUUGACUCUUAUUGGUGGCCAAGUAUAUCACCACUUGUAUUGGAAUUAGAAAGUCCUAGGUAUGGACCUAUCUUCAAGGAAUAGCAUGUCAAGAGGACAUGGCUCUCCACUCGAGUUCAUGCGUGAACUUGUGCACAAUGUAGUGGAUGGAAAAGGGCCAAUAAGGGAACAACAUUGGGAUCUUGGGAAUAGUAUGAGGGUUUCCUAAGAGAGUUGAGGAUGUGAUCCAGAUGAGCGUUUGAUGUAGCAAAUGGGCUAAUGUAGUUGUGGAAAACAACUAUAGUUGGGAUCACUGGAAAGAUGCAGACUCCAAAACAAUAAAGGAGUCACAAAAUUACCCUCAUAUAGUGGAGGCUAGUGCUCAUAAACUUGAGACCAGAAUUAAUGACCAACGGAGGUCAAAUACGGAAGAGGAUACAAGUCCUUGAAAUGGUAGCCAGGGCUACCUCUAAUAAAUGCUGGAACAACCCAAGGAGUUGGGGGUAUACUUAGAGGAUGAGUUGGUAUUCUCAUCACGUGGACAAGUGGUCAUAAGGGGUAAAAGGUUGCCCCUCGAGAACAAAUCAAGUGUCGGAAUAACACUUAUGAUGGUGGUCCUGGUGAGUAGGACAGGAAUACAGGAAGUUGUAUUCCAAUGAGCUGACACCUCAAAAGUAAGACUUUAUAGGUUGGGGGAUUUGGAAAAGUCCAAAAGGCUGAAUGACUUAAGUGGAGUUAAGGAAUGGUCCUGAAGGACUGAUGGAAGCAUUUAGACUGAGGUGUGUUAUGCCCCACGAAGGAUGGAGAGGAUCAUAGGAUCCAAGUAUGAGAAUAGUGGGUAUCUCAUAGGUGGCAGAAUAUGCCAUACUAAAGUCAUGGGAAAGGUGUUCCCAGAAAAGCAACUUUGGUGCAGAGUUGUGUGUGAACACUAUGGUGUAAUGCUAACAGAUAGUUGGCAUGAGAAACGACUACUUUGGUCUUGGCAAAGACCUAGACACAAGUGCAAAGUGUCAUAAAGGCAGACUUAUGGAGUUGAUGGUGUGGAGACACCAAAUGGGCCAAGGUGUGAUACUUUGAGGUUAUGUUGAUGGGUUCAUGAGAACCCCUUGCUAAGGGAAUCCCAAUGAAAAUGGGAACGGCAUAGCGUAAACUGGAAGGCAUGUGGUAGGGUGUGGUGACCCGGAUAAUGAUGGAAGUGUGAAAGCACCAGCAAUGAGUUGUAGAACUUGACAACUAUGAGGCAACUAAGCAAGAGGUGUAGGUAAUUGGUUAAAUAGGUAGAAGGUAGCUACCCAAAGCUUUUUAAUGGCAUAAAGAAGUUAAAUAUACCCUUAUCGGGGAUUAGUUGCUUAUGUUGCGAUAUAAUAAGUCAAUGUCAUAAAAGGAAAUGCUCAUUGCCAAAUAAGGCCAUCAUUAGGAUACCCAAACACUCUAAAACACCAAGAACUGGUGUUUGGUGUUGCAAGGGCAUUAGAUAAGGCCCAAGGGAUUAAGUCUCUAGCAAAUGAUGGAUAGGAGGUGCUAUCCAAAUGUCCAAGGUUCUGGAGAUGGAAGAAAUCCGUCUACCUAAUUUGGACGAAGCCAAAAAUGGGAUUUUGGCAAGGCUAGUGACGGGCAUAUAGAGGCUUAUAAGUAACAACAUUAAUCCCGGUGUGUGGGAUUAUAAAGUGAGUAUGCCCAGAUUGAGGAACCACUCCCUAAGCUAUUGGGUAAGUUCAUCCCUAUGAAUACUUGCUAAGGUAUAGUAGAAGGUGCAAAGCUAUUCUCCUAGUCUGGAGGAGAAUAACCAAAGAAAACAUAUGAGGCCAAAAGGCAAGUAGUAUUAGGAUGGAACUGAACCAUAGAAUUCGAAGGGUAUAACUAAUGGUGGUUAUGCAAGUUGGGAGUGGAGAAUCAAGAGGGUGCUCAAGGAUGUUACUACUAGCAACUGCGAUGCCAUGAAGAGUCUAAAAUGUAGAACUAUCCAUGUUAGACCAUAUGAUGAGUAGGGAGCUUGCGAAGGAGAAGCCUUGGCAAGCUAAGGAACAGAGUUCCUUGAAAGUUCCCAAAGACAAUUCUAGAUAGAUAAGUACCUAGAAAGCCAAAUGUAAAUGGUUCCUAGAGCGUGCGAAAUCAAAGUGGCGCAGCAGAAGCGUGGUCUUGAAGCUUGCCAAAAGGCAAGGCUAUCAAGGUUAAGGAAGUAAUUCUCGAGUGUUCAAAGAGAGGGCUUUGAACGAAAGUCGAUGGUCAAGGACUUUCACGCUUAUGCAUGAACCAUGUUACAGUGGUCGGAUGACUUGCUAAGUGAGAUUGGCAAGUCGGGGGAACGAAUACCCUAGUUGAAGGAGCCAACUUCAAAGGGGUGGCCCAUGGGGCCAAGUAUGGAGGAGUCUAUGUGUGAUCACAGACUUGUCAAGUGAGAAGACUUGGCAGUGCGGAGGAACUAGGUUCCUAAGCAGUGAUCUAUAACGCACUUUAUGAAUAAGUUGGUGCACUGGCAUAGGGAGUCACACUAGGCAUCUUGUGCGAUGCCGUCCGUAGAUGCAUAUAUGGAGGUUGGGUUCGAGUCCUGACCCUUUAGUGCUUGGGUUCGAGUCCCAAAUCACUAGGGCGUGGUGAUGGUUUGGAAUAUGAGGACACUCAUUUUUCGGUGGUCAUGGACUCUCAGUGAGAAGACUAGUUUAGGCACACUGCCAAGCAAGGGAUGCCUCGGAGUCGUGAUGCACGGUUAGAUUGCUUAGUGUGGCUCAGCAUAUCUAACUUGAACACUUGGUGCGAGUGGCACCAAGGACGUGGUGAAUGAGAUGGGGACACCCAAUCUCAGUUGCUAUAGACCCUUAGCCGGGAGGGCUGGCUUGGGUGCACCGCCAAGUGUGGGGGAUGCCCCCGGGGUCAUGGUGAAUAACUUAAAGGUCUAGAAGACGUAAUACCUAUUGGCAAACCUAUUAAGGUGCCAAGGUGUGAUCACUAGGUGAUCUUAUGGCUAAAACAAGGACAAGGUCCUUGUGAAGUUAAGGGAUAAAGUUCUUAGUUCAAAGUGUUAGUUUGAACUAUUGAUGAUGGUGUGGCUUGGUCAAUGUGACUAAGUGGGAAAAACACCUAAGGGAAAUGAUUUGUGACUAUGCGAUGGCAUAGUGAGUCCAAAGAAAGUAGUUUCUAUAAGAGACCCAUGGGAGGGUCGCAAAGUUGGGCCAAGGAUAGAGCCCACAGUGGAAAAUCCUAAAGAGACGUACUAGGGGUGAACACCCUCUGGACUUGGCAAAGCAACAUCUUUGCUAUGGAACCGAAAGGAUACCUUGAGAAUGGAGGUGGUGAUCCAUUGUUGCUGGGUGCAGCAAUCAAGGAUAGGAGCAAAAGACUAGUGGCUAAGAAUAGAGCCAUGGAAAUCAUGGGAAAGAAUCCAAAACGCAAAGGUAGGCCAAGAACACUAAUAUGUUUGGUGCUAACGGAUUGUGGAAAAUGCAAUGUGUUUCUAAGGAUGGAUUCCAAAUUGCUCCGAUUUGGCGAAAGUGGAAGCUCCAAGGGAGGGAGCGGUAAGGUAGCCAAAUGAUAGGGCCAUGGACAACCCUAGCACAAAGUAUGAUAACUGGAACUUAGUGCCCAAGGUGGCACGAAAUAGAAGAGAGGAUGAUGGUGCCCUCAAGUAGGGAACUUCUUAGGAUGGGGAAGUAGAGUUGCACGAUAUGUGCAAUGCAAGGUGUCAGAGACACCUAAGAAAUUGACUUUGAGAAGUUAAAAGUAAAAGUUCCAAAGUGCAAAGAUUAUAUCGAUGGAAACUGAGACCACUUGAGAAGGAGUAGUGGAUUGAGAUAGAGACAGUGUCUCUAACAGGUUUAGUGAGGACUAAACCAAUAAACUGAGAGAACCACCACAAGUGGUCGAAUAAGUCUCUAAGUUGGGGAGACUAUGCUCCUUAGAGGAUGGACAAGGCAUGGUGAGCCUUUAAUGUCAAACCAUAGACAAAUUUUGGCUGGGUGCCAAGGAUGGAAAUGGUAAUACAUGCGGGUGUUACUUUAUAAAAGGGGUUUACCAUUUGAUGAGGACAUCAAACUUCGUUUAUGGGUGGUGGAGUUGUGAGACACAAAAUCGCUAGGCCCCAAAGUGGAGCUGAAAAGGCACCACGUGGUAGUGGCCAAAGCGAAGGCCAAAUGAGCGUAACACGUUUGGACUAAAAGCUUCGACUUGAAAAGGUCAAGAGUGGGAGUGGAACUCCCAAUGAAAUGCUCGAGGAACAAGCACGAAGUGAAAAAUAAGUGAGUCUCUAGAAAAGGGACACAAGAGGACUGACAUAUGACACGUGAAAGUGUCCGAGAUGGACUCGAGAUGGAGUCCGAGAUGGAGUCCGAGAUGGAUCCGAGAUGGACCCGAGAUGGACCCAAGAUGGAGUCUGAGAUGGAGUCCGAGAUGGAUCCGAGAUGGACCCGAGAUGGACCCAAGAUGGAGUCUGAGAUGGAGUCCGAGAUGGAUCGGAGAUGGAGUCCGAGAUGGAGUCUGAGAUGGACCCGAGAUGGAGUCUGAGAUGGACCUGAGAUGGAGUCCGAGAUGGACCCGAGAUGGAGUCCGAGAUAGAGUCCGAGAUGGACCCGAGAUGGAGUCCGAGAUGGACCCGAGAUGGAGUCCGAAGUCGAGACCAAGACCGGGACCGAGACCAAGAUCGGGACCGAGACCAAGACCGAGGCCAAGGCCAAGACCGAGCCCGAGCCCGAAUCCGAGUCCGAGUCCGAGUCAAAGUCCGAGUCCGAGUCUGAGUUCGAGUCCGAGUCCGAGUCUGAGUUCGAGUGCGAGUGCGAGUCCGAGUCCGAGUUCGAGUUCGAGUUUGAGAGGGUGAAAGCCCAAAGCGUUCGUCUCCCAGACUCUGGGGGGUUUAGUGAGCUCCAAAAGUAUAGUGAGGGGGAGGACUGCAAUGGAGCUAGUUUGGCCAGGAAAGGCCAGUUUGGCCUAGAAAGGCUGUACCUAGUGUUGGGUGAUGAGCUGCCCACUGGGAAGUCCAAGACUAGAGUGAACACGGACUAACAAAUGGGGUAGCUUGGUGAAGUGUUCAAGAGUCAGCUCUAGUUCCCCUGGGAGAUCAACUGGCUAAUACUCCCAGUCCAAAUGUGGGUGGCACUACCUACUUGGAUACCUAGUGUGGCUCAACGGAACCUCGCUCUAAGCCCAUGGCUAGAGCACUUAAAGGCAAAAGGUGGGGAGAGUACCCAUGAGGCUUGCGUAAGGCCACGGUGUUCCAAAAUGUUGUUCCAAAGUCCCAAACGGUGAAAGGGAAGAGGAGCAAUCCUCUAGUGUAGUGACCAAGGAUACGGUCACAUAGUGAGGAAGUCCCAAAGGAUAGUGGGACUUAGAGGUUGGGCCUGCAAGCCUUGAUCUAGUGGCAGUGUUGGCGAACACGGCCAUGGACAAAAAAGGACUUGGUGAGGACUGGAAAAGAGUUGUUGGGGAAGGCUAUUCCCCAUGUGUUCGGGCAUUCUAAGGAUGCUAAGGAGUAGAUCUGGGAUGAUCACUCACAGACGGAUGGCCUAGUCUUUGAGAGACGGGACUAUGAUGUAGGUGGCAUUAGACCACCGGUGUGACCAAGGUGAAUGGGCAUGGCCUUAGUAUAACAGGUCGAUAUGUCAGUGGUACCUUGGGGUGUUGGUCAUAGGAUCGGACACGUGGAGCACUUGGACCAAGUGCAAAGGUUGAGUGGCAUGGAUGCCAUUCUCAGGGCUAGCAAGCCUCAAGUCCUAACUGGGACUUAUGGAGGUUGUGAAUGAGACUCCUCCAAGUGGUCGGAGGUGCGGUUAAGUGACUAAAGUAAAAUGGAGAAAUUAGUUGCUUACACCUGGCUUUUAGUUCUCUUGUGCUCUAUCUUGCACUGGCUUGACAAGAACCCUUGCGUAUUGAAAUUAAUCCCUUAACAUUGCUAGAUGAUAGCUUACCGUGUCUGCCAAACACCCUCGCUAUCAUCCCCUUUGUGUUAGUCUCAUUUCGGUCCCAAAUACUAAUUAUGGAAAGUGUCUAGAUUUGCUCAUUUGGCAUAUCUACGGAGUGUAGAGAUUGGCCUGAACACAAUGGUGUUCGUCUUGUGUCCAAAUUUGCAAUCUAGCACUAUUCCAUAUUUAGUAAGUUUAUCUUACUAAAUAUGAGCUUGUCCCAGAGACUAACUCCUAAUACUAAGGGAAGCUUGGGGUGAAAACCCAAAGCAUGUGUUCCUCAAGGGGGGUUCCAAAUGUAUAGUAGGGAUAGUGGGUAGGUCGGGCAUGGCCAACCAACCUAAAGCAUAGUCUAGCUCCUGCUUGCUGUAAGCCACAAAUUUUUCCUUUCCAAUUUGCCAGCUUACCUCGUCUAUCCGACCAACUCUGCCUUGGCUUGUGCUGAGUUCCCUCGCCAAGGUUCCCGCCUAUGGUACCAGCUCCUACUUGGUCCUACUUGGUUUCAGCUACUUACUGCACGAGCAACGGAGUGUUAGCCAUCCAUCUACGGAUUCCCAAAUCUCUCCCAAUCCCCCUCCCCGGGUUAGACUGGACUUAAGGUUCGGCUACACUCUCUGCAGGCACAAACAGCCAAGCACACCAAGCCUCCAGAUUCCUAACACCCCUUGGUACCACAAGACUUGAUCAUGGGACCCUCUAAAUCCCAAGUCUUGGGUGCAGCACUUGCUUCGGGACGUCGGGGCGAAACACCAUGGCCUAAUGGCCCAGUAUGGGUACCUCUACCCCCCCCACUUCCAUCCCAAAGGGAAGGCCCAAGCCCCUAGGAAGGGCGAGGACCAAUGAGCCACAAGGUACUCAAGUGGGGCACCACUCCACCUGAGCCGGGAGCACCACAGUCGGUUUCCCUUUCGGGAGUGGGAGCUGCUCUUGAGCACUUCCCUGGGUGGCCCCUCUGGCACCACUCAGGCCCAUGCUCACUCCCACCCAAGGCCCCUCGGCCCCAGUCUCAACAUCAAGUCAGUUUGGAAGCACCACUGGAGAGUUCCUUCAAGACUGGUUCCUGGACCUCACUAUCCCUACUAUACUUUUGGAACCCCCUGCAGCCCCCCCCCCCCCCCUCCCCCCUUGGGAAACGCACGCUUUGGGCUUUCACCCCUUGACCCGUAUUAGUAUUUGGACUUAGUCUCUGGCUCGAUCUCGGACCCGAUUUCGGAUCGACUUCGGAUUCGGUCUCGGACUCGAUCUCGGACUCGAUCUCGGACCCGAUCUCGGACCCGACCUCAGACUUGACCUCAGACUCGGUCUCGGACCCGAUUUCGGAUCUCGGACUCGGUCUCGAACUCGGUCUCGAACUCGGACUCGAACUCGGUCCCCGAGUCAGUCUCGGACUCGAUUCCGGACUCUAUCUCGAACUCGAUUCCGGACUCUAUCUCGAACUCGGUCCUAGAGUCGGUCUUGGACUCGAUCCUCGACUUGGUCCCAUCCGAUGAACUCUUUGUCAUUUCGGUCAAGCUUUUGGGGAUCCUUUAGCCUACGACAUCUCGAGGAGUCGGUUCCUUACAACUCCACCACCCAUAGAAGAAGUUCGAUGCCCACAUCGAACGUCUUGUUUUAUCCUACGACUUAUUGACCAUGUCUCCGGGGGCAUCCCCCCACUUAGCGGUGUGCCUAAGUUAGCCUCCCCGGCCAUGAGCCCAUGACAAUGGAAUAUACGUGUCCCUAUACCCCUAACCUCACCACGCCCUAGUAUGGGGUCGGGACUUGAACCCAGCCUUGCUUUACUAGGGGGUUGGGACUCGAACCCAACCUCCGUAGAAUAUGUCUACAGAUUCGACAUCCCCGCGGGGAGUCGGGCAUAGUGCCCUACGCCUGGUUGACCUAUCCAACCCAUGCUAAUUAGCUUACCUUCGGCGCGCCUUCGGGUCCCAACAUAUGCCACUUGCUCAACUUUGCAAAUUGAUAUUUGUAAUUGAAUUUUUCAUAAAUACAUAGAGUUCUGCCUUGCAGAAAUUCCUCCACUAGAUCUCGCACGUUCGCUAGGUUCUCCUCCAAUUCCCAUGUUGCUUUGCAGUGUGGAAAUCCUUUCCACUUCACAUGGAACUCUCUCAUCGCGCGUCCUUGUCGCUUGCUCUUGCGCGCAUUGAGGAUGGCCUCGACUUCGUAUUCCUCUUCCCCUUGGAUAACCUCAGGUAAAGGUCUCACUUGGUCCUUGCGAAGCGGAUCCUCAAAGUAUGGCUUGAGUAAGUUCACGUGGAACACUGGGUGCAUCUUCCCCAUCUCUCGAGGAAGUCGGAGUCGGUAAGCCACUUUACCGAUUCGUGCCUCAAUCUCGUAAGGCCCCGCGAACCUACUUAAGGAACUCAAGAUCAAUUCAUUUACAGGAAUACAUGCAUCUUUACCUUUGGGUCAACUUUCGGCUGAUCCCACUUGGUAGUCUGAGGUUCUUCGUGUUCAGCCACACCUUCUCCCCAGCUUGGAACUCUACAUCCCGACGCUUCUGGUUCGCGUAUUUGGUUUGCCUUUGUUGAGCCCGUUCCAAGGAAUCCCUCACUAGAUUCCAAAUACUGAGUCUUUCCACCGUGAAUGCCUCCACUACGGGCAACUCUCCAUGAUACUCGGCCACGCCGAGUUCCACAGGACCUUCAAUAGCUCGCCCAUUGAUGACUUCCCAUGGACUCACCCCGAUACUCGAAUGUGGUGAGUUGUUAUAACACAUUUCCGCAAGUCCCAAAUGACUUACCCAAUCGGUCUGGUCUCCUGAGACAUAACAUUGCAAAUAAUCCUCCAGCUGCCUAUUCACCCUUUCCGUUUGUCCGUCUGUCUGUGGGUUGAUAGGCUGUGCUGAAUUUCAACUUGGUGCGAUACUGUUCUAGGAGAGUCCUCCAGAACCUACUGGUGAAGAUCUUAUCUCGAUCUGAGAUGAUCUCUUCCGGUCUUCCCCGCACUCAAACCACUUGUUCGAAGAACAGCUUCGCCACACCUUCCGCAUCCACCUCCGUUGUGGUGGGUAUGAAAUGUGCCAUUUUUGAAAAUCGGUCCACCACCACGAAUAUCGCAUCAAACCCCUCGCCUGGGGGGGAGUCCCGCGAUGAAGUCCAUCGUAAGACAUUUCCACGGGCGAUCUGGAAUUGGGAUGCUUUGCAACAAGCCCCCACUAGCCUUAGUCACGGCUUUUACCUGCUGACAUGUUGGACAUGUCUUUACAUAGUCUUGGAUGUCCUUAGCCAUAUCUAGCCAAUGGUACUUCCUUUUGAGUAAGCCCAUCUUCUUGGGCACUCCGCCGUGUCCCGCAAGAGGUCCGUCAUGACACUCUUCUAAGGCCACCUUCCUUAGUUCCCCUUCUGGAACAUACACCUCGUUUGCUUGUAAUAGAUGAGUCCGUUGCGUUCCGCAUAGCCUGUUUUCUCUUCCGUUGGCAGCUCACCUCUCUGGUGAGCUUCCCGCGCCUCUAGAUUCCUCAGCAACACUUCUUGUGCUAGACCAUCGUUCUCAUAUGCUGUCCGCACAUCGUCCCAGAAGGUUGCUGUUGCGCUGGAUAUUGCCAACCUCAAGCUCACUUUUCGACUUAGCGCAUCCGCCACGAUGUUGCUCUUCCCAGGCUUGUACAGAUACUCGCAAUCAAACUCAGCCAAGGCAUUGGCCCACCGACCUUGUUUCCCUCUUAGGUCGGGCUGUGACAAGAAGUGUUUCGUUGCCACAUUGUCCGUGUAAACCUUGAAGUGUCUCCCAAGGUAGUGUCGCCACUCCUUGAACGCCUUGACCACCGCAAACAAUUCCUUCUCGUGGGCAGGCCACUUCCGUUGAGCCUUGUCCAGCUUCUUCGAGAAGAAUGCUACCGGAUGGUUGUCUUGCUUCAAAACUGCGCCCAACGCAAAGUCCGAAGCAUUCGUUUCUACCUCAAAGUCCUUACCAAAGUCUAGUAAUGCCAAUAUGGGAGCCUUCCUCAACUUCCCUUUGAGGUGGACGAAUGCCGCCUCGCAUUCCGCUAUCCACACCAUCUUCCCUUUUCCUGUUUGGUCCGUUAAGGGCAGGGCUACUCUCGAAUAGUGUCUGAUAAACUUUCGAUAGUAGUUGCAUAGCCCCAGGAAUGCCCUCAACUCGUGUACAUUGGAUGGUCGCUCCCAUUCCUGGAUCGCUUGGACCUUCUCCGGGUCCACCUUGAGCCCGUCCUGGCCCACCACAUGCCCAAGAAACUUUACCUCUUGUUGAGCAAAGUCACAUUUGCUCUUUUUAGCAUACAGUUUGUGUUCCCUUAGUUUCUCAAACACCUUCGCCAAGUGUUCGGCAUGCUCCUCUAGCGUCUCGCUAUAGAUCAGGAUGUCGUCGAUAUAGACGACCACGAAGUGAUCCAGAUAGGGUACAAAGAUGUGGUUCAUUAGCGCCGAAAACGUUGCUGGCGCAUUACAUAGCCCGAAGGGCAUCACCAGAAACUCAAAGCUCCCAUACCUUGUUCGACAGGUUGUCUUCUCGACAUCUUCCUCGGCUACCCUGAUUUGGUAGUAUCCUGACCUUAGGUCAAUCCUCGAGAAGUAUUUUGCCUUUCCCAACCUAUCGAACAGGUCCUCAAUCCUUGGCAAAGGGUACUUGUUCUUCUUUGUAUACUUGUUGAGCAACCGGUAGUCUAUGCACAUGCGCAUAGAUCCAUCUUUCUUUUUUACAAAUAACACCGGCGCCCCAUACGGCAACUUGUUCAACCUAACAUACCCUUUGUCCACCAACUCCUCUAGUUGGCACUUGAGCUCCUUGAGUUCUUUUUCGUUCAAACGAUAAGGGGGACGAACCACUGCCUCAGCACCCUCGACCAGCUCAAUCUUAUGUUCUAUCAGUCGUGCUGGGGGUAGCCCCGCCGGUAGCUCCUCCAGCAUGGUAUCCUAGAAUUGGUCCAACACCCGCUGGAUCACUAAAGGUACUUCUUCCAUUCCUGUCUUUUUGUCACUCUUCACCGAGAGUAAGCACAAAAAGGCCGCCUUAGUUCCUUUAGUGAGUUGUCCUCUCGUGGACACCAGGUUUAAGCAGGAAUCUUUGGCUUUGCUUUGCCCUACCUUUAGAUCUUAGGCCUCCACCCUAGAUCUUCUUCCUUGGGCAUUCGCCAGUACCACAAGGUUUCUACCUUGUCCAUGUAGGGCUACCACGAAUCGAUUGAACCAGUCCAUUCCGAAGAUCACAUCAAAUCCCGCCAUGUCCAACACGGUGAAAUCCAUGUCCACCUUCCAAGUCCCCACUUCGACUCUCACUUGUCGAAGUACCUCAUCGGUGCUUUGGCUACCUUGAACAAACUCUAUAGUCCUUGGUUCUCCUAGCCGCUGCACCGUUAGUCCGGCUUGCCGGACUAUGUCUGCAGCCACAAAAUUAUCCGAAGCACCCGUGUCAAUAAGGAUUUUAACAAAGCUACCUCCAAGCUUCCCUCGGAGGGCUAGUAGAUGUCGCGAACGACUCUCUACCAAAGUUGCUUGUGUAAUGAGUAACUUUGAGUUAGGGACUGGAUCACAUACCUCCGUUUGGACUUCACCCAACUUGAUGGCCAUAUUGGCUCUGGCCUUCUUCGGGUAGGGACAUUCCCUCGAGAAGUGUCCCGCUUCACCGCAAUUGUAGCAUAUGUUGUUUCCCACGCUGCUAUACGACUUGACCUUCUUAUCCAUGGGUUUGUCUCUUUUCGCUUGACUCCCCCACGUACUCGCUUGCUGGCCACCGGAUCUGCCUUUCCGAGACCCUGAGGACUCAUUCUUAGAGAAACUCUUCUUGAAUUUCCCUCUGCUAAACGUUCCCCUUGGUUUGGCCCCUUUGCUAAACGUGGAUCCCGACCCCGUCGUGUUCCCCUUUCGCAGGUUAUCAUUGAAAUGCACCUUGAUGGCCGCAUCCAACGCUUCCUUGUAGUUGGUCGGGUUCCACCGCAUUAUUUCGCCGCGAGCCCAGGUUUGCAAACUUGAUAUGAAGGUAUGGAACGCAUCCAUAUCCCCCAUGUCCGUGACAAGUAUCCUCUUUGCCAUAAACCCAUUCACAUACUCCUGAAUGGUUCCGGUCUGCUUCAGCCUACUCAGCUCGUCCCUUAGAUGCAGAGUAGCAUUCGGAGGAACGUAAGUUGCACGGAUCCUCGCCUUCAUCAUUUCCCAAGUGGCCACCGGUCCUUCGUUGGCCUCUGUCGUUCUCCAUCAAGACUUGGCAUUAUCUGCCAAGUAUGGUUUUGCACAUGGGACCUUCUCCAAGCUCGGUAAUCGCAACGCUCGGAAGUAGUCCUCCAUAUCGUAAAACCAAUCCUCCACCACCUUAUAGUCGUUCACUCCCUUGAAGACCAGUGGGGACUUUGGUUUGUACUUGGGAACUGCCUGAGGGACUGAUUCCACUUCGGUCUGUUCGACCUUGUCUGGUUUUGCCUCAGUCCCUGCCAAAGGGUCCGCACCUUUUGCGCUGCCAGCAUCCGCAGUCUUUCACUUUUUCUUCCGCUUCUCGUCAUGCUUUAGCUUGCGUACGAGAGUCUCUAGCAGGGCAUUGGUCUGUGUCAAUUGUCCUUCUAGAACAUCCAAUCGAGCCUUGGACGACCGAACCUCACCACUAGACUCCUGUUUGGAAGUUGCCUCACUGGAGUCCUCCUCAUGCAAGGAUUCCUCAUCUAUAGCCUCCUGUUCGACCGGAGGCUCUAGCUCUGGAGGAGGUUCCGUCUCUGCCUGGGUUCGCUUACGUCCUGCCCUUGCCAUCUCCCAGCAAUCCGCCUCUAUCCUUCGCUAGAACUGAGGAAGAGGCUCCGAUACCAAAUUGUAAGCCACAAAUUUUUCCUUUCCAAUUUGCCAGCUUACCUCGUCUAUCCGACCAACUCUGCCUUGGCUUGUGCUGAGUUCCCUCGCCAAGGUUCCUACCUAUGGUACCAGCUCCUACUUGGUCCUACUUGGUUUCAGCUACUUACUGCACAAGCAACGAAGUGUUAGCCAUCCAUCUACGGAUUCCCAAAUCUCUCCCAAUCCCCCUCCCCGGGUUAGACUGGACUUAAGGUUCGGCUACACUCCCCGCAGGCACAAAUAGCCAAGCACACCAAGCCUCCAGAUUCCUAACACCCCUUGGUACCACAAGACUUGAUCAUGGGACCCUCUAAAUCCCAAGUCUUGGGUGCAGCACUUGCUUCGGGACGUCAGGGCGAAACACCGUGGCCUAACGGCCCGGUAUGGGUACCUCUACCCCCCCACUUCCAUCCCGAAGGGAAGGCCCAAGCCCCUAGGAAGGGCGAGGACCAAUGAGCCACAAGGUACUCAAGUGGGGCACCACCCCACCUGAGCCGGGAGCACCGCAAUCGGUUUCCCUUUCGGGAGUGGGAGCUGCUCUUGAGCACUUCCCUGGGUGGCCCCUUCGGCACCACUCAGGCCCAUGCUCACUCCCACCCAAGGCCCCUCGGCCCCAGUCUCAACCUCAAGUCAGUUUGGAAGCACUACUGGAGAGUUCCUUCAAGACUGGUUCCUGGACCUCACUAUCCCUACUAUACUUUUGGAACCCCCUGCAGCCCACCCCCCCCCCCCCCCCCCCCCCGUCCUGGGAGACGCACGCUUUGGGCUUUCACCCCUUGACCCAUAUUACUAUUUGGACUUAGUCUCUGGCUCAAUCUCGGACCCGAUUUCAGAUCCGACUUCAGAUUCGGUCUCGGACUCGAUCUCGGACUCGAUCUCGGACCCGAUCUCAGACGCAACCUCGGACUCGACUUCAGACUCGGUCUCGGACCGAUUUCGGAUCUCAGACUCCGUCUCGAACUCGGUCUCGAACUCGGACUCGAACUCGGUCCCCGAGUCGGUCUUGGACUCGAUUCCGGACUCUAUCUCGAACUCGGUCCUAGAGUCGGUCUUGGACUCGAUCCUCGACUUGGUCCCAUCCGAUGAACUCUUUGUCAUUUCGGUCAAGCUUUUGGGGAUCCUUUAGCCUACGACAUCUCGGGGAGUCGGUUCCUUACACUUGCGUGCCUGUCUUUGUUCUACAUCCAGCUGAGGUCUAAGCCCAAGUUUCAUUCCAUGCUAACUGGUGGAGUACCCAUGUCCUUGCGUUAGGCCACCGAUAUGCCAAAAUAGCGCCAAAUUCCAUUUGGCUCUAUUUUGCAUGUUGGUCCUGGCAUUGGGAUGCUGGAUACUCUAGGAUUGUUCCAAGUCACUCCAAGCUCAUGUCCCUUCACUCCUUGGGCUGUAUGCUCAGGAGUUGCUCCCCAGACUAGUUCCAUCACUCCUUGGCUCCAUGCUUGGGAGUUUAUCACUGUUCCUUCGUUUAGUGGCCCAAGGCCUUGAACCUUAGGUUUCACACCACUGUCCUUUGGACAUGUGGCAUAUGACAUGUGGCAUGUGUCAUGUGGCAUAAAGAGGGUUUAGGUUCCACUUCAUAGUGUUAUCUUAUGGUAAAUCACCAUAGGAUAUAGGGUAAAAACCACAUAUGCUACAUCCUCACACUAAGAUUUAACAUUAUAUGCUAAAUAUGGUUUGCACAUAGGACUUUUUUUGAGUUUGGUAACUAUAACAAUGAAAGUAAUCCUCCAUAUCAUAGAACCAAUCCUCCAAAUUUUUAGUUAUUCACUCUCUUGAAGAUUGGUGAAUGCUUUGGUUUGUACUUGGGAAUUGUUUAUAGGACCAACUCCAUCUUGAUUUACUUAACUUUUUUGGUUCAACCUUAGUACCCACUAAGGGGUUUAUACCUUUUGCAUUGUCUGUAUCUACAAUCUUUUACCUCUCAUCAUGCUUUGAUGAGUGCCUUUAACAAAGCAUUGGUAUAAAUUUGUUAUGAUUUAGAGCACUACAAUCUUGAUUGUAGUGCUCUCAACUUAUGUGGAAUGGUGCUUAACUUGAGUAUCAUAAUGCUCAUUAGUCCUUGCCUUUUCUUAGGAGUUUAAGCCUUUUUUUUAUGAUGGAGUUGUGGAGUUAAAAUAUCUAUACUUGGGGUUGGUCCCAAAUUGAUUUAGAGAGUCUCAUAAAUAAGUUUUGUUGUAUCAAGGAAUAUUAAAAAUAUUUUAGGCCAUAUGUGUUUGGUUAUUUGUACUAGCGGGGAGUGUGGUUCAAUUAACAUAGAGAGGGGGAUUUGAAGAGAAUUGGCAAUCUAUUGUAACCAAUCAAAGAUAAUAACUCAAGAGAUGGUUCAUAAAUGUUCAAAUAUAAAGGGAAAGGGCCCAUGAACAAUAAUGCAUUUUUUUUCAAAUUGGUUAAAGGUAACUUUAUAUAUUUAGGAUAUUUAAGACUGUUUAGUGGUAACUAUAACAAUGAAAAUAAUCCUCCAUAUCAUAGAAUUAGUCCUCCACAUUUUUAGUUAUUCACUCUCUUGAAGAUUGGUGAAUGCUUUGGUUUGUACUUGGGAAUUGUUUAUAGGACCAAUUCCAUCUUGAUUUACUCAACUUUUUUGGUUCAACCUUAGUACCCACUAAGGGGUUUAUUCAUUCUGCAUUGUUUGUAUCUACAAUCUUUUACUUCUCAUCAUGCUUUGAUGAGUGUCUUUAGCAAAGCAUUGGUAUAAACCAUUUGUCAUUUUAAAGUGUCCAAUUAAGCCUUAGACAACUAAACUUUAUCACUAAAUUCAUAUUUAAAAAUCUCCUCACUAGAACCUUCCUCAUGCAAAAGGCAUAAACCCCUUAGUGGGUACUAAGGUUGAACCAAAAAAGUUGAGUAAAUCAAGGUGGAGUUGGUCCUAUAAACAAUUCUCAAGUACAAACCAAAGCAUUCACCUAUCUUCAAGAGAGUGAAUAACUAAAAAUUUGGAGGAUUAAUUUUAUGAUAUGGAGGAUUACUUUCAUUGUUAUAGUUACCAAACUAAAAAAAAGUCUGAUGUGCAAACCAUAUUUAGCAUAUAAUAAGGUGUCACCCACCCUUGGAAGUUGUAAACAGUCUAUUGGUUGGGAGUUGUUUUUAAGUAUUACUCUAAGGGGCCUCAUUAACACUUCUUAAAUCCAUGCUCACUCCCACCCAAAGUUACUCCCAACCUUAGUACAAUUCAAAAACACCACUAAAGUUUUCCUUUAACUUAAAUCCUUAACCUCACUCUUCUUAUUAUACUUUUGGAACCCCACCACCCCUCCCCCCCUUGAGAGAUGAUCACUUUAAGCUUUCACCCCAUGACAUAUAUUAGUAUUUGGAUUUGGUCUUGAACUUGAUCUUGCACUCAAUUUUAUUCAACAAACUCUUUACUAUUUUAAUUGUGAUUUCAAAGGAUCCUUUAGAUUAUGACACUUAGAGAGUUUAUUCCUUACAUCCAUACAACUCUAGUAAUGUGGGGUGGUGUAAAUAAAUCUUCUAGAGGAAGCAAAAAAAAGAAAAUUUUAUUUUGGACAUAUGCCAUUGAAGUUAUUAGAGCUAAAGAAGGCAAGUGGUGGAACUUAUAAGAAUAUCCUUGUAAUUGAUGCAAAUAUUAAAGUUAUUAUUGCUAUUAGGAGUGAAGUUAAUGUAUGGCAAACAAUUUGUAAUGAUAGUUUUGGAGGGGAGGUAUACUUGGAGGUGAAUCUAAGGUGGGUAGCCUAACAAAAUUAUGCAAGCUUUUAAAAUAUAUGAAAAAACUAAAACAUGUGUAUUUAAAUUGUUGUAAUACACAUGUGUGACUCACAAAGUAAUAUUUGCAUAUGCCCAUGAGCUUGUGAGCCCAUAUGUUAUGGAGUAUAAAUCCCAUAAUAACAGUAGAUCUUACUAUGUAUUAAAUUUAGAUCUUAUUAUGGAAUCAAACUAGGUUACACUACAUUAGGAGCCAUCUGAGUCCAUGAAGAUAUGUUCUUGAAAGCUGGUAAGCAAAAUUCUAUCAAAUUCUCCUUGAAAGAGAACAAGUGUUAUUCCUUAAAAUUGGUGAGGACCAAAACUCCUAAAAUAGGCAGAUCAUUCCUAAAUCUAGAGAAAGAAAAAACUCAAUAUGUAAGAAAGUUCAGCAACAUACACCUACAAACUUACUUGAUCUUUCAAAGAAAUGUGAAUGGUCUCUUCAACCAAUUCUCAACUUUGUUGGGCACAAUGCAUGGCUUCUUCUUUGUCUACUACUUAUGCUAAGAGUGGAAAGCUAAAGCUUUAGCAUCCCUUGCUUCCUUAUUUCAUACUCCUUCCUUUUUUCAUCUCUUUUCCUUGGUCUCUCUCUCUUGAUAGGGUGAGAUUGGUGUUGUUGGUGGAAUUUGGAUUACUCAAAGAAUUAGAACUGGGAUUCCUCUUGAAGCUUGAGCCAAAUAAAAAAGGAUGAUAGUGGUGGAGGAGGAGCAUAAUUCCUAUAGUGCAGUUUAUUAUGGCAAGGCUGAUGAUGAUGCCCUCCCCCUCCAUCAUAACUCAAGCUCACAAGUGAAAUCCCAAGCUAGCUUGCAAAUCUCCCCAACUUUGUGAUCCUAGACAUCACCAUUCAUCUUGACAAGCUGUUGCAUGACAUAUGAUGCAAUCAGUUUAUGUCUCCAUUGACCCAAAAUCUUGACGAGCCAAGAAAAACAAAAAUCAUCCAUUGAUUGGUUAUCACAAUAUCUUGCACUUUCUUGUAUAUACAAAGCUCCAUGAUUGUGGAUUUAAUCAAAUUACUCAAAAAAGAAAAAAAAGGAGAUGAUAUGUUGCACAAAUGGCAUGAAGUGUCUAUGCACUUGACAUGUUCCAUGUAAUAUUAUAAUGUAUGUUUAGAUUGCUUAUAUAGCAAUCUAAAGUGACUGGGUGAUUGGGUGUAUAAUAUUUUUAUGUGCAAACUCAAAAAAUAAAAAUCCAGUGUAAAUAUAUAAUGUUCCCACAUGCAAUUACAUAUUUAUUGCCACAGCUAAUGUUGGUUCAACAUAAAAUCAAUGAAUUAUAAUCAUUGAUGCAAUUGCCAGAUUUAGGUACUUGCAAUGCUAAAGUUUUUUUUAUGAGAAUUUCUCAUGCUCUGGGACAUUAUUAAUUGUAACUAUAAUACAGUAAACCAGACAUUUGAGUUGCUUAUUAGCACUGGACACGUCACCGAACAUAUGGAGGACAUCUUCCUAGAUCUCCAAAGGAGAGGAGAGUCGGAGAUAGAACCAAAAAUUUCUCAACAACUUUGUUUCUUAUUUGGCUACGUGAAAGGAGAACAAAUGCAUCAGGCUUCUCGAUUUUUCUUCCUCCGCCCAACGGUGUGGAGCAGCCACCGUGCCUGCUUCACCUCUUGCGAUUGCAGAGUGACGGGUCAGAACUCGAAAGAAGGGAGAGUUUCCUCGUCACUUCCGCCAAAGUUCACUCUCUUCGUUUCCAAAUCGUCGUCCGCGAUCAAGCAAUCUGCGUGUUGUACCCAGGUCAUCGACUCUACAACGUCAUUCUGGCCGCAUUCUCGCCGGUACUCCAUAGUUAAGCUCGAUAUGUCAUGGUCUUGAACAAUAGAGAGAGGCACGCUCUACACAACCGGAGCAAGUUAGAGAGACUCCUGCUUUACUUAAGAAACUCAGAUCACCUCCAGCAUCCAUCCGAUGUAUUUUACGUUGUUCAUGGUUCAUGUCCAAAUCUCCAUGCCUUGGGCUGCAAAUGCAAAGAUGAUACUUUAGAAAAGCGCAGGAAAGAAAAAGGAAAGUGAGCUACUCAUUGUCAAACCCGAGCGGGCAAACUGUGUAGUGCCAUCGACCUUGGGAGAUAGAAUGGAGUUAUUUCCUCCCGGACGUCGUUGGGCAUCUUAGAAAGCCUCCUCGUCGUCUGAUUCAUCACCACCCGGGUGCUGCAAGAUGAAUGCUUUCAUCACAAUCAAAUCUCACAGCACACCUUGUUGCUCUGGCCAAAAUCUGGCCCGACUUGUAGUCUCGCAUGAGGCGCAUGCCAUUUUUACCCGCCACCCAAGUAUCUAUCUCAGCGCAUCGCCCCUACAAAGAUCCACAAAGAUCGUCACAAAGUUUGGGACAGAAAAAGAAAUUCAAAAGAAGAAAGUGAGCAUACCAUGAAGCAUUGGACAUGCACUCCCGACACCACCCAUGGUGCCGGAUCAUUGCAUGCGUUGCUCCAAAUCCAUCUCCAGCAAGCCUGGACAUCCAGACGUGGUUUAACGCAACCUCCUGGAAAACCAUCACUAGAAACUUUGUGAUCACUUUUCCAGAGCUUAAGAAGAGCUGUGAGAGAGCUCACUCACCUGGAAAUGGUUCAUGAGUGGAGGCCAUCUUGUCCACCCCGAGGUCUGGCGAUAGACUGCCUUAGAGAUUCCAGCGCCAGACUGUAAGGCCGAGGCGAUACCACCAGGAGUGCUGCUAUGGCUGCCAGCACCUUGUUGAGCGAGGAAGCGCCCCCUCGGCCGGGAUUUCUUCAGCUUGGAAUGUCAUCUUGACUGGUAAACAAUGUAAGGCCCCGUCACUGCAACCGGUCGUUGCACAUUCUUUGUCACAAUAGCACCUGUUGAUCCAUCAUUCUUCAAGGGAUCCAGGUGGCUCUACGAAGUGAUACUGACCGUGGUACACCGGAGCAGGAAAACGAAAAGCGAACUGUCCAUAGAGCUGACCAUCGGCGUAAAACGGAGCUGGGGGGAGUACUGGCUGUAUGGCUGCGAAGCAUAGCCAUUACUUCGAACAAGGCUCUCGGGUUUGUUGAUUUCGUGGCCUGCAAGCAAAAGCACACACAAUUGCCCAAGGAAAAACAAAGUAGAUUUCCUGACAAACUUACCGGAUCUAGCCCAUUAAGACCAACGUAACGAGGAUACUCCUCCCAGUCCGUCGUCUCUGGAUAUAUCAAAGAGAGGAAACGAUCAAAGCGCAUUUUGUACCAAAAAACAUGAUGAGAAGUUCCGAUAUUUUUUCACUUGUAAGUUCAUGACACCACCAAUACCAUAACACAUGAAAACACAUUUGAGAGCCUGGAUAAGAAACGUAAAACACUCGUUAGGGGAGAAAAAGCCUCAGGGUCAGGAGUAUGAACUCCAAAAAAAUAAUAAACGACCGAUGGCACUCACGUCAGCGAGCCGAGCCGUAUCCCACACUGACACAGAAAUCUCUGUGACUUCUUCUUGACAAGGUUAAUUGACUCGGUGGAGAUGGAAAUGGCGCAGGAACUGCUGGACGGACCGCUGCACGAAAUCAACAAAACCAGUAAGUAUAAUUUCCACUUCAACAGCCAUCAGUGCAAGUACCUGCAAAGCCAAUGCUCGGUAGUCGAAGAAUACGUGCGGCUUUGGCAGAGCUGCUCCGAACUUAAGCCACUUCCCCUGGCCAUACAGGAGCUCGGUUGUAUGCUGAACAGAGCCUUGCAGCUUCUCAAGCAGUGCCAAGACGAGACAUGGCUAUACCAUGCUGCAGUCCGGCUCACUGAUUCCAGAGCCUUUGCGGAGAUCUGCUUGUGUCUGGGUAGAUUGACGGCCUUGGUCAAUGCUCACAUGAUUCAUUGUGCCACGGAUAUUAGGAGCCCGGGUGUGCAGUACCUCAUGGCCAUGCCUUCCAAGCGCAAGCACAUAGAGAACCUGCGUUCAGCGAUGGAGGACCUGAGUCCCUGCACAUCAAGAGAUAGAAAGGAGCUCUUCAUGAGAGCAAAUUCCAUCACAGAAACUGACAACAGGUAUGUUCUGGCACAGUACCUUGUUAACAAGCUGAUGUCAAGCAGAGGAGGAGCCGUUGCCACCAUUCAGGCCCUCGAACUGAAAACUUUGAUAGGUUCGGGUGCAUUUGGUUCUGUGUACAAGGCUGAAUGGCUGGGGGCACCAGUUGCUGUGAAAGAGUUUAGAAGCGGUGAUGCUUCAUUCGACAAGGAGGUGAACAUCCUGAAAGAACUUAUUUUAGAACCGCACCCGAGCGUGCUCCAGAUGAUAGGAUACUAUCAGAAGGAUGAGAAGGCUUACCUUGUCAUGGAGCUGAUGGAAAGGGACCUGACCAGUGUUAUAAGGAAGGCUGAAGGCUCGCUGCAACUUUUAACUUCUGUAGACAUUAUGCUCCAGAUCGCAAGCGGCAUGAGCUACCUCCAUCAAAGGAAUGUGGUUCACCGAGACCUCAAGCCUUCGAAUGUCCUCGUUAAGACAUUAAAGAACCAUGCCUGCAACACUUGUUUCGACGCGAGGUUAACAGACUUCGGAGUCUCAAAGUCGAACUUUAUAAGCUUUGCACCGGACUUGUCUUACCAAAGGGGGACGAUCCAAUACAUGGCUCCAGAGAUGCUGAGGGGCCAGAAGUACUCCAGAGAAGUCGACGUAUACAGCUUCGGAAUUACUUGCUUCCAGAUCCUGACUGGAACGCUGCCAUUUCAGGACGAUGGCAAGCAGCUGGUGGCAGAUAAACUGGUCGAGGCGAUCGAAGAUGGAAAUAGGCCUGACCUUCCAACAGGCUGUCCACUGGAGCUGGUUGUUCUCCUCAACAGGUGCUGGAACAGGAAUCCGAAAGAUAGACCAACCUUCGAACAGAUAUCCAGGAUGCUGUGGUCGCUAAAGGAAAGGUUGCUUGGUGGGUACAACCUCCAAUCCAGCUUCACAGGCAGUGAUAUGUCCAGUUGCAAAGCUGCCGAAGAGCUGACACUCGCUGCAGGAGAUAUGAUCUGCCAGAUUUCUGUUGCUGCUCCGUUCAGAAAUUUUCACCAGUGCCACUUCUUGCAGUCGAGGUGCAAGCAGAUUUUCAGCUACCGGGAAUUUCCAACUAAGCUGGGACUUCGCACAUGGUUUGCCGUUCAGAUAAAACUGGUGACUACCUUGAGAACUGCGUUGUCGCUGAUAGAGUCUUACAGUGAAGAUAGGUGGUUGCAUAUGGCAGUGCUGAACGAGCAUAACCCGUGGGCAUUCAGAAAAGCUCUUGACGAUAUCAACAGAUGUGAAACCACACUGAGAGCCAUAAACCCUGGUAACCACAGCGAUAACAUAAUGACGUUCCCUGCUGUUCCUGAGCAAUAUGUGGAAGAUGAUAAAAAGAGACUGGCAGAAAGCAUUAAAGGCUUACUUGAUGCAUCGGACGAGGCGACAGUUAAGUUGGCAAAAUAUUUAGUUCAAAAGUCAGCUGCUGAUUCAGUUUUUCCGUGCAUCAGUCCAGAGGAAAUCGUACUGCUCGAUUUUGUAGGAAUGUCAAACCAUGGGACGAUGUUUAGAGGAAGAUGGCUAGACGUACCUGUGAUGGUAAAAGCCCUUGGAACAGGAAAUGAAGCUGAAAAGCUCCUGAAGGAGCUUGACAAAGGGCACGCAGAACUUAGAAACAGGCCCCAUCCAAAUGUAACGCAAGUUUUCGGCUACACAAGGCACGGGGAAAACCUGUUCGUGGUGACCGAGCGGGUCUCUGGAGGCCACUUCCGAGUGACAAAGUUCCCUCUUGUAUUGACCAUCGAGAUCCUGCUUCAAGUUGCUCAAGGCGUGGCCUACUUGCA